rnacentral:lncRNA from 1 species
AGGCCCCAUCUUUAGAUGCUCGUCAUGCUAUGCUGAUUGAAGAAGUGCCAAAACUUGGUAAAGAAGCAGCAUUGAAGGCCAUCAAAGAGUGGGGACAGCCAGUAUCAAAGAUCACUCACCUUAUAUUCGGUGCCGUUUAUGGCGUUGACAUGCCUGGUGCGGACGUCCGUUUGAUGAAUCUUCUCGGCCUAGAACGGUCUGUUAAUAGACUCAUGAUUUACAGCCAAGGCUGUUACAUGGGCGGGGCAGUCAUCCGCCACGCCAAAGAUAUUGCGGAGAACAAUCCUGGAGCGCGGGUCCUCGUAGUAUGUUGUGAUAUCACAGUCUUACACUUUCAUGAGCCCACGGAAGCCCGACUAGACAUGUUGGUGGGCCAGGCAAUUUUUGGUGACGGAGCUGCAGCUGCAAUUAUAGGGGCAGAUCCCGAUGUCUCCCUUAAUGAACGUCCUCUGUUUCAGGUUUUGUCUUGCUCACAAAUGACUGUCCCCAACACCGAAAACAAUGUCGUGGGUCACUUGAAAGAAAUGGGUUGGGAUUACACUUUAUCAAAAGAUUUGCCUGUGAUAAUUGGGAAGUACAUAGACAAGCUUCUAGCUGAUGCAAUGAGUCCGAUUGGAAUCAGUGAUUGGAACUCGUUGUUUUACAUUGUCCACCCCGGUGGCAAAGUCAUUCUAGACCAAGUUGAACAAAAUCUCGGAUUGGGAAAAGAGAAACUUGGGGCAAGUCGAUAUGCGCUUAGCGAGUACGGAAACUUGGGGGCGCCAUCAGUGUUGUUUAUUCUCGAUGACGUGAGGAAGAAGAGUACUGAGGAAAGGAAGGCCACCACCGGUGAGGGGUUGGAAUAUGGUGUUUUGUUUGGAUUUGGACCGGGGAUAACAGUGGAAACUGUUGUUUUGCGCAGCAUUCCUAUAGAUUCCGCCAACUGAUGAAUAUCAUGCUUUUGUUCUCAGUGUUGUUGGCUUCAUGAUUGUCUUAUUAUUUGUUGCUUGCUUCUCUUGUGUGCAUGCGUUGCUUCUGUUUACGGUGCUUCUUAUGUCUUUAUGUAUUUCGUUGUUGAUCUAUUUCUUUUAUUUUCAAUAAAUAUCUCCUAAGUCUCUUGGGUUGUUUGCGAUAUUCAAUAGGAAAACGGUUCUUUUUUCACUGUUCAUAAGCUUCUAUGUUUUACUUUUUCCAAUCAAUCAUUAAUUGUUUGGUUAGAAGGAAAGCUCUGAUUGCCAAUAUUCAAUUUAUGAAUUAGCUCUUUGAUCAAAAAAUAUAUACCUUGUUGUGCAUAACCUUGUCAAAUGGUGAUGUGAGAUAAUAACAAAAAAGGGGAAAGAAAUAACACAUAAAAUUUAGGUGGUUCGGUAAAUUGUCAAUGUCCGUGGUAGGGAGAUCACAAGUUCCCACUAAUACGGUGAACAAAUGUGGAAUACAAAAUAACUUUCAACCUCACUUCUAAAAAAAAAAAAAUCCCUAACACAUCCUUUCUCUCAGAUAAACAUACAAAGAAGAGAACUUUAAACAUAUUCAAGCUCCUCACCGAAAUUGAAUACUACAAACUACAAUUGCUCGAAAGAGCAGUACAAGCUGGCUUAAAUCUUCUUAUUUCUCUUCUUCUUCAGUGAUUUCAACCAUGAAAAUGCGACUUGGGAUUUGUGGAUGUAGAAAAAGCUACUUGUGUAGCCUAAUACAAAGUGCUCCACUAACAUAUUAAGUUCAAACCUAAUAAAUCCACUAUAUCUUGUCUCCCAUCAUAUUUACAUAGUGGAUAAACAUCUCCAUCAACCUCUUAAGUGGAGGCUUGGUUUAGAACCGGGGGCUGUGCUUAAGGUUAAUUAAUUUGCACAUUGGGUGAUUCUUCAUUUUUUUCCUAAUGAAACCUGUUUCAAUCAAAUCUGUAACGCCCCGACAUCAGUUAUGUGAGAAUUGAGAAUAUUUUAAUAGGAAAAUUUGCUUUUUCCUAAUAAAAUUUGUCUAGGAACUUUUUUUUGGGAACCUCUUAUAACAAUCUAAUACAUUCAAAUCUAAUAUUUGAAUAUACAACAAGAACACAACUUGUACAAAUUUAAUUGUACAGGUGUCUCUUCAUAAGCUAUGAGCCUUCCCGUUAACAAAGAAAGCCACCACUCUGAUUUAAUCCAACUUGUCAUUGAGUAUAAGCCCCUUUUGCUUCGUGAAACUAAGCAAAACCUCCUUGAUUUUUCAAAAUCAGUUCAAAUCCCCAUGCCGUUAUAAUUAACUUUACUAAUUAUUUUAUUAUUUUACCCUUGCAAAAUUUAUAAACGUUAAUACAAAUUGAGAAAAAAAUCCAAUUUCCUAUUUUUCCCUUUAAUAAAAAAAUAAAAUAAAAAAGUAAUAAAAUUCUAAAGUCUAUUUCAAGAUGUUAAAUAGAAUUAAUAAUUCUGGAGACUUGGUGGCUUAAACACAAAAAGCCCAAACCCUCUCUUGACUUGGCCUAUGAUGCAGAGCAAGAAGUUUAAGUAAUCUUAAUUAGAUUGAAGUUUAUAAUAUUUAGAACUGUUUUAAUUAAUUUCUAUUAUAACUUAAUUUAAUUACGUAUUUAAAGUUUAAUUGUUUAAGUAUUUCUUAUUUAAGUUGUAAAACAACUUCAGGCAAGAGACUUAGAUUUAGGUCAAUAUAUAUACUAUCUUUUGUAACUUUAGAAUAAAAAUAUUGAUUAUCAUUGAAUUCCAGUUUCGGAGUCUACAUGAGUUUUGAGCUGCCAUUAUUUCUUGGUAAUCUAUGGAGUAAACGGUAUCUAAAAACCUAGAUUUACAGGUUAAGACUAAACAGAGUGUUGAACAUGUCCCUACACUUUUCCAUCAAUCUGUCCUCUUUUUCAGCUGUAUGUUGCCCUACAUCAGUUGGUAUUAGAGUGUGCUUGUAUAGAACCGCACUACAUCAAUCGAGAAUCAGAGCCAAAAAGCCUGAACGAAAUUGUUGCAAAACACUAACUCUGUUCAUUUAAUUUUGUAUCUUUCAUUUUUGUUAUUUCAGUUUUUAAAAAAAUAGAAAAAUUUCAAAAAAUAAGAAAAAUCUAAAAGUCCCAAGAGUAGAAAAGUGUAAACACUAUUAUGUAGGCAUGAUUUUUUAGCUUUCAUUUUCUGCUGGAAAUCCUAGCCACCCAUCAGCACCAUUCCUGCCACCGCACCACUACAGAUAGAGCAUCGGUUCUGCGGUUGACCACAUCACCGGAUUCACCAGCAGCCAACGAACCAAACCCCACCAUCAUCGACACCAGAUCGCCCGAACCAGCGCAACAACAACCAGAAGGCUGCAUCAGCAUCACUGCCUCCGUUCGAUUCGUCGCCGCCGCCGCGAAUUGAAGCUUCCUUCCACCACCGUCGAGUUCGUCACCGCCAGCUCUAUGAAACACAACGAUAGCUAGCUGUCACCAUAUGAGCUAUCAUAGGGAGUUUACUUUUUUCCAUAAUUACAAUUUUGCGCCUGCUGUUGGUUUGAUGGUUUUGCUCUUUUGAUUUUAUUUCGGAUGCCAAAAGAAGAAAAUUAAAAAGUGAGUGGAAAAAAAAAAGACUGGGGCCAAAAUCCAUUUCGCGGCCCCAUAGCGACAACCCUUUCCUUUUUUUAUUUUUUUUUUAAAUUGGUACCAGUGGCCUUGUGCUUGGGUAUUGGACCAACAUUACUUAUUGAAAAAUUCCUAACAUUGGGUCUUUUUUAAACUGAUUUAAUUGAAAUUUGGAGUAAUUUUAUAUUGUUUGAGCAAGAUUUUAGAAAGUUUAUAGAUUUAUUUUUUGAUAACGUUGGAUGAGUUGAAAGAGAAAGAAGUGUGUUUUGAUUCCUAUGGCCAAUGUUGAUGAAUUUGUUGAAAAUAUUGUUUGGCCAUUCACAUCUACAUAAACUACUCUUCAGCACACAAUUGUUGAUUUCAAUCAACCUCCAAGAUUUGAUGAGCGAAUUUUUGGAGACAAUUGCUCUAACAAAAAGAAAAAAAAUUCUGGCAAAGUAGAAUUAAAAGAAACAUAAGUUUGCAUCAUGAGAUAGAAGUUUUUUAACUUCUGCAGCAUAGUUAUAUUAGAUUUAAUCUAAUUAUGGCUCACAUGAUAAAUUGAGUUAUUGGACAUUUAAAGAAGGAGAAACUUAUAUUAAUUACCAUCCCCUCAUUUUAAGGAUAGUGGUAGAGUUUAGUUAUUUCCUUUUAAUUAUGGGAGUCUUAAGAGUGAUUAAAUUCAUAAUCCACUUUUUAAUGGAAGGAAGUGGAGAGUUCCAUUUAUUAAUCUCCUUUUAAUUAGUAAAUUACUAAAUUUUGCCAUAUGAAGGUCCCUAUCCAAGCCAAAUGAUGUCUAAAAGUGUAAAUACUUGUUUUCUAUAACGAAUUUGUCUAGUAAUGAAAUAGGCUAGAAGACACCUUUGUGGGAUAUACUUAAAGAGCUUCAAACACUUAAACAAUCAUAAGUGAAGGUAUGUAUUAUGUGUUGGAGAAAAAACAAUUUUUUUUUUAUUUUUUAUAAAAAUUUGUAGGAUCGCUCCCAUACAAUAUAUAAGAAUUUAUAAUUUAGAAAUCGUACCUUGAAAAUUCGAUUUGGCUUUUUUCGCUGAAGUGAUUUAAGCUCCCAGAUCACUAUCCGUCACCACCACUCUUGUUAGAUCACGAUCCGUCACCACCACUCCUGUUAGAUCACGAUCCGCCACCAAAUAAUCUUCCAGACUAUUACUCAAGUUUGAUCUUCACUUAACGUGUGGACGCUUUUAUCACCACUAAAACAACUAGCACGAGAAAAUUUUUCUCUCAACAAUAGAGAGAAAAAUUUUUUUCUCUGAUCUGUAUAAAGUGGUUGCUCUCCUUUUUUUUGGGAGAAAAUAAGCCAUUUUAUAUUUAUAUCUAGUGGAAACCCUAGACUCCAUUUUUUAUAUUAUUUAAUUCUAUUAAAUCAAGUUUGAUUUAAAUUAAAAAUAAUAAACCAAAAGUAACGUUACUUCUUUCUUGUCAUAGGGGCCCACCUUAUAAAAUAACACAAGACCCCUUAGAUACAAGUACAUUACAUGGAGCCUCCCACUAAAUAAUAUAUUUAGGCUUUUAACCCAAAUAGCUAGUUAUCUUACUUAUUAAUCUAGUAGUGGUGCAGCCAAUUAAAUGAGCUAACCCGGGGAUAAUUUGGGAACAUACAAUAGUGGCUAUAAUAAUUAGGCAUGUAAUUAAACUAGAUCAAUUAUUUAAUUCCAAAUCUACUCCACUAAAAGAUUGGAACUGACCUCCAUAAUUGUAUGCUCGAAUAAUAAUUCGUCCCAAGUCACACUGAUUUCUUUAUUGCUCAAUCAUUUGCACCACAUCGUUAAUUAAAUUGAUAUCUCAACUGUCCAAUCAAUUUAAUUACAUCUUGUUCCUUGAUACUUACUGGUUUUCUCUAAUGAUCAUUUUUAACAUACUAAAUAAGUUGACACACUCUGGCCAGAGAAUUCUAUGAUCAAGUGUCGAAAACCCAUCAAGAGAUGCGUCGUACAAAUUCUAUAUUGUUAAUCUAUAACUCUAACACUCAUAAUUACUCCCACUAAGAUACCGGGUAAUCUUGACCACAAUUGUGUGCAUGCCCAUUGGUAACUUAAAUGGAAUAAGAAUUACAAUCAUGAAAUCAUAAGUAACUCAAGAUUAAGAUUACAGUAAAAUCAAUGCCUAUGAGAUUUAAUAAGUCUGACAGUCAUUUCAAGGUUAAUUAAAUCUCAUAUGUGAUCCAGCUUAAGGUAGUCAAACUACAUUAGUAAAUUCAUACAUGAUUAAGACAAAUUAGUCAAUGAAUUUACUACAGUCUAAACAUAAAUAGAGCGUCCAACUCUCUUUAUCAACUAUGAACUUAAUUUAUUUAAUUAUAAGAUAACUUGUAUUUGUGUCUUCCGUGAAUCUAUAUAAUGAUCACAUAAAUACAUAUAAUAUGAUUAAACGGACCUUAUUAAAAAAUAUUUAUGCAAUUGAAAAUAUCUCAAAUAUUUUAUUAAUAAAAAAAUAAAUUAAUAUGCUUUAAAAGAGCAUAUAAUCCCAACAUUAUGCUUAUUUUAAAUUAACAAGUUAUUCUCUUUGAAUGUGUGAGUACAAUGAAAAUCCAUCAAAGAGAGCUUAAACUUACAAUUCAACCAUCCGUUCCGUAAUCUCCAAGGAGGCUAAUCAAACUUCUUAAUUAAAAAAUUGGCAACCAACAUUGGAUCAUUUAUAUUCUAGCCAAACAACCACAUAAAACCUAGAAGGGAUGAAAGCUGUCCAAAACAUACCAUUCUAUGGGCAAGAAACUUAAGGAUCCUAAAGUAAUUAUAACUCUCCUUAUGAGAAUGUUGCUAUUUUUGGAAGAUAUCAAAACCCGCUUUUCAGCCCAAUAUGUAACUGGAAGAAUCCGAGAACAACUCAAGAAAAUCUGGAGGCGAAUUCCAAGCUCCAUCUUUAAUCACAUCACAAACCUUGCAAGAAAGGUGCAUGUCAAGACUUAAAGAAUAGAGUUUAUACUCGUUCCAUUGCCAACUAUCUAUUUAGAACCGGCAAUAAAUCGAGGAGCAUCGAUUUCAAACCAUGCCAAAGAGAGGAGUUUAAAAAUUUCCUGCCACUAUCCAUAAAAGAAUAACGAGGAUUUAAGAAAGAAAAACACCCUUUGACCUUGAACCGCAUCCCAUAAACUUUUAAGGAGACAACAUUUGUUAAGGCUAUGCAAAUGUCUAAGGCCAAGGUCACUUCUUGGAUAACAAAUCUUAUCCCAUGAAGUUAAUGCCACCUAACGUUUUCAAAAAUCUUCUGUAAGAAUAAAAUUUCGAGACUAGGAGUGAAUUUUUCGUAAAAAGUAAGAAGCAGGCCAGGUAUAAACGUUAGAACCGUAUAGAAGAGUGCUUUGUGGGAAAAAGAGAACUAACCCUACAUGACUAGCCAUGGAUGAUACAUUACCCUUCCAACCCUCCAAUUUAGAUCUGUCUGCCGAGAUUUGAAUAUGUUGCAUUCUAGGAUUACCCUUAAAGAUGGGGACUCCUAGAUACAUAAAUGAGAGAGAAGCCAUAACAAAACCCAAAAUUCCCUUAAUUAUAGCCUGAGGCUGGGCAGCAUAUUUCACUAUGUAAAGAUUGCUUUUGCGCACGUUGAUAGCUUGCCUUAAAGCAAUCCCAUAAUCAUGAAUGAAUUCUUUCAAAUUAAUUAAAGACCGAUGAUCACCCUUGCAGAACAAAACUACAUCAUCCGCAUAUAAUACAUGAGUUCAAGGAAUAGCCAAAGGAUCUGAAAUAGAUUUCUCUUUACCAUUCUUGUAAAGUUCAGAAAUACCCCUACUCAGAACUUCCUCCGCAAUGCAAAAAAAAGAAGAAAGGACAACGGGUCUCCUUGGCCAACCACUCCACUAUAAGAAAAAGAGGGGGGAAAAAAAAAGAAACCUCUAGGGGAACCAUUAAUUAAAACAGAUAGGCUUACCGAUUUAAGAAUUCACCCCAAGAGACAAAAGUACUUUUGAGACCAAAUUUCACAACAUGGCAAGAAGAAAAUCCCAGCUCAACGUAUCAAAAGCUUUAGCUACAUCAAGCUUCAUACUUGAAUUCCCUCCAAAAUUCUUCCUGUCAAGAAGAUUAAUACCUUUGAAACCAUGGCAAUGCAAUCAUGAAUAUGUGGCCCCCUUAUAAAAACAGUCUGCUGAGGUGAAAUAAUUCUAUCCAUCAAAUCUCCAAGUGAUCUGUCAACACUUUGGUUUCUUUUUUUUUUUUUUUUUUUUGAAUAGACCACUUUGGUUAUUACUUCAAAGAAAAAGUUGGACAAAGCUAUAGGCCGAUAACGUGAUAUGGCCCCCGAAUUUGGAGUCCUAGCCAUGAGAUAAAUGAAGUUGGAAUUAAUAUUCGGCAAUACAAUUAAAAUUGUCGGACCUCAUGCAUAACAGUCCAACCAAUUACAUUUGGAUUUUUUAAUCUAGCGUUGUUGGAUCCUUAAUCAAACAUUGGGCUUAUAUGUGACUAAUUAUUAUUGCGGACUGUAAUGUAGGGUUAAACCCAAUUAAAAAUGAUCUAUUACAGUUUUUGGUAAUAUGAGCUUUAUUGUAUCUAAUAGGGUGUGGGUCUUUAAUAUGUAGAGAUUUAAGAGUAAUUUCUAUCUUUAUGAUGGGUUGAAAUAGGAAUACCUAAAGACAAUAGGAAAAUUUGUCUAUAUAGAUGGUCAUAGUCUCUAGGUUGCAUGUCUUUCUAUUCUUUAUGACAUCCCAUCAUUAGAGAGAGAGCACAUAAAUAAUUAAAGGAUUCUCUAGGAGAAUGUGUUGUUCUAGAAGGCUAACCACACAAUCUAGAGAGCAAUUAAGCACUAUGGAUUUAGGUACCUUCUAAAUUAUAGGUGAUACAACAUAUUUUGUUAUUAGUUCUUGGUGAUACAAUAUGAAUGUUACCGAAUUAUGGGUGAUAAUUUUUGCCAAAGAAUUUCUUAUUCUAAAAAUUACAUCAUGGAAAGAUUGAAAGAAACUACUUGAAAAACCAUCAGGCUCUAGAGCUCUAGCAGUAUCUAAAGCAAAAACCACACUAUGAAUUUCAAUAGCAUCAGGAAUGCUAGUAAACAUAAGAUUUUACAUAUCAAAAAAUAAAUCUUGAAAUUAUGUCAGUAAUCCUAAUGGUAGAUACUAUAGAAGUGGAAGAUAUAAGUAUUGAUAAAAAUCAAUAACUUGGUCCAUGAUAUCUUUUUCACUGUUAAACAAGCAUCAUUAGCAUGCAUGGCAUAAAUCAUAGACUUCGCUGCUUUGGCUUUUGCAAAAGUGUGAUAUAUUUUUAAGCCCCUAUCACCAUCUAUUAGCCAUCUCAACUUGGCUUUUUCCAAUUAAUAAUUACAUAGCUCUUCAACAACAUCAAGAACCUCCCUUUUAGCAUUAAUUUCGACUUGAAUAGCAUAACUAGAAUUAUCACUAGCAAAAAGUAGACAUUUUGUUGGGAAGGUAACCAACACAAGCAGUUACAAUUUCAGUAGAAAUAAAUUCUUACUCUCUUUUUGUGAUUAAAAUGAGAUAUGUAUCACAAAUUAAUAAGAAAAAAUUAAUCAAUACAAUCCAAAGUAAUAGGUCAACUACAAGAGACAUAUAUUUUUACUUAAAAAAUCCAAAUCGGGGAAAAUCAUGGGACCAUAGCUCAAUGUAACCUUCCACUAUAUUAGUAAUGGAACUAAAGUACAAAUUCUUUUUUAGAUAACACUGGAAGUUAACAAUACCGUGAAUCUCAAUAAUCUUGAUAACAGUUUAAUAUUCGUCUCUCUAAUAAGUGGUAUCCCAAAUAACAGGCAAUAAGAAAAUAAAAUAAAAAUCAAGACCAUUAGGAAUGCAAAGGGUGAUGGUAGGAUCUUACCCUCCAAAUUUGGGAGAAAAUAGAGUUAAAUUCGUCUUUUGAUCUUCUAAUCAAAAUUUGAAACCCUAGCUCUCAAAUUCAAUAAUCGGCCAUUGUCUUUUGUCUUCUAUCGGUAAUUUUAUUUUCACUCCUCUUUUUCUAAUCAUUCAUAAUGGUUGCCGCUUCACUUGCUUUUAUGUGUGUGUGUUAUUUGGCUAAUUUCAUCUACAUCUAAAACUUAUUGAUAAUCGCACAUCCAGCAAACUCUUUUGGACUUUGGGCUUUUAGACCACUAAAAUGAGAUGGACCCAACAAAUCUCUCCCUUCAGAUCAUGUAGGGGGCACCGCCAAGCCUGCUCUUUAUUUACAGCUUUUCAGCUUCUCCUUCGACAAUGACUUUAUCAUCAUAGCUAACCUAUGUCUGACUCAUCUCAAACUGCAAUUGUUGCUUCUUAAGAACACAUCGUAUCCAAUGAUACCUUAUAUCGAUAUACUUGGAUUUCAAAUGAUAUGUCCAAUUCUUUGCCAAGUGAAUGACACUUUAACUAUUGCAAUAUAGGUUUAUUGUUUGACAACCAGCUCUUUUAGAAAAUUCUUCAUCCAUAAGGUUUCUUUACAACCUUCAAUGAUUGCAAUAUACUCUCCUUCAGUGGUAGACAAAGCAACAUAUUGUUGAAGUCUAGACUGCUAUGAAACUGCUCCCUUUAUAAAGCUAAGUAAAUAUCCUAAUAAGAAUUUUUUGAAAUCAACAUCUCCCACCAUAUCUGCAUCUGUAUAUACUUGCAACACAAAAUUGUCACCACUAAAGGAUAAACAUGCCUUGGAAAUGCCUUUGAGAUAUCUAAGAAUCACUUCUAAUGUUCUUUGCCAAAAUUGGAGAAAAACCAAUUGACUACAGCAAUUACAUGAGCUAGCUUGAUCUUGUACAAACCAUGGCAUACAUCAAACUACCAACUGCUGAAGCGUAACGAACUCUUCUCUUCUCUCGCUUCCUUUUUUCACUUGUCGAACAAUUUUAAAAACCAAACUUAAAAUGGCCUGCAAGAGGAGAACAAGCAUAUUUUACCUUGCCCGUGUUAAAUUUUUCAAGAACCCUUUCAAUAUAUGCUUCUUGAGAUAACCAUGACUUUUCAGCUCUUUUGUCAUAAGAAAUCUUCUCGCCAAGAAUUUGCUUUACCGAUCCUAAGUUCUUUAUUGCAAAAAACUUACCAGACUCUUUCUUUAGAUUAUCAAUCUUGCUAAUGUCCUGACCAAAAAUCAACACGUCAUCCACAUAAAGCAAAAAAAAUGAUAAAAUCAUGGUCACCAAACUACUUUACAAAAUCAUAAUGGUCAGAUUUAGGACCAGUUUAGGAAUGCUGUAACUUUUAAAAUAAUUGUUGUCAGUUUGUGCUAUAGAAAUAAUCAGCGGUGAAGAUAAUCAAUUAAGUGUUUGGUAAAUUUUAUUUUCAAAAGUACUGUGAGUUUCAAAAGCAAUUAUAAAUGUUUGGUAAAUUCUACUGUUAAACUGCUGAGAGAAAAUAAAUGACUAAAAUGUACAUAAUGUAAGAUAAAAUUUAUUUAUAAAUAUGUAUAUAAAACAUUUUUAAUUGUGUAUUAUGAUAAUUUUUACUAAAAAUAAAUUUUAUAAUAUAUUGAUUUUUUUAUCUUAAAACAAUUGAUAAUUAAAUUUAUAAUAUAGUGAGACAAAUUUAAUAAUAAUUUGACCAACAAAUUGAUAUUAAUAAAUUUAUAUUGAUGAAUUAUAAGCCAAAAUUUAUUAAAAUAUUGAUUUUGUUUCCAAUUUGAAUAAAGAUAAUUUUUGGUUUAGAUAAUAAUUUUAAGAAUAUUUAUGGAAUUGUAUUAAAGGUAAAAUUGAUUCUCAAAAUCAAAAUCUAAAAGUUAUUCCUUCCAUUUUUUUCAAAAUCAGCUGUAGGACGGGUUGAUUUUGACAAAAGUGAUUUUAACUUUUUUAUUUUACUAAACACUAAAAUUAGCUUUUAUAUUUAUAAAAUUACUUUUAAAUCUCCCAAAAGCAAUAUCUUGGUGAAACCAUGAUUCUCCAUAAAGAAUUAGACUUCUUAUACCACUGUCUUGGUGCCUCUUUCAGCCUAUAUAAACUUUUCUUCAAACUUACACACAAGUUCUUUGAUUUGACACUGAAUCCUUCAAGUUACUCCAUGUAUAUUUCCUCUUCUUAGUCACUAUGAAAGGUAGUUGUCUCUAUAUCAAACUAUUCAAUCGUCAAAUUCAAGCUAACUGCUAAUUUCAAAACAACUCUGGUAGAAUACAUCUUCACUAUAAGAGAAAAUAUUUCUUCAAAAUCAACACCUUUCUUCUGACUGAAACCCUUCACAACCAAUCUAGCCUUGUACUGCUGUUGUGAGUGAUUUUCAGUUUUCAACCUUUAAACCCACUUGUUCUUCAAUGUCCUUUUUCUUUUAGGAUGCUUUACUAAGUCAUAAAUGUGUUUUCAUUUAAAGAUUUCAUUUCCUCUUACAUGACUUUAACCUACUCACUUUUAUGCUGGUGAGACAUGACUUCUUUAAAACAUUCAAACUCUCCUCCAUCUAUAAGAAUCAGUUUCAAAAGCAAUUAUAAAUGUUUGGUAAAUUCUACUGUUAAACUGCUGAGAGAAAAUAAAUGACUAAAAUGUACAUAAUGUAAGAUAAAAUUUAUUUAUAAAUAUGUAUAUAAAACAUUUUUAAUUGUGUAUUAUGAUAAUUUUUACUAAAAAUAAAUUUUAUAAUAUAUUGAUUUUUUUAUCUUAAAACAAUUGAUAAUUAAAUUUAUAAUAUAGUGAGACAAAUUUAAUAAUAAUUUGACCAACAAAUUGAUAUUAAUAAAUUUAUAUUGAUGAAUUAUAAGCCAAAAUUUAUUAAAAUAUUGAUUUUGUUUCCAAUUUGAAUAAAGAUAAUUUUUGGUUUAGAUAAUAAUUUUAAGAAUAUUUAUGGAAUUGUAUUAAAGGUAAAAUUGAUUCUCAAAAUCAAAAUCUAAAAGUUAUUCCUUCCAUUUUUUUCAAAAUCAGCUGUAGGACGGGUUGAUUUUGACAAAAGUGAUUUUAACUUUUUUAUUUUACUAAACACUAAAAUUAGCUUUUAUAUUUAUAAAAUUACUUUUAAAUCUCCCAAAAGCAAUAUCUUGGUGAAACCAUGAUUCUCCAUAAAGAAUUAGACUUCUUAUACCACUGUCUUGGUGCCUCUUUCAGCCUAUAUAAACUUUUCUUCAAACUUACACACAAGUUCUUUGAUUUGACACUGAAUCCUUCAAGUUACUCCAUGUAUAUUUCCUCUUCUUAGUCACUAUGAAAGGUAGUUGUCUCUAUAUCAAACUAUUCAAUCGUCAAAUUCAAGCUAACUGCUAAUUUCAAAACAACUCUGGUAGAAUACAUCUUCACUAUAAGAGAAAAUAUUUCUUCAAAAUCAACACCUUUCUUCUGACUGAAACCCUUCACAACCAAUCUAGCCUUGUACUGCUGUUGUGAGUGAUUUUCAGUUUUCAACCUUUAAACCCACUUGUUCUUCAAUGUCCUUUUUCUUUUAGGAUGCUUUACUAAGUCAUAAAUGUGUUUUCAUUUAAAGAUUUCAUUUCCUCUUACAUGACUUUAACCUACUCACUUUUAUGCUGGUGAGACAUGACUUCUUUAAAACAUUCAAACUCUCCUCCAUCUAUAAGAAUCACAUACUCAUACGGAGGACAUCUAGUGGAAGUUCACGUUUUCUAGUGGAUCUCUUCAAUUCUAGCUCAACUAGUAGGGCAGGGGUAGGUCUAGAAAUACUUGCUCAACUUGUUCUACUAGAACAUCAUUAUUAUCCUCUCUAGCUCUCCCAUGAUCAUCAUGAACUACAGAUGCAGAAACUGAAGUUAAAGUAAUAGGAAUCUUUGGGAAUGAUUGAAAUUCAUUAUUCUUCUCUUCAUCAUCAAUUAUUUGAUCUUCAAGAAAUUCAACAUAUCUAUUGCUGAUCAAUUUCCUUGCCACUAGAACCCACAAUCUGUAUCUAAAUUCUUCAUGUCCAUAGCCUAAGAAAUGUAUUCCUUGGCUUUAUCAUUUAACUUUGAUCUCUCAUCUUUAAGGAUGUGAACAUAUGAUUCGUAACCAAAUGCACUCAAAUGUUUAGAAAAAAAAAAUUCCGAUCUAAACUCUCUUAGGAACGUUACCAUCUAAUGAAGCUGAAGAAGAAACGUUAAUCAAAUCAACUGCAAUACAUAUAGCUUCUGCCCAGAAAGAUUUAAGAAACUUAGUAUCAGAAAACAUACAUCUAAUCCUUUCUUUAAUUGUUAUAUUCAUCCUUUCUAUAUCUACUAAAGGGUUUUGGUACAAUUUUCUCAACUUUAAUUCCAUGGGAUCUGUAAUACUGCUCAAAUGGUCCUUUGCAUUGCCCUGACACAUUUUAGUUUUCUUUGUGACCCUCUCCUAACAUAAGCAUAGAAGAACUUAAAAAUAUCAAGCAUCUGGUCUUUAAAUUUCAAAGUAAAAGUUUACACUUUCUAGAAUAGUUAUCAAUAAAAGUUACAAAAUAAAGCGCGCUUCUUAUUGAUCUACUUUGCAUCAUGCAAAUAUCAAUGUGAAUCAAAUCAAGGACUUUCUAAAUAGAGAAAAGUUUUUAAAAGCUAGUCUAUGUGUUUUUCUAACUAAGCAAUAAACAAAAGUCUUGAAGGAUAUAUCUAUAAAGUUGGGAAGAAAUCUUCUUCUGGCAAGAGUUUCCGUUUCUCAUCAACAUGACCAAGAAUUUUGUGCCAUGUCUGAAUGUCAAAAUCUUUUAUAACCACAUUCACAUCUUCCUUCUUAAUCUUGGCUUGUAUCACAUGAAGAGUGUUCACUUUCUUUCUCUUAGCUAACACUAGGGAGCCUCUGGUGAGCUUAUAUUUUCCUUCACCAAAUUAGUUAGAAUAACGAUCAUCAUCAAGUUUACCUGUAGAUAUCAAAUUAAGGUAAAUAUCUUGUACAUAUUUGACAUCUUUAAGUAACAACUUACAGCCUACACUGGUUUCGAAGCGAAUAUCUCCUAUGACCAUAAUCUUAUAUGCCCUCUCAUUCCUAUUCAAACACGAGCAUAAUCAUUAUUACUAUAAGAUAUGGAGUAAUCAUGAUAUGUAUUAACUAAAAUAAGCACCCAAAUCAAUCACCUAAUCACUGGUAUAGCAAGAGAGAUUUAUAGAGCUCUUAUCAUAAACAAUAUCAUAUUACCAUCAAUUAUAGCUAUAGUGUUCUCUUUGUCAUUUUUCUAACCAUUGGCCCUUUCCUUCGCUUGUUCUCUUUUCCAUAAGUUACACUCCCUUUUUAUAUUACCCAUUUUUUGACAAUGAAAGCACUUGAUGUUUCUCCUCUGGGACUUAUAUCUUUCUCUCGGGUUAUUAUUGUUCCAUUGAUGGGAAUAUUUGCUUUGACUUUUUCUCUGUCUUUCUUGGUUUUUCAAAACAAAUGCAUCUAACUUAGAAGGAACCACUUCAACACUAUUUUUUUUAGAUUCUUUAUUGCGUAAAUUUAUCUGUAACCAUAUCAAAAGUUAAUUUUCCAUUCGAUACUGAAUUAUUCACUGACAUUGCUAGUGUCAUCGAAUUGUCAGGCAAAGAACUUAGCAACAACAAUGAUAUUGUAGCUUAUCAUCUAGAAUAAUCUUUAUAGUAGUCAACUGAUCAACCAAGACCUUAAAGUCACUAGUGAAUUCAGUUAUACUACGCCCCUCUAUGCUGUCGGAUGCUCAUAAAUUAUUUCCAAUUUCCUUCAAAGAACAUCAGCUAUGGAUUCCUUCGCGAUGUCGUAGUACAUACUUUGAUUAAUCUAUGACCUAAUAGUAUCCAUGGCCUUCUAGUUUAAUUGAGUCCAUUUUUUAUCAUCUAAAUCGGUGGAUCUAGCUUCUUCGCCUUCGAUGGGUUCAUGUAAGUCUUUCAUGUAUAGCAGAUCCUCCGUUUUAAACCUCCAGAUACCAUAAUACUAUUGCUUUAAUUUAAUCAUCCAUGCUAAAUACUUCUCCAUCUCAAUCAUAUAAAUAAUAAAAACACAUACAUUGACUUUGAUACCACUUUGUCGGCAAAGAAACCUACACAAAUGGCUACAAUUUAAGUGGAAACAAUGUCUUUUCCUCUUUACGAGAUUAAAAUGGGAUGUGUACCACAAAUUAAUACGUAGAAAAUAAAUCAAUACAUUCCAAAGCAAUAAGUCAACCACAACAGAUAUAGACUUUUAUGUAAAAAAACCCAAAUUUAAAGAACCAUGGGGCCAUAGUUUGACACAACCUUCCACUAUAUUAAUAAUGAGAUUACAACAAAAAUUAUUCUCCAGAUAACACUAGAGGUUAACAACAUCAAGAAUCCAAUAAUCUUGGCUUACAAUAAUAGCCUAAUAUAUGUCUGUCUAAUAGUGGGUAUCUAAAAUAACAGCGAACGAGAUGAUAAAACAAAAAUCAAGACUAGUAGAAAUGUAGAGGGUGAUGACAGGAACUUACAAUUUAAAUUUAGGAGAAAAUAGAGUUAAAUUCACCUUCCAAUUGUCCAAUCAAAGAUUGAAACGCUAGCCCUAAAAUUCAAUAAUCGGUCAUUUUCUUUUCUCUUCUCUUGCAAUUUUAUUUUCAUUCACUAAUCUUUUAACUAUCAUUCAUAAUGGUUGUCGCUUCACUUGCUUUUAUAUGUGUAUAUUAUUUGGCUUCCAAAAUUUAAUGAUAGUUGCACAUUAAGCAAAUCUUUUGGACUUUGGACUUUUCAGCCACCCAAAUGAAAUGGACCCAACACAUUUCAAUAUCUGAAAAGGCUUAUCUCUAGCCUUUAUUUGAGAAGCUGAAGUUUUAGAGAAACCAUAAACAUAGGACCGUCGAUAUUUGGUUGCGAGUGCUAAAUGUUCUAAAUAGGCCAUUGCAUAUCAUGCAUAUUUAUAUAAGUAUAUAUAUUUUUUAGUAUAUGAAAAGCUGGGUUGCUUAUUGAAUUUUGUACUUAUUAUAAUUUAUUGUGAUUCUCAGUGAUGAAGAUUGAUUCAUGAUGAGUAAGGAGAAGGAUUUAAAAUUAAGGAUGGUAGAUGAUUUAGCAAAUUUGAAAGUCUUCCAUUGCUUAAGGAUUGAUUUUUUUUCUUUUUAUAUAUUCUAUAAAGAUUUUUAAGUUUACUAGUGUUAACACUUCCACCAUGCUUAAGUUGUGCAUUGUAUAGAAGGAUAAACCCUUCGAAUCUUAACUCGGGUCGUUACAUGGCCAUUAUGCCUUCCAUAAAUUAUCACAAUAUAAGUCCUUAACUUGAAAGUACCCAAUUUCAUAAAACUUAACAGGGUAACAAACAUCAUAAAUUAUAACUAGAUAUUAUCAUUUUCCUAUUUAAGUUUUUCUGACACAUCAAGUCAGUACCAAGAUUUGGUGAAAAUUUUAUUUUACCACUAAACAUUUACACUGUUAUUAGUUUACCAUCAUUCUAUUAAAAAUAAGUCAAUAUUUAACAAAAUAUGAGUUAAGAGCCGAUUUUUUCCUUUGAGCAAAGACAAUAUUUUUUUUUUUCCAUUUGAAAAGAUAGAAAUUACAAAAGAAAAAUUUAUCAUUUAUCCACUGGAAGUUUUCUGAAAUAUCAAUUCAGUACUAAAACUCUUUGAAAACUAUAUUUUACCACCUAAUAUUUCAACUGUUAUCUCUUUACCACCAAAAUGUUAAAAUAACUAAACAUUUAACCUAGAGUAUAAAAGACGAUUUUGUUAUUUGAAAAUAAAGAAAUUACAAAAAAAAAAAAAUUACCUUAGAACGAUAGUGAUUAUAUUCAAUAAUGAUUACUUUUUAAUUAUAUAAAUAUGUUAUUGUGCAUUCAAAUAUCGAAAUUCCAAGUAAUACAAGCCAAGUACUUCUGUUUUUGAUAAUAUUAUUCAACACUAAUAGCCUAAGCCAUUUCAAACACUACAAUUAUAAGCUAAAUACUCUAAAUUUAACACUUCAUCAUUCAAUAAUUGUGUUGACAUUUUGGUUCAAAGUUAAAUUCCUUAAAUUCCCUUAUGACAUUUGCGAAUUUUUAACUAUGUUAACAUAAUGUUGGUAAGGUGGUAAUAACUUAAACAUUAGGUGGUAAAAUGUAGGUUUUAGGAAACCUUAGUACUGAAUUGAUAUGUUAGAAAACUUUUGGUGGAAAAAUAAUAAUAUCUUUUUCACAAUUGAACGAUAUGUUAUGGUUUUAACCUGAAAUUUUUUAAAUGACCUAAUAACAUUAGGAAAUUUUUAACUGUAUUAACGGAAUGAUGAUAAAGUGAUAACAACAUAGACAUUUGGUGGUAAAAUUGUAGUUUUCACCAAACCUUGAUAUUGAGUUGAUGUGUCAGAAAAACUUAGAUAGAAAAAUGAUAAUAUCCCAGUCACAAAUUGCAAAUACAAUUAAUAAAUAUAAUUCUUUACAUAUAAAGACAUGUAAAAAACAAUUGCAUGUUCAUGCUUAUACCAAUACUUAAUAUCACACAUUAUCAAAAACUUUUACAAUGCACAUAUUAAAACAAUCUUUCCAAAAUCUACACAAACGUAUAUUUCAUUGUGGGGUCCGGCUACGGUGCAACGGUGGUACCGUGCUACCGUUGCAUCCAGCCGUUGGAUCCACUUAGAUGGAUGGAUCCAUUGGGAUCCAAUAGUUGGGUGCAACGGUGGUACCGUGCCACCGGCAUCCAGCCGUUUGAUCCACUUAGAUGGAUGGAUCCAUUGGGAUCCAAUAGUUGGGUUCAACGGUGGUACCGUACCACCGUUGCACCAUAAUUUUCUCCUUCAUUGUGAUCUUAGUUUAAUCUAGUUUACUUCCUCUCACCCACUAUAACCAUAAGUUUAACCUCAUAAAUUAACUACUAUAACCUAAUAUCAAAAUUGAACUCUCUUACACAUCAUUAGACAAAUAUAAUAAAGAUUCUCCUUAAGUAACUACCUAUAACUUCAUACAUCAACAGAUUUCAUUCAUAAAAUGUAGAAACAUUAAUGACCAGCCCUCAAUAUCUGAUUUUUAUUAAAUAAAACACUUAUUGAAAAAUCAUAAACUUUUGCAGGAUUUAAAUAGAUAUUAAGCAAACGUGUGGCAAAAAUUUCAAAUCCAAAUUCAUUUUACGUCUAUUUAAAAUAAAUUUUAUUUCAAGACUUUCAGGUCCUGAAAUCCAGAAUCCAGCAUUGAGGACCCUUCACUCGUCAAUUCAAAAUAAAUAAAUAAAUAAAUAAAUAAAGCACAAGGAAUUAAGACCCGGAUUUUGGAUAUUACUAGAUAUACACAAGGAAAAUCUAAAAGUCUUAUAAUUUUUAGAGACGUUUUGAACAGCCAACAGAUUUUUCUCAUUUGUAACACUGCAUAAAUUUCGAUUUUCUAAAAUCAUAGUGUCUUAUUUGAAAAUUCAUUAGAAUGUAUAAGUCAUUUUUUAAUGAAAUAAGUUCCUAUGUAGCCCCUAACAUGUCUAGUUUUACCAGAUAUGAAACAAAUUUUCCAAACUCGAAAAAAUAUAAUUUUAAAUAAUUUUUGGAGUGAGAGAAUGUCAUAUAAAAUUUGGGCAUUUCAUUAAUCCUCAUGGUUUUCACUUAAUUAAUAAUUAAUCAGUCACCUAAUACUCAUGAAAUUCUUUUUAAUUUUGAUAUGCUUCCAAAAUAAGACUCUUGAAUGCCAUUAUUAAUCCCACAUAACGCGAAAGAAGUGCCAAAGCUAUUUAGCAACGAAUUCCACUCAGAUAAACAAACCUAGUACGGUAAGAAACAUUGUAUUAUUUUCAAAUAAGUUAAACUUGCCAUGAGAUGCCAACACUAUAAAGACCCAAAGUCCUAACAAGUACCCAAAUGUCUUAGACAUGCAUGUCUUUAGUAGCUCCACAAUUGUCCAAUACCUUUGUACUUCAAUGAUAAAAGCCACAGCAAAAAUCUUUAACCACCUCUCUCUUCUCUAACAGCCGACCAAGAGGAAGAAAAAUGGAAUAAAAAAAUCAUUUCUCUUGAAUCUUUAUUUUUUACCUAGGUUUAGCUAAUGGGCUUGGUUAAAAUGAUUCAUAUGGGCUGGCCGAAACGAGGCUAAAUAAUAUAUCCUAGGCCCAAAAUCAAGCUAAACCAACUACUUACACAAUACUAAUAUUUGUACUAAUAUUUUUGGUAGUAACAAAUAAGAAUAAGAAUAAGAAUAAUAUUAAGAAAUAAAAAAAUAAAGAUAAAUUAAGAAAAUGAUCAAUAAUCGUAACAAUACAAUCAAAAUAAUGCUAAUAAUUACUCAAUUGAUUCACUAGUAUUAUAUGGCACUUGUAGACUUUUGAAAAAUUAUUGAAUUUCUAAAUAAAAUAUGAUAAUAUUAUGAGUUUUAGAUCUAAAAUCUUCAUUCUGACUCAGCACAUUUUUUUACAAUUUUUUAAUUUUUGAGAAAAAAGUCAUUCAAAUUAUAUGAUCUAAUAAAUAUUUAUUAUAAUAAAUACUGAAACUUUUUAAUUACUAAUUUAUUACGAGGAACAUCAACAUAUCCUAAAAUUACACACAAUUUACAUCAGUUUUUAACCCUCAGACUCAUAGCUAAUCAAUGGUUCAAAUUAAAUGACACUACUACUCAAGAUUCUAAUUACUUCUCGGCACCCCACAACCGUUCCUUUGUUCCCAACAAUAAUAAAUACUUUUUCUAGAUCUUUAUCUCAUUUUUCGUUCUUCCUUCUUCACAAAUCAUUUGCAGAAAAGACAAACAAUCAAUAUUAGAAAAAGAACUAAUAGAGUCUUAUUAACAUCGAACGUUCUGAAAAACUUCAUGACUUAAUAGUUGAAAAUUAAAUUGCCAACUCAUUCAACAAAAAUUUGAUAAUCAUUGUUUGCAAACACAAAUUUGCAAUCUUAUUCAUUGAACAAAAUAAAAAUGUGAAAAAUAUUUUCAAUUCAUGGACGAAGCACUUGUUAAGUAAACUAUCAUAUUAGUCUACUAAUAACUCAAAAUUAUUUGUUCAAAUUACCCAAAUCGGAUCAUUUUCAGAUCAUUCAAGAUAAUUUCAAAUGCAUCGAAUUACAAUAACUAAGUAAUUCAUAAGCUUUUAUUCAUUUAUAUGUUAUUGGUUCGGAAUAAAAUAAUGUUGGAGAAUUGGGAAAAUCCUUUUUCCGUGCAGGUAUGAUAUAAGAAUUUUGAAAUGGCUAACGAACUAUUAUAGCGAAAAUAGGAUUUUCUUAUAAUAAAAGAGAGAGGUGAAAGGAAGGAGAAGCAAAGAGUAAAAUUAUUGAAGAAGGAGGAGAGAAAAAGAUCUUAGAGUGAGAUCCAUAAGAAGUAAUUAGAGUCUUAAAUAUUAGUGUCAUAUAAUCUGAACAUUGAUUAGUUAUAAAUCUAAGGGGUAUAAAUUGAUUUAAAAUUAGGUGUAAUCUUAGGGGGUCUGAUCUACCUCUAAUUUAUUAUUAACAAUUUUUUUUUUUUUGCUUUCCUUCUUUAGGAACAAGUGGACCUUUUUUUUUUUGCUUUCCUUCUUUAGGAACAAGUGGACCUAUUUUUUGAUGUUUUGUAAACUUUAUUUUACUCAAAUUUUUAUUAUAUAUUUUUUUCUAUAGGAAUAAAACUGUUACACUAAGAAAAUAAAUUUUUACAUGUUAUAUCUCCACAAUUGAAAAGAAAAAUGGGAAAUUUACAAAACAAACCUAAAUUUUUUUAUAAUUUUUACAAUUGGUCCUCUAAAUUUAUUUUUAUCAACAUUAGUCAAAUAAUAUCUCAAGUGGCCAAAAUACCCCUCUCAUUCUCACCAAGCUUCCUCUCUCCCUAACUAACUAUUUCUCUCCCAAUUUGUUCACUCAUCGCCGGCGGCUUCCUGAGUCCAUUCUCGGCAAGAAAAUUACAAUACCUAUCUAAAAAACUGAAAACGACGUAGUUUCAUCCCAAACCAACCGUUUAGCCGCCACCUUUUUUUGUUUGACCGCCGGUAUGGCAUUUACAGCCGCCGGUAGUGGUCUCCAGCCACCACUGAACCAACGCGUCACCACUGGUGACGGCCACCAGUCACGGAAGUCCCCCAACCAGCCGCAAACAACCGAAAUCCGUAGCCCUAGAUCACGUCAAGUUGCUCAUUCCUUUUCUACCAUCGUCGCCGCAUCAGUAACCGUCGGUGACAUUCCCAACCGACCAAUGCAGCCACCCUUGUCCCAUCACGAUACGGCGUUGUCUGCAUUACUGCCGCUGCAACCUCCAUCUAUUUAAACUGACGCGAGUUAAAAAAACCCUAGUUCACACUUCGUAACUCAUGCGGCGGCUGUUACCUCUUCAGAACCUUUGCCUGAUGUCACCUAACCUGGCCUUUCACUGUGACGAUGCCAUGUUAAUGAACCCAACACCCAUAACGUUCAAACGCUGUUGGCCGCUGCAUGUGGUGGUAUUCCACUGCCAGCUGCGAUUCAUAGCCCUGUUCAGCCUUCGUCUGACCCUCACGUAGCCUCCCCAUAACUUUUGCCAAUGCCCACAACAAGCUCCCAUGUACCCCAUGCAACCUCGGUUUUGGAUUCACGCCCUAACGUUACUCAUAUGAAUCAAGCAUCCAAAACCGUCAUCCAAGAUCCUCAUCGCCCUCUACCAAAUACAACCAGUGAUAUCUUGGCUGGUAACCAAGACCCAAGUCGACCAACCCCUCUUAACCCCUCAACUCGUAAUUCAAAUCCUAACUCCAAGUCCACCUAUGCUUUGGUUUUGAACCCAGCCUCCAUCCUUAAUCCUUCUGCCUCACUUCAGCCUCAUAAGUCAUUCCUUGAUGCCGUCAAGGGUUGCACUGUGUUUACUAUUCUAGUUAAGCCGACCCUUUUACAUCGCGGUGAGCCUGCUGUUCUUUUCUCGGCGGAAGAAGUUAAAGCUAUGGAAAAACCUUUCAAACAGGCAUUGGUUGGUAAGUUUUGUUCCGGUCGACCCUCUAUGGAUGUUAUUAGAAAAUUUUUUGUUUCCCUGGGGUUGAAAGGGAAUUGUCAAGUAUCUUUGUUGGAUAAUCACCAUGUGUUGAUUAAACUUUCCUUAGAGAAAGAUUACUCGCGUACUUAGGCGAGGCGGACUUGGUAUGUUAGUGGUCGGGGUAUGCGUAUUUUUAAGUGGAGUACUGAUUUUCGUUGUUCGGUGGAAUCCCCUAUUGUGCCUGUCUGGGUAUCAUUACCUUAUUUGCAUGUUCAUUUUAUUCAUUGUAAGGCUGCUUUAUUUUAUAUUGCUGCUGCUAUGGGUACACCAUUGCGUGUUGACCAUGCCACAACCUCGGUUAAUAGGCCUUCGGUGGCUAGGGUACUUUUUGAGUAUGAUGUUUCAUGGCUUUGUUGCCACGUAUUUGAAUUGGUGAGGGGAUGCUGGUUUUUGGUAGGAUGUUGUUUUCGAGCAAGUUCCUGCAUAUUGUGCUUCAUGUAAGCAUCUUAGUCAUUCUGCUGACUUAUGCUAUGUUGCUAACCCUGUGCUUCGCAAGCCCAAUCCGCCAGUUGGAGAGUCUAAAGGGGUUGCACUCCUGGAUAAGGGUAAAGCAACAGUUUCAGAUUCUGUUGUUCAGACUUUGGUAGGUCGUGACGCUCAAUACGUUGUCAUUGCUGAUAAUCGGCCUCAGGUGCCUAAUUUACAACAUCUUGUAGAUCAGGGUCAGAGUUUGAUUUUUGCUUUAGCUCCUCUUACAGAGCCUCAUCCAAUGUGCCCCGUCGCUGCUAAUGAGACUCAUUUUGCCUCUAUUCCUUCUGGAUCGGGUUUGGAGACCGCAUUGGGUGAUUAGGGUCGAUCAGCAGGUGCUGUUAAUGCUGGUUUGGGUGUUCCGAUUGUUCAUCCAAUGCCUGUAGAUGAUCAUUUACGUGUUGCUUCUAAUACGCAUUGCCCUGAUAUUCCUAGAUUUGAUGAUGAGGAGGGUGAUGGUCGGUUGGGUUUGUCCCACCUAGAUGGGGAUGCUGUAUCUAAUGAGUCGGCUUCUGGUUAUGAGGGUCGCUUUUUUUUUUUUUUAUAUUAAUCAUGAGGUAUCCUGGGGAGGGCUCCAACUGUGGGAGGCACCUUUAAGCCCGUACCACAACCCAGAUUAGAAGUCCCCGCUCAAACCGGGAGGCAUAGGUUCUCCCAACAAAGACGACUUCCCUGCGACUCGAACUGAGGGUCGCUUUUUGAUUGAUCCUGAGGAUGCUCAAACUCCUGUGGCCCCAUAUACAGUGAUUGAUAGAUUUGAUGGUGAGAGGGUUGCCGCUUCAUCUCGAGAUUUUUCUUUCAUUACUAGUCGUAAAUAUCGUAAUACUCGUAGGCGGAUGUGGUCUCACUCCUCAAACCCUUAUGAUUAAUUCACUCAUUUGGAAUAUUAGGGGGAUCAGUAAGGCCCCCGCGGUCCGCAGGUUUCGAAAAUUGAUUCGGUUGCAUUGACUAUCUUUGAUUUGUGUGCUAGAGCAUUUUCUUUCUGCUGAUCGAUUAGAGGUUACUCGGUUUCGACUAGGGAUGGAUCAUGUUAUCUCUUCUUAGUCUGGGAAGAUUUGGGUUUUUUGGUCUACGCCUUUUUCGGUGGAGAUUAUGAUUGAUAUGGGCCAGGUGAUUGAUUGUCGGUUUAGUCAUACUCUUUUUCCUGAACCUGUGUUUGUUUCUUAUGUUUAUGCUAGUUGUUCUAUGCAUGUGCGAGAGAAUUUGUGGGAUGGUCUUAUGUCGUUUGCUAAUGGUCAUGAUGGAUUGUGGAAGAGAUUUUAAUGUUGUGCAGACUGUCUCAGAGAUCUUUGGUGGGCAUGCUCAGCCUCAGGGGGCUAUUGUUGCUUUUAAUUUAGCAUUGCUAGAUUAUGGUUUAAAGGAUGUUGGGUUUCUUGGCAGUCCCUUUACUUGGACUAAUGGGCGGAUAUGGAAGCGUCUUGACCGAUAGUUUGCAAUGCCCAUUGGUCCAUUUUUUCUCUAUUUUUCGGGUCACACACUUUAAUCAUACUGCUUCGGAUCAUUCGCCUUUAUUUUUAUCUUGUGAUAGGGAUAUGGCUAGUGGGCCUUAUCGAUUUAAGUUUUUGCAUGCAUGGCUCAAGCAUCCUGGUUUUCUUAAUGUUGUGCGACAGUCUUGGUCUGCUCAAAUGGUAGGUUCUGGGAUGAGAGCUUUUCAGUAGAAGCUUGUUCGAUUCAAGCUUUGCUUGAAGGUGUGGAAUAAGGAUGUGUUUGGUAAUGUUUUUUCUCGGGUCAAGGAGGCAGAGAAGGAUCUUGCUCAAAAGGAGAGGUUGUAUGAUCUUUCUGGUUCUGCUACUGACAGAGCUAUUUUUUCUAAGGCUAGGGCCCGAUUGCAGCAUGCUUUGCUUUGUGAGGAGAUUUUUUUGCGUCAACAAUCUAGUGUUCGUUCGGUUCGCGAUGGAGAUGUUAAUACUCGCUUCUUCCAUGCAAUGGUUUGGAAUAUGUUGUCCUCUAUGCCCUUGCAUUUGUUUCAUGUUCUUCGGCCUCUUUUGGUUGUGGUUCAGCGUUUAGAGCGAUUGUUCACUCAGUUUUUAUGGGGCGAUUCUUAGGGGAGGCGUCGAAUCGACUGGUGUAGAUGGUCAAAGUUUUGCUAUUCGGUUGAGGAAAAUGGACUUUGUAUUCGGUCUUUUGAUGAUAUAGGUAAGGCUUUUGAGCUUAAGCUUUGGUAGCAUUUUUGAGAGCAGAGUUCGUUAUACGCUUCCUUCAUGAAGUCUAAGUAUUGCAGCUCUACACAUCCGAGUCUUAUCCAGUUUCAAUAUCCUGCUUCUCCUAUUUGGAGACGACCUUGUUUGAUUCGGUGUAUUGCUGGGCCUCAUGCGCGUUGCUUAAUAGGGCGCGGGGAGUGUAGUUUUUGGUAUGAUUGUUGGCUGCGCUCUUGUCAUUUAGUUAUUUAUAAUCCUGCAGCGGCUUCUUCAGUUCCGGUUUCCUUUUUUUGGCGGGGAGAAGUCUGGGACAUGGGCAAAUUAGAGGAUGUUUUGCCUACUUCUAUUGUUGAGCAGAAUUUAUUGGUGUCGAUUUCUAGUGAAGAGGUUGAUUUGAACCGUUGGGAUCUUGCAUCUGAUGGCACGUUUCACUUGCAGUCUGCUUGGGAGCUAGUGCGUUGUUCUAGCCUGAAAGAUGAGGUUUUUCAAUUAUUUGGCAGCGACAUGUCCCAUCCCAGGUCUCUUUUUUGGCUACUGAUGAGGGCUUGAGUUCGUGAGGUUUCUGCAUGGUCUCUCGAUGUGUUUGUGGUCGAGCUGUUGAGACUUUUAGGCAUUUAUUUGUUGAUUGCCAGCAUGUUUCUCAAGUUUGGGUUCAUUUCCAGCGGAUUCUCGGUAUGCGAGCUCUUAAGUUUCUCACUCUUCGUGCUUUGCUUUUUCAUUGGCAGAGAUGUGCUCCUUCUCGCCAUCAUAUUCGGGUUCUUCUGCAUUGCUUUAUUUUGUGGCAAGUUUAGAAGGCCCGCAAUGCUUUUCGGUUUAGUUCGCAGUCUUUCUCUAUUGAGGCGAUCAUUUUUCAGGUGGAUUCAGAUCUCAGGUUAACUAGUUCUACUUUUGGCUUUAAGCCUUCGCAACAGAUGUGAGUCUUAGGUUAUUGGAUAACGGAGGAUUUGCAUGUCAUGACUCCUCUUGGGAGGUUGAUUCGAUUGGUUUCAUGGAUGAGGCCGCCUCCUGGGGUGGUGAAGCUGACUGUGGACGGAUGUUCUAGGGGUAAUCCUGGGAUGACUGCCUCAAGGGGUAUUUUAUGAGAUCAUCAAGGUGUGGUUUUGGCUGCCUUUGGCUCCUUUCUUGGUCGCCAACCAAUUCUUUAUGCUAAGCUCAUGGUUGUGUGCGAGGGGUUGGAGCUUGCUGCUCAUAUGGGUUAUCUCACGCUUGAGGUGCAGUUGGAUUCAGCUACGGUUGUUUCUUGGAUCCAUUCCCAGGGUCUUGUUCGUUGGGAGUACGCUUACUUGUUGCGUUGUGUGUGCUCUCUCAUAUCCUCUUCGACUAUUUUAGUUUGACAUGUGUUUCACGAGGCUACCUCUGCUGCUGAUUUUCUGGCUAAUCGGGCAUGUUCUCGACGUUUCAGUAGGCAUUUUCUUCUCCCUAUGAUUUUCCUACCGGCUUACUGGGUAUUCUCCAUUUGGAUGCUCAGGUUGUCCCUCAUGUCAGGCGCUAACAUUGAUAGCAUUCUCUUCAAUUUAUUCUUGGUUUUUCACGUGUUUUCAUUUAUUAUGAAGGUCAUGGUCUAUGUCCCCUUUCUUAUGUAUACAUUUUAGUUUCUAAUUUAUAUUACAGGUAGGGGUCCUGCCUAACCCCCCACUUUCUAGUGGUUUUUUUUUUUUUUAAAAAAGUCCAUCCUCGGCAGCCAACAUCACCAAAAUUUUGGCCAAGAUCUGAAAUCAAAAGUUACUUAAAAAACCCUAGAUUUUGAAGCAUGUUCUAUUGUGUAUUCUUCUUUUAUGUUGUCAUUUUUUUGUUGUGCUGGUCAUGGUGAGUGAAAAUUGAAGUGUUUGUGAUGUUGGUGGCAUGGGUGAAGUUGUUAGUGUGGUGAUGGCACCAAAAUUAUGGGCUCGGUGCCGGCCAUGACCAGCCAUUGCUCCUGAUCAGGUGCGACAGCGUGCCUGUCGUACCUCACAAGCGCGAGUGACUGUCGCGUAAGAGAGCCUGUCAUUUGCGCUUGUCCCGCGAAAGAGCCUGUUGUUUGCGCUUGUCGUCCUUCAUUUGCACGAUAAGUGCGCAAGCUAGCCUAUCACUCACGCCUGUCGCGGGCGCUUGGUGCGACAGGCUGGCUGUCGCACUAAUUUUGUGCCUGUUGUACCAAGUUACAAUUUUUUUUUAACAUGGUGAAAUCAGAAGAAUCGAGAAAUGAACUCCGCAUGAUAAAGUUAGCUUAUGCCGAUCACUUUCCAGGGCGAAUUUUGAGUAUGUGUAAAUUAGCUACAGUCAUAAAAGCCAUCCAGAAAAACUUAACAUAACAGCAGUUGUGUCUGUUCAAGGACGACAUAUUUGGGCAUUUCUUGGAGUGCUGAAACUUUCCGUUCAGUGGCAUAAUUUUGCACAAUGUGUUGCUUAGGAAAGUGGCCUAUGGAGAAUACAGGGAGAACGAUCAGUUAUGGUUUCAAAUUGGUGAGCAAUUGAUACGCUUAUGAAUUGGAGAAUGAUGUCUAGUUACGAGACUUUCCUAUAGUGAAGAUACCGUACUGAAAAAGCCAAAAAUGGUGCAUAGGCUACUAAAUACGCAUUUUGAUUGUUUGUUUCGCAACAUCAAUCUUAAGCAAUUCGAUGUAUUAUUUGAGAAGUUAGACUUCAAGGCGAUGGAUGGAAUUAAUGCAUUAAAGAUCGCACUCUUUUAUUUUGCGGAUAGAGUUCUAAAUGCAAGAAAAGGACAAUGUCAAAUCAAUUUCUCAUUGCUUAACAGAGUAGAUGAUAUAGAUCACUUCCAGAAUCGUCCAUGGGUUUGUUUGUUGUAGGAAAGGAUGUACGACAGUCUUGACAAUGCACUGACCGGCAAAGACGAGAAAUUUAAAAAGUCUCGGUUGCAAAAGCUAAAUCAUAAAAUUAAAAAGUACAAUGUUUAUGGCUUCAUGUCCGGGGUUCAAGAUUUUUGGAUUAAUUAGUUUUGUAACAUUAAAUUUUUAAUGGUAGUUUAAAUAAAUUUCUCACUUUGGUUAUUGCAGGCUUGGAUUUUCAAAGCGAUCGGAGGUCUGUUAUCAGCAUGGGUCAUGAAAACGAAAAAGAUUCCCCACAUCGUGUAAUGGAAGCUCAUGGCUUCUUCUAAAAUAAACUUUGCUGAAGUCUAUUCAUUUUUGAAUGACAAUUCUUGUCUUGUAAGUAAUAUAUAUUGGGAGACGUAUAGUACUACUUUUGACAUUACUAAAUUCAAGUUCUUUACACUUACUUAAAAUUUUGAGUUGAAUUCAUGUAAGGAGGAUAUAUCACAAACCCUUGAGCCGGAUGCAAAGAGAAUCGUAAAAAAUAUUGGUAGACUGUGAAGGAUUACGUGCCACGUAUUCCAAGUUGGGUCCAUAAUGUCGGUAUCUUAUAACAACUAUUAUUUAUUGAAUCAAAAUUUUUGACUUAUUAUUUACUUAUUUUAAAUGUUACUUUUUAUAGCACCAACUUUCAAUCAAUGCGCCGCCCAUUACAAGGCAAACAAAAGAGCAUGACGACAUACCAAGCCCAACACCAGAGCAACAUCACGAUACAUUUGAGGAAGAGCUGCCUGUAAAUUACCAUCAGGGGCAGACAGAUAAGUCUGAUGACACACAUGAUUCUGAGGUUAUAAAUUAUUUCUUUUCCUCAUAUAUAAAUCAUUAUAACAAUCUGUCAUUAUAAAGAAUUUUUUUUUUUGUAAUAGUCGAGGACAAAGCAUCAUUAUGAUUACAUGAGACGACAAAUGGAUAAAAUUAAGCAUAACAUUUAUGAACUUAAGUCAGCUUUUGAGGUAGAUCGCGGAGAAUUUAAAGAAUUUAGAGAAACGGUGGUGGGAUUUAUUGAUUCACUUACUAAACAGUCAUACGGGGAUUCUCCAACUAGAGGCUCGUAUGCGGUGAGCAAAUUUUAAAUUUAACAAUUGUGUUCGUUUAUCUUUUAAUUUCAUAUUUUUUUUAAUAUGUUCAUCCUGCCAAAUCGACAGGUCUCGGAUGAUUGUGGAGUGUAUAUUGAUGUUGGCAAUUAAAAUGUUUCUAUUCCCAUGUCAUUAUAUAGUUUCUAUGGGGAUGUUAGUGAAGAGAGCAUGCAGGUCUUCACUGAGGCAUCUUCGGGCAUUAGUAAGUUCGGCUGAGCGUAUAGACCGUCGUAUGUUUUUAAUAGUUCUUACUUGAUUCCUCCAUUCUAGCGAGGAAAGAACAUCAAGCCUCUACCUGCACCCAAAAUUAUGGACCAUGCGAUUGGCAGAAGUACGAGCGUAGAUAUAAAUCCACUUAGAGGAUUGGAGGAUCCAGGUCUGUAUGAUGAGUUUGACCGAUAGUUCGCUGGCGAUAUCACAGUCGAUCGAAGAGUCCAAUAGCCGCACUCGUUCUUUCAAGUAAUUUUGGGUCAUACUUCGAUGGGAUGGCUAGGUGACGAGGUAAAUUUUUUAUUUUAUUUCUUGGAGUGUUGUGGAUUUGUGUAUUAUUUUUGACGUUUUAAAUCGACAUGUUUCUGUUCCUCUACAGCGUAUUCACGAGUAUUUUCGCUUGAUUGGCGAAAGGCAAUGGCAGUAUCCGAAUGCCUUACCUCAGUGUGUCACACGUACAGACACAUUUUUUUGGGUAACCUGUUAACAUAAUUUAUAAUCACCGGUUUUUUUAUUUCUUAUCUCCUAAUGCCUUGAAGUUUCAUUAAUUUCUGCAUUUUUUGGUAAUCUAUAUACUAAGGUGGCGUUUGUUUUUUAACUUAAUGACUUAAAGUGACUUAACUUAAUUAAUUAAGUUAAUUAGAGGUGUUUGUUUUUAUAACUUAAUGAGACUUUUUAGAUAAUUUUGACUUAAUAAAGUAAGCCAAUUUUUUUUAACUUUUUACUUAAUAGAGACAUCUGAAUUAAGUUAAUUAUUUUCUAAUGUCAAAAAUAUCACUGAUUUAUAAUUUAUUUUUCAUGUCUAUCCCAAAACUCACCCAUAGACAUUUACCCCACAUAAUAAUCUCAUCAUUAUUUUUUUAGCCGUCAUGAAAUCCCUCCUCACUUUGGUAUCAACUCCUCAAGUAUUGAAGAUCAAAAUUACAUGCGACAAACUUCGAGAUGAAAUGUCAAAUCAAUUGUUUCAAGCAUCUUAUUAGUUUUUUUCUUUCUUAUAUUAUAUACGAUAAAAUUUGAAAUUUAUGGUAUUUUAUAUAUUAAAAUUCCAAAAUCAUUAUGUAUUCACUUGAAUAUAGUUUUACUUAUAAAUGUUAAAAUAUUGUGGUAUUUAAUAUAUUAUUUAUUUGACAUUCAAAUUUAAUAAGGAUACAAAUGUAAAAGUACAUAUUUUCAUUUUUUUUAAGUUGAAAAAAAACAAACAACUUAAUAAUUAUUUUUCGAGAUUCAGACGAAAAAAUAAACAUAUUAUUGAGAUUCAGACAUUCAAAUCUAUUCAGAAUUCAGACUAAUUCAAGUCUAUUCAGAUUUCAGACAAAAAAACAAACGCCACCUAAGUGUUCUUGAAUCAGUUAUGGAACAAUAGAGAUUGUGCAAUCGAUUCAUUAGUAUAUAACGACAGCUUGAAUAGCUAUUUUGGUGGGCGGCAGUACAUCAUGUCCAAACCAAUGACGGAUGUUGAUAUGAUGUGUAUUUUGUUGUAUUUUUCAGACACAAUCCAAAGUGUCUUUUUGUUGUCUGUUUUUCGAUUUCAUUUAUAAUGAACAUGAUAAAUUUACGAGAAUUUUUUAUAUACAAGUAUUCAUCCCUGUUAACUUGGACCAUGAUCAUUGGGUACUAGCCCGAGUAGACUUUCGUAAGAACAGAGUCUCAAUUUAUGACUCAUUACUGACAUUUCAAGAUGAUAAAAAGUACAAGUUUCAAUUCAAGCCGUUUGAAGUUAUCUUCCCUCGAUGGUUGGAAUAUGUUGGAUUCUACAACAUCCGACGUGAGCUGCAGAGUACCGACCCCUAGAAAGUUGUCUCAGUUAAGGGUGUGCCACAACAAGAGCUCGGUACUGGUGAUUACAGUGUUUUUUUGUUGAUGUUUACUAUGUAUUUAAUGUUCAGGCUUAGAUUAGAUUUUAACGAUAGUCAUUAGAACUACUUUAGAAAGAAGAUUGCAGUUGACUUAUUUAAUGACGAUAUUGUAUAAGAAAAUUACAGUUGACUUAUUUAAUGACGACAUUGUAUUGUAAGCCGUUGUAGUAAUUCGAAUGUUGAUGCAUGGAUUUUUUUCCCCUGAGCGUACUUAAGUAUAUAUAAUUUUAAUGCUCAUAUUUUAAUAAUAAAUAAAAUAAAAUAAAAGAUACAAAUUAAAAUAAAAUUUCAUGGUAUAUAAGUGUCCAAUACACAAAAAAUAACAAUUCUUUGAACAUAAUUACUUGAAACAAUACGACUAACUUCGAUUUGACGCAAUGCGAUUCUUACAUCGUUUAUGGUUAUGUCUCGGUUCAUUACACCGCCCGCAUCUAACAGUCCUCCAGUUAACGUCCUUGCCAGCCGAAGGUAUUAUGAUCUCUUUAGAACGACCAAGUGGUGGUGCCUCUACUGGUGGAUAAACGUGCAUCUCUCGAAUUUUAUUUGGAACUUCCCAACCGGCUCCACUGGUUGUGCAUAAGCCAUUGCCAACGAUUCCUUGGUGUAAAAAUCAGAACAAAGGCUUAUGUAAUCCACGCGGACAGUUAGACAAGUAGUAAUUGCAUGAGCACAGACAAGCUAAUCAAGUUGGAAUACUCUGCAGGCACAACUCUUCUUUUGUAUGUCAACUAAACUUCCUUAAUACCACUACCUACAACUUGGAAUCGAUGUGGACACAUAGGACAAACGAUCAUUUUUUUAGCCAAAGUUCUCCUCUCAGUGACUCUUUCAUCUGCCCAUGUUGUUAGCCGAGUACACAAUGAUUCAGUCACAAUUUUCCUAUCAUAAAACCAUUGCUGCAAUAUUUUUCUAAAGUGAUCAACAAGAUGAGUAACAGUAAAUUUUUGCAGUUCCCUCAUGAAAAAAUUCACGCUCUCCGCGAUGUUGGUGGUAAUUAUAUUGUACCUCCUACCUUUAAAUUGAGACCUUGCCCAAUUACACGUACCUAUAUUAUUCUCUAAAUAAUCAGCCUCACCCGAAUGGAGCAUCCACAACUCUUCAAGUUGUUUUUUAAAUUCUUCAUGUUCAUAUGCUUUUGCUGCAUUAAUAAAAGCAGGCUCAAAUUUAUCCCAAAGAGCUUUGGACACCCUGAAUUUUGACUCAAUGUUACCUUUCACAUGGUAAAAACAAACGCCAUGAGUUGCAUUGUGAAAUACUUUUAGAACGGCUUCACUUAUACCGUUUGUCGUCGUCGUCGUUUGCCAUUGCCGUUUGAUAUUGCCGGUGAUGAUUCAAAAGGGCAAGACUACAUGUGGUUUGAUAAAGAGGGAGAGAAGUUGGGAUUGAACUAACAAGGGUAAUUUGGGAAAAAAAACCUUGUGUUUGGCUUGUUAUGAUAGGAAAACGUUUCAAUGGUUAAAUGUGAAAAAUGACAAAAUUCUUUGGUUAUUUUUGUAAAUUUCCUAAGAAAAACAUAAAAGCAGUUUGAAAAAUUUUAUGUUAUCAUUUGUGCCCCGGGAGUUGAAGUCUCAGCUCCUUCAAAUAGUCUCGCCUCAAAACAAAACAAAACAAAACAGAGAAGCUGACACUGAGCUCCUAAUGUGGACAUUUUUUUCAACCCAAAAAUUCUAGUUCAUUAGUUUGCCUUGAGUAAUAUAUAAGGAUGUCAAAAGUAACUUCUCGGCCUGGACCAACCAGAUCAAAAAGAUAUUAGACUGGAACUCAACUUCACUUUAUAAGCUCGAGGUUGAGCACCGAACUUGAAUUUUAUGAAAAAUUCAUCAAAAGAUAUAUUAUUUUAAAUAAUCAUAUUUAUGUGACAUGACAUGACUUAAAAGUACACAUUACUCCUAUGUAUAAGAGUGUCUAAUUAUAAUAUAAUUUGAUGAGUGUGGGAUUGAACCACAGGAAAUCUAUAAAUCUAGUAGUCAAAUUUUAAACAAAAAAUUAAUUACAGAAAAAAUUAAUAGAGAUCAAUAUAGAAAAAUGCUAAGAUUAUGGGGCCCACUCUUACUUUUUAAUUAUGGUUAUAAUACUCUCUCAUAUUCAUAUUUUGUAUUUCUAUUGGCAAUUAAUUUUUAUGUCAGUUAAAUAUGGGAUCUAGUAGCCAAUAUGCCGCAUCUAUAUUGGACUGUCGAUGUUCUAUCAAAAUUGCAUAUGGAUCAAUGGAGAUCUAGAUCUAGAAAUAACAUAAUGUAAAAGUAAUCGAUAAAGAAAAAAAAUACAAAUUAUAAAUAUAUAACAAAUAAGAUAACUUAAACUUACUUGAGAGAAUAAUUAACCCAAUGAUUUAAAUACUUAAGCUUCACUUUUCACCUCAACUUAGAAAAUUUAGCAAUUUAUGAUUAAAAGGAAAACGCUCAUUUUAUUUAACAAAAUUUAUAAAGUACAAUACAAUAAAAUUGAAAAUAAAGGGAUAGAAAAUAGAUUCUUCCCUAAAAUUCAUUCUAGAUUUACACCUAAAAUGCUCCCCCUUAAAUAUGAAAAUAAAAGGAUAGAAAAGAGAUUCUUCCCUAAAAUUCAUUCUAGAUUUACACCUAAAAUGCUCACCCUUAAAAUUGAAAAUAAAGAGAUAGAAACGAGAUUCUUCCCUAAAAUUCAUUCUAAAUUUACACUUAAAAUGCUCACCCCUAAAAUCCACACACAAUUCUCUCUCAUUGUCUUCUUUCUCCUAAAAUCUAGUACAAAUUCUAACACACCAAUUGGUGGGAGCUCUUGCCUUUAUAUAAGCAAAUUUUGAGUGAUUAAGUGGGUAUUUACAUGAUAUUUUAGCGAGCCUACAAUCACAACCUUUAAAUGAGAAUUAGUAGUACAAUCCAAGGGUCUAAAAUUUGCAACCAAUAUAGAUUGUUCUAUUUAUGGAUUGUUGUAUUUAUGUAUUGUUGGAUUUAACAUAAUCAAUGGCUAUGAUUGAAGUCAAAGGAGGAUCCUCUAAUUCCUCAUUUUGACCUACCUAAAUUGGUGUUCUAGAUCUGCUACAGCAUGGUUUACGUGAGCUUGGACACAUGGCACGAUCUCAACCAUUCAUCAAUAAUACCUAAUCAAAGGGAUAGCAAAUCUCAAUGGCUUCUAGUUUUUGGAAUAUGAAUUUCACAUCGAUUGUUCCGAUUCAAUCAUCAUGAUCUUAGGGAAUUACUUACAAAACACAAAAAUAAAAUACAAAAAAUAAAAAUAAAUAAUUCAUAAAAUAGGUUAGAGAUUUAUACAUGUAAUGAAAUUAUUUUUUUUUAAUCAAAAACCACCAAGAAGUGGGGGGUUAGGCGAGACUCCUUCCUAUAACAUAAAUCAGUAAUGGAACAAGUACAUAAGACGGGGGACACGAGCCAAAACCUCCUAAAGUAAAUGAAAAUACACAUGAAUAAAAAGAGAAGAAAGAAAUGAUAAGGACAACCAUCAAUGCUAGCGUUUGACACGGGGAACAAAUUUUGCAUCCAAAUGUAGAAUACCGAAUAAGCCAGCAGGAAGAUCGUGAGAAGACCCUAGUAACCUAAUAACUGCAAGCCCAAUUGGCUAGAAAAUCAGUAGCAGAAGUAGCCUCACAGAGCACAUGCCUAACCAAAAUAAGAGAGGAAUAUGUCAAAGUGCACACUCGGCGCAACGAAUAAGCAUAAUCUCAGUGAACAGGACCCUCAGAAUGAUUUAAGAAAACGACUGUGGCUGAGUCCGACUCCAUCUCAAGCACAAAGUAACCAAGCUAAGUAGCAAACUCUAAUCCCUCACAAACAACCAUAAGCUCAGCAUAAAGAAUUGGUUGAUGGCCAAGAAAAGAUCCAAAAGUAGCCAAAACUGCACCUCAAUGAUCUCAAAGAAUGCCACCUGAAUCAACCAUCCUAGGAUUGCCCCUAGAGCAACCAUGCACAGUCAACUUCACAACCCUAGGAAGCGGUCUCAUCCAAGAAACUAAUCAAAUCCUUAGCUAAAAUCCUUUUCAAGCCUAGACCCAAGCCCACUUUUUGCCAUCCUUAGUCGUCUCCCAUCCAAUCUGAGAGUGCCACGUGGCGUAACCUUGUGUGUUUGAAUUGUUUUCAUUUGAUGGCCUUGAUUUACCUGUUGUAUUUAUAAGUAGGGGUCUCCCCCAUAAUUUGAGCGUGCUGAAUCUAAUUUUCACCUUCAUUUUAUAUAAUUCUCACUCUAUCUUGUAUUUUUAGUAAACAAUUAAUCUUUUACCUUUUUCUCUACUCCUUUCUUCACUUCUUUCUCUCUAAAUUCUUCUCCUUAUCUCUCCUAAGUACUCUUUUUAAUAUUUGUAAAAUAAUUUUCAUUAUAAAUUUAGUUUUAUUUUCAAUUGUAGUUAUUUUAUUCUUAAUUAUGUGUAAUUUAAUUUUAACAAUUGUUUUUAUUUCUAUUAUGUAUAAUUAAAUAAUAAUUGCUUGGGUAAUGUGAAACUCGUAGUAGAAAAAUAUGAUUUAAUCAAAAUUUUGUUUUUAAUUAUAUAAAUUAAAUUACUUUCUAUUUAAUUUUAUCCAUAUUUUAUAUUUAGAAAAUUUGAUUUAUUGUAGAUAAACUAAGGAGUUUGGUACAAUAAAUUCUUAAUAUCUUAAUAGAAGCUUUGGUAAAAUAGUAUUUUGAUUUACUAUAGAGAAAUUGAAUUUUGGCACACUAUAUACUUAAUCCAUAAUAAAAUUAAUUGAAAAAUAUGAUAAUUUAUGUAAUUAAUUCUUUCAGCAAAUAAAAAAAAGACAAAAUAUCUAUUAAAUUGUAUUUACUACAAAUAGUGGAUCCAUAACAAUAACUAAUUUGUUUUCCAUAGUUUUACUUAUGUAUUUAAAUUAUAUUUUUAGUUUUUAGAUAAUUAAAGAAAAUUAACAAAUUAAAUCUAUUUUUUGUAGAUCGAUCUUGGACUCACCAAGUUAUAUUAUAACAAGACGCUCUUAUAGUAGGAAGUUAUAAAUCACUUUUGAGUCAUGUCACUGGUUGAUAGGUUGACAUUCUUAAAGAUGUCUUAAAUGCAGUACCGUAAGUCCAAAGUGCAUCAGUAAGUUGAAGAGACUGAUCCUUGUGAUUUGAGGUUAACUGUCUUUUCUAAAAUUUGUUUUGUCUCUUUAUUUGCUAAUUCAACUUGAUCAAUUACUUGAGGAUGAUAAGGAGUAGCAACUUUAUGUGUACUUUUAUAUUUCUUCACUAAAGACUCUAAUGACUUGCUAUAAAAAUGUUUACUUUCAUCACUGAUAAUGGCUCGAGGGAUUCCAAAUCCACUCAAAAGAUUUUCUUUUAAAAAAGGAUCACAAUUUUGUGAUCGUUGUGUCGAUAAGAAAUCGCUUCAAUCCAUUUGGAAACAUAGUCAAUAGAAACCAAUAUAUAUAUAAAUUCAAAUGAUGAUAGAAAGGGGCCUGUAAAAUAUAUUCCCCAACAAUUAAAUAUUUCAAUGACAUGGAUAGGGUUUGAAGGCAUUAUAUUUUACAUUGAGAUAAGACCCUAACUUUUGAUAGUUCUCACACAUUUUACAAAAUGCAUAUGAAUCUUCAAAUAAUGUACGCCAAUAAAAUCCACACUGUAAUAUUUUUGCAGCUAUUUUCUUUGAAGAAAAGUAGCCAUCAAAUGCUUUAGAAUGGAAAAAUUAAAUGACACUACUUAACUCGUCGUCUGGUAUGUAUCUCCAAAAAAAUUGAUUAGAACGAUGAACAUAUAAUGAUCAUCCUAGUAAAAACUUUUUACCUCUGCUAAGAAUUUCUUUCUCUCUAGAGAGUUCCAAUCGAGUGGCAUUUCAAUUGUUGCAAGAAAAUGAACAAUGUUAGCAUCCUCAGGUAUAUUCUAUAUAGAAAAAAGAAAUUUAUCAAGAAAAGAAUCAUUAAUGGGUGAUGUACCAAAUAAAGACUCAUUUGUAAGUCUUGAUAAGUGAUCUAUGAUUUGUAAUACCAUUUUGGUCUCCUUUUUUGUCUUGAUGGUGAGGUUGAAUUCUUGGAGUAGCAAAAUCGAUUAUAUUAAUCUUAGCUUAGCAUCUUACUUGCAUAUUAAAUAUCCAACAGUAACAUGAUCAGAAUAAACAAUACUAGCUGAACUAAUUAAAUACGAUUGAAAUAUAUCUAAUGCAAAUAUUGUUGCAAGUAAUUAUUUUUCAAUGAUAGUGCAAUUCAUUUCGGCAUCACUCAAAUUUCUAAUUGAGUAAUAAAUAACAAAGGGCUUACUUCAUUUUUUUGUCUUAAAACAACUCCAUAAAACAGCUCCAAUAGCAUAAUCGCUAGCAUCACACAUUAAUUCAAAAGGCAAAGACCAAUCAGGAGAUUGCAUUAUAAAGGCUGAUGUUGAAAGACUAAUUAUCUCUUCAAAAGCUUUUUGACAAUCUUUGGUCCACUUGAGCAGUGUGUCUUUUAUUAGAAGAUUACAAAGUGGCCAAGAUAUGGUACCAAAGUCUUUUAUAAACCUCUCGUAAAACCCUCCAUGUCCUAAAAAGGAUCAGAUUUCCUUAACUGUCUUUGGUGAAGGUAAUUUUGAGAUGACUUCAACUUUGGAUUUAUUAACUUCGAUUCCAUUUGUAGAAACGAAAUGACCCAAGAAAUUCUUGAAAUAAUCAUGAAACAACAUUUUUCCCACUUUGAAAAAUGACCUUUUUCUUUACACAUUUUCCAAACUCUUUCUAAAUUACCAAAACUUUCAUAAAAAGAAUUUCCAAAUAUAGGAAAACCAUCCAUAACAACUUCCCAUAAUUUUCAACUUUAUUGUUAAAAAUGCUUAGCAUGCAUCUCUAAAAUGUUGCAAGAGCAUUACAAAGUCCAAAAGACAUACUCCUAAAUAUAAAUGUUCGAAAUGGGCAUUUGAAUGGAGUCUUCUUUUUGUCCUCGAGGCUAUAGGAACUUCAUAAUAGCCUGAGUAGCCAUUAAGAAAGUAGUAGUAGAGGUGUUAUGCUAUUCUCUCAAGAAUUUGGUCUAAAAAUGAAAGUAGAAAAUGGUGUUUUCUAGUGGCAUCAUUUAAUUUUUUAUAAUCGAUGUGCAUGCAUCAACUAGAUGGAACUUGUGUUGGUAUUAGCUCACCUUUUUUUUUUUUCACAAUAGUUAUUGUAGAUUUCUUUAGUACAGCUAUAUUGUACUUACCCAUUCAUUUGUUUACUAUCUGAAAUAGGAUAGGUAAUUCCUACACCUAGUAGUUUAAGGAUCUCGUUAUUUACCAUUUCUUACAUAUAAGGGUUUAGUCUUCAUUAAGGUUGAGAGUUUGUUUUGGUAUUUUCCUCUAAGUGUAUUAUAUGUAUGCAAAUUAAAGAAUUAAUGCCCUUUAUGUCCUUCAAGUCUAACCAAAUGCAACUUUAUGUUUCUUUAGAACAAUCGCUAGCUUACCUUCUUCAUUUGUGAAUGGAGAAAAAUACCACUGCGUGAGUUUCCUGAUCUUCUUGGUAUGCAUACUUUAAUUCUCCUAGUAAGGGCUUUCAUUCAAGCUUGGGUGCUUCCUCUUCCUUUGUCUCGUCAAGUUGUCUCAUGCCUUCAUAGUUUAAUUGGCUACUAUCAUCUUUAGGCACCUGCAUAGAAUCAAGUAUGAAGCAUAUAUUAGCAGUAUUACAUUCUAACUUCUUACUCGAUUGAAAUGAACAAGCAAAACAAAUUUCUACAGAGUUUGUGGAAAUCUCAUCCUGAACGUGUUUCUCAAUAAUUAGUUCAAAGAGUUCAAUUUCCUCAUUCUCACUAUUUUCAUCUAAUUUGUCACGACGCCAUUUACAUAUGUUGACCAUAUUGAGUUCUAAUGUCAUGUUGCUAAAAGAUAAUUUCAUCACUUUAUUCCUGCAAUUAAUCAAAACAUUAGCAAUAGUUAGAAAUGAUUGAUCUGAUACGAUAAGAAUUUAUUUGCAUUUGUUAACAAUUGAUUUAUUAUUCAAAAAAACAAAAUCCAUAAGAUACAUGAACUUAUCGACUUGGACCAGUAUAUUUUCAAUUAUCCCUUUCGUUACCUUAACCGACUUAUCAACAAAUAAAAGAGUAGUAUAGAUUGGUUUUAACUCAUCAAGAUUAAGUUUUUAGUACUCUAGAUAAGGAAGCCAAUAGACACUAGCACCAAGAUCAACCAAAGUAUGUUCAAUUUUAUAAUCUCCAAUAAUGCACGAAAUAGUUGAACAAUGAUGAUCCUUAUAUUCAAAGCGUUAUUGGUUGAGAGAAUGAAACUUACGUAUGUGCCUGAAAUGCUUUCUUUUGCAGCCUAUGUUUCCUUUUUACAAUGCACAAAUCUUUCAAAAAUUUAACAUAAGAUAGUAACUAUUUAAUGAUCUUGUAACUUUUUUCUUGUGUUAUUGGCGUCAAUGUGCAAGUGUACACCAUAAGUAAUAUAAUGAUAAGCAUUCAAGAUCGUCUCCACAGGGAUUGAUGUUAUCAGGCUUGCUACAAUAAUCUUAACAGUGCAGAUUAUUUCAAAUUAAAAUAAGACAACUAUUAAAACUAAUAAAAUAAAUAAAUAAAAUAGAAUAAAAGAAACUCUCACAGCAAACACAAGGAUAAAACCAAUGAGAAUGAAGUAGUUAAGUGAUUAAACUCUGUUAAUGGUUUUGACUGUUUCUUCUAAUUUUAGGUUUGGUUGCUACAACAUCUGCUACAACGCUGGGCAGAAUCCUAUUUUACCCUCAGCUGUCGCAUGUUGGAUGUCCUAAAUCUCUAUGCAACCUAACAGUGACAAAUUGUUAUGCCAACAUAAGAUAUAGCAUUACAAGCUUAUGUUCUAAUUUCUCUACAAGCUGAAUCCUUAUGUCUAGUUCAUCACUAAUUUUAGAUAAAGCAUGACCCUUUUGGAAUAAAGUAAAACUCAACUCAAGAAACCCAAUAAAAAACCAAGUAUUGCUCUGAUAUGUUCCACUAUGAUAGACCAUUUUGUGGCUCUUUCUUAGCUUGUAUCACUUAAUGGGUAGUCAGCCGAAAUAAUGAAUAGAAAUAAAUACUGUCAAAACAAAAUGCUACAGCAAACAUGCAGCAGCACAUAUAUUUAGUCAAUAAACCAUCAAAAUUGUUUAUCACUCAACCAAAAAUAAAUUUGGUUCAUAACCUGUAAAAGCAACAUGAACAGCAGAGUUUUAACUAUCAAAUACAUCCUCAUGAUUAAAGAAUAAACAAGAAAAUAAGAGAAGACUAAGACGGACUAGAUUCCCGAUUGAUUUCUGCAAACUCUCCUCUGAUGCAGCCCUUGAUCUUACUCUUGGAUUCUGUCUUUUCUCAUAUUUCUUUUCAUUUUUUGUUCUUGGUUGACGGCCUCCUCUUUCUUUUGCGUGUGUGCUCCUUUUUUUUAUAGUAAAAAAAAUAGGGCAACUGGAAGUCUAGGGCGCUUAUCUUCUAGAUUUGGAAACUCCAGAUUGCAAUCUGUUAAUUGCCUCGCGCGAAAUCUUCUUUGUCAAUACUCUAGGAUUGCUACAGCAUCUGCACUGUUCCAAACUAGUUUUAAUUCUUCUGUAGCCGUGUUCUUUCAUUCUUUUUACAAGCCCAUUGCAAUAGCGCCUUUUCCUUGAAAUUCGAGCUUCUAAUUACCUAUAGUGAUGUAUAUGAUUUAAGCACACAAUUAUUCGAAAUCAAACAAAAUUUACUAAAAUUAAACUAAAAUUUAUGUUAAUGCAAACUAUCAUUAAAAUGCAAUAAAAACACAUCAUUUACUCUUUAAGUAAUUUUGAUUUUAGUCUAAAAAUGCAAUUAUAACUCUCAUUUCAUAGAGUUAUCACAUCUCCAAACUUAAACCAUUAUUUUUCCUCAAGUAAUGACAAUAACAUUAACACUCAAUCACAUAAUCAUACAUUAGUAAUAUAGCUCUGCCAUCAAGCUUGCAAGGAUUCGUCAACCCUUAGAUUACACUCUUACUCAUGCAAAAUUAUCAUAGCAGUUUAGUUCUAGACUUCGGCCUCAUUUUGUCCAAGGUGUGUGUGUGCCACUUUGAUCAAAUUCUAGAGAUGUUGUAGCAAUGCACCGCUGUCACAUACACUUCAAAGGUAGAACGCAAGUACAUUCAUGCAUGGGGGAAAUAGAAAUCACAAACAAGUUCAAAACUAUGCUAUAGUAGAAUAUUUUUUUUUCAUAUUUUAUAUUUCUCUUCAAUGUAUCAUUGAUUUUUCAUGUGAAUGUCUAUUACUUGUGCUGAUGACACCCAAUUACUCACUCAAUGUACAAAUCAAAGUUGCUGCAACAAUGCUCACGACAUAAUUUUAUCUAUAAACAUCUUUAAUUCAAGGCUGAACAUGAGGCUCAUGAACAGACCUGGUUACUUAAAUCCUAAAUAGAGGUCUUUCUCUUUCUAAUUUUUUUAUUAAUUAGAAAUACAAUUAAAAAACUAAUAUAUUUGAUGAUCUCCUUCUUCACAACUUCCUUAAUGAUGAGGUUUAAUCUCCUUUGUUGCUCUAUGAAUUAUUGUAGCAAUCUCCCAGUAAAAUCUUGUGCAUGCAUAUGGAUAGGCUAAUUCCCUUUAUAUCUGCCAUGGUCCAUCUAAUAGCAUUUUUGUAUCUUCCCAGCACAUCCACUAAGCUCUUCUCUUGAUAUGCAUUUAAAAAAGAUGAUUUGAUUACAUGUAGUGUAUUAUUUUUACCAAGAUAAACAUAUUUUAAAUGUGAAGGUAAAAGUUUCAAUUCUAAAAUAAGAGGUGAUUCAAUUGAUGGAACAGAUAGUUUUACUUCCCUUUUUAAGAGGUCUAAAGAUUCAAGCAGUCUGUCAUGUCUCAAUGGUUGCUUUCUUCUAACCAUGUUAUAUGGACUGCUGCAGCAUCUUCUUCUUCAAGUUCUUCAAAGGUAGCAGCAUUGAUCUCUUUUUUACUGCAGUAAUUGUUUAACCUCUCUGUCACAAUAAUAUCCACAACAUUGAUGAGAUUACAAUCCUCAACUUCAUUGGGAUUCUUCAUAGCAUCCAGCACAUUGAAUGUGACAUGUUGGUUGUUAACCUGCAUAGUUAACUCUAUUUUUUAUACAUUAGUUAGAGUCUUUCCCGUGGCUAAGAAAGGUCUUCUAAGAAUAUUUGGUAUUUCUUUGUUUACUUCAAAAUCCAAUACAAUAAAAUCCACUAGAAAAAUAAAUCUAUCCACCUUCACCAACAUAUCUUAAAUCUUGCCCUCAGGAUAUGCAUGAGAUCUGUGAGCAAGCUGUAGAGUCACUGUUUGUUGGUCUGCAUUCACCAACUCUCAAUUGCUUGAACACUGAUAAAGGCAUUAGAUUGAUGCUUGCCUCCAAAUCCCAAAGUGCUCUACCAUUAUAUACUUAGUUCCGAUAGAACAUGGAAUUGUAAAGCUCCCUGGAUUUUUCAACUUUUGAGGGAUUUUAUUUUGAAGCAUAUGGCUGCAUUCUUGUGUUAGAGCAACAAUUUUAAAUUCUUUAAGCCUUUUUUCUUUGCCAAAAUAUCUUUAAAAAAUUUCACAUAAUUUUGCAUUUGUUCCAAUGCUUCCACAAAAGGAUUGUUGAUAUGCAAUUGUUUCAGCACUUCCAAGAAUUUGCUGAAUUGCUUAUCUUGCUUUUGCUUUUGAAAUCUUUGUGGGAAUGGUGGUGGGUGCCUAAACUACUAUGCUGUAGCUGACUGUGCUGGUUAAUUCUCUGCUAAUCUACUUUGGUUUGUUACUGUUAGUGAUGUAACUUCUUCUUCAACAAGCACUGAAUCAUGUCUUUUUGCAGUUGUUGUAACUUGACUACUUUCACUAGUAUGUUGGAAAAUGGGUUGUUGUGGCUGCUCUUUAAAUCGACUUUCCUCUUGGGUUGAAACAAGUUCCAUUCUUCUUUUUAGCAUACCAAUAAGAAUAUCAACACCUUUUCCAAGCCUUAAGUUAAUUACCUCGCAAUGUUCUUUUCCUUCCGUCCUUGGAUCUUUUAUCUUGCUCGGUAAACUGCCUUGAGGUCUGUUACUCAAUGCUUUAACAAGUUGUCCAAUCUGAUUUUCUAAAUUUCUUAAUGACACAACUUGGCUUUGGACAAUUGCUUCAUUCUUCACAAUGUAUUCCUUAAGCAAAGCUUUCAGAGAACUGAGUUGAUCAUUGCUUGUGUUUCUUUGCCUUUAAUUUGGCUUAUGAAAUCCUAGUGACAAUACAGGUCUGUUUUGUCUACAUGGAUGCUGCAGUUGACUAAUUCUGGUUGCUCCAUGAAAAAUUUGGGUGCCGCCUCCAUCCAGGAUUAUAGGUGUUUGAAUACAGAUUGGUCUGAUUUUGUCUAUUGAAGUUGCCUACAUAAUUGACUGAAGCUUGAUUCCUAGGGCAAUUAGCAAAUAAAUGUCCCUCUCGGUAAUAAACACAUGAGACUUCAGCAACUUGGUUGACAGAUGUUGAAGAAGUGGUCACAACCUUUACCAUAUUUUUCAGUGAAGUUACUUGGGCUGACAGUGUUGUAAAUGCAUCCACAUUGUGUACUCUUGUUGUUCCUCUCGUUAUGACUUGUCUAAUUGAUGGCCACUGGUAGUUAUUUUUGGCUAUCCUCUCCAAAAUCUCAUAAGCCUCAUUGUAAGACUUAGAUAAUAAAGCCUCAUUUGCUGAAACAUUCUCCAUUAAUCUAGUGCUAGGGUUGAGACCAUUAUAGAGGAUUUCCAAUUGUAUGCAAUAGGGAAUACCAUGAUGAGGACAUCUCCUAAGUAACUCCUUAAAUCUCUCUCAUGCAUCAUAUAAACUCUUAUCUUCAAGUUGAUGGAAAGAUGUGAUCUCAUUCCUCAAAUUUUCAUUCUUGGUUGGCGGAAAGUACUUCAUCACGAAUUCAUCAACCAAGUCAUUCCAUAUUGUGAUAGAGUAUGGUAGUAACGAGUUCAACCAUGCCCUUACUCAAUCUCUUAAAGAAUAUGAAAAAAGUCCGAGUCUCAAUGCAUCUUGUGAUGCUCCAGCAAUUUUGAAAGCAUCACUCACCUCCAAGAACAAAUUAAGGUAUAGAUGAGGAUCUUUUCACAGUAAUCCAUUAAAUUGCCCCACUGUUUGCAACAUAUGAAACAUCACUAGUUUGAGUUCAAAAUUAGCAGCUUGCAUUUCAGGUCUAACUAUUCUAUGGUGUAUAACUUGAGGAGUCAACAUGGCAUAAUCUCUAAUAGCUCUUUCUCUAUCAUCUGCCAUGUAGAUAAUAUUGUUGUUCCCUGGUUGUCCUUGAUUAUUCUGCUCAUUCUGACCUUCUUGACUAUUGACUGGUUGUAUUUCUCCAAGAGGGUUCAAGUUCCCCAUAUCUUGCAAAUCAUCCAUUGCUACAACAACUUUUGAUUGUCUUUGGUCUCUUCUUAAUCUCCUUGCGUUCUUUCAAUUUCUGGAUCAAAUUGAAAUUCAAUAGGUUUGUAUUUGCGCAUGCAAGGGAUUCUUGUCAACAAAAUAAAAUAAAAAAUUAGCACCGUUAAGAUUAAUUUCACAAUUCACAAUGAACAAUCAAUCCCCGGUAACGGCACCAAAACUUGUUGUAACAUUUUCUUAUGUUAUUGGUGUCAAUGUGCAAAUGUAUACAACAAGUAAUAUAAUGAUAAGUAUUUAAAAUCGUCUCCACAGGGAUUGAUGUUAUCAAGCUUACUACAACAAUCUUAACAGUGCAUAUUGUUUCAAAUUAAAGUGAGACAACUACUAAAAAUAAUAAAAUAACUAAAAUGCAAUAAAAAAAAUAUAAUAAAGAAAACUCUCACAGCAAACACAAGGAUUAAACCAAUAAGAAUAAAGUAGUUGAGUGAUUAAACUCUCUUAAUGGUUUUAACUGUUUCUUCUAAUUUUAGGCUCAGUUGCUACAACAUUUGCUACAGCACCGGGCAUAAUUCUAUUGUACCCUCAGCUGUUGCAUGUUGGAUGUCUUAUAUCUUUAAGUAACCUAACAGUGACCAAUUGUUAUGCCAGCAUAAGAUAUAGCAUUACACGCUUAGGUUCUAAUUUCCUUACAAGGUGAAUCCCUAUGUCUAGUUCAUCACUAAUUUUAGAUUAAGCAUGGCCCUUUUGGAACCAAGUAAAACUCAACUCAGGAAACCCAAUAAAAAACUAAGUAUUGCUCUUAUAUGUUCCACUAUGAUAGGCCAUUUUGUGGCUCUUUCAUAGCUUGUAUCGCUAAAUGGGUAGUCAUCUGAAAUAAUGAAAAAAAUAAAUACUAUCAAAACAAAAUAAUAUAGCAAACACGCAGCAACACAUAUAUUUAGUCAAUAAACUAUCAAGAUUGUUUAUCACUCAACUAAAAAUAAAUUUAAUUCAUAAUCUGUAAAAGCAACAUGAACAGCAGAGUUUUAACUAUCAAAUACAUCCUCAUGAUUAAAGAAUAAACAAGAAAAUAAAAGAAGACUAAGAAGGACUGGAUUCCCGAUUGAUUUCUGCAAACUCUCCUCUGAUGCAGCCCUUGAUUUUACUCUUGGAUUCUGUCUUUUUCUCAUAUUUCUUUUCAGUUUUUGUUCUUGGUUGACAACCUUCUCUUUCCUUGGCAUGUGUACUCCUUUUAUAGAUGAAAAUUAGGGCAAUUGGAAGUCUAGGGCGCUUAUCCUCUAGAUUUAGAAACUCCAUAUCGCAAUCUAUUAAGUGUCUCGCCCGAAAUCUUCUCUGUCAAUGCUCUAGGAAUGCUACAACGAUGGUUGCAGCAUCUGUACUAUUCUAGACUUGCUUCAAUUCUUCUGCAGCCAUGUUCUUUCAUUCUUUUUGCAAGCCUAUUGCAAUAGCACCCUUUCCUCGAGCUUCCAAUUACCUACACUUAUGAUAUGAUUUGAGCACACAAUAAUUCGAAAUCAAACAAAAUUUACUAAAAUUAGACUAAAUUAGAUGUUAAUGCAAACUAUCAUAAAAAUGCAAUAAAAACACACAUUUACUCUCUAAGUAAUCUUGAUUUUAAUCUAAAAAUGCUAUGAUAACUCUCAUUUUAUAGAGUUAUCAAAUCACAUCUAGCAAAGUAAUGCUGACCUUCACCUGUUUAAAAACUUCAUAAAUCUCAUAACUUGAUUAGUGCUUGAGUAAAUCGAUGUAUAUAAGAAGAGUUAGUUACCUCUUCAUGGGUUAAAAGUUCGUCAAACUCUUCCCCACUCUCUAAAAUUGACUCUUUACUAAUUUUAUGAAGAUUAAAAAUGUGCUUUCUUCUACAACUUUACCAUGACGAAGGGUUAUAACUAAUUUGACUUGGCUCACGUUUUGGUUUCCUAUAUUACUCAAUGUUGUUGACUCUUAGGGUUCAAGUUUGAUUGGGAAGGAUACUAAGUUUUUUUUUUCCUAAAUAAUAAGGGUUGAUGUCAGUUUGGAGACACUGUCUAUGAAAUUAGUCAAGAUUAGCAUGCUUUGGUUAUUGAUGGACUCUUAUUUUUCUAUAAAUGAAUGUAAUGUAUCUUCAAGAGGUUUUCUUGAUGGUAGGACAUAAGCUGCUGUACGGCCAAGGCGGAUGUACGGUACAGCAGAUUUAUUUCGGCAGAAUCUCCUUUAUAAAUAUAACACUCCCAAUCUGCAAAUAUAAUAUAACACUCCCCAAAAUAAUUCAAUAUGCAACAAACUCCAGUGAUCAACAUCCUCAACCAAAAUGCUGAGUUUUAUAUCUCCAUAGUCUCAAAAGAUAAUAUUAUAACUAAUAUUAAUAUCUCAGUUUAUUCUUAAUCCCAAAAGAAUAAUAUAACAAAAUUAUACAAUCCCAAAAGAACGAGAUAACCAAGAUGUCCUAACAAAAACAUCUAUAUCUUCUAACACCAUCACGCGGCCAAGACUCAAAAUAUAUUUACAGUCGCUGGGUCGGUCUAGUGUACCUGCAACCUCCUGGUGGGGGGAAAAUAUAAUAAAAACAGGGUGAGUAUAAAACCCAGUGAGAUCAGUGAGUGGAUAAUAUUUUUUAAAAUUUAAUUCUUACUUUAAAAGAAAUAAUCAUAUCAUUUCCAAACACGAUUUCAUCAAACCAUAAGCAAGAAACUAGUAAUAAAGCAUUUAACAUUUAAAUCAGAUUACUAACCAUGAAAAAACAUAUAUAAUAUCGUACCAAAUAACCAUGGAAAUCAUAUCACAAUAUCAUAUAGAAUACACAAAUCUGAAAAUCAUCACCAAACAAGUACCCAGGGGAAUAAUCUCGUCAUAUCCGAACCUCAACGGACAGGCAAUGACGUACUAUCUGGGUACCGUCACGCCCCGGAGCUACACAGAUAGACAGGGAAAUACCAUCUCAUAUCUCAUCAUAUCUAUGCAUGCAUAAUCUAGUCCCCAAAGGACAAAAGUGCCCAAGCACACGGCCCAAAGCCUCUGUGUGUACUCAGACGGGCCCCAAAGGCCUGUAUCUCAUUUGUAUCAUCUGUAUAUCAAUAUAUGUCUGUAUCUCAUAUAUGUAUCUCUAUAAUUAUCAUAUCGCAUGCUUAUGCCCCCAAAAGGCAAAAACACCCAAACACACGGCUCAAAGCCUCUAUGUGUGUUCAGACGGGCCCGAAAGGCCUCUCAUCUCAUUUCAUCUGUAUCACUGUAUAUGGAGGGAAGGGUAUUGUCCAAUGAUUUUAAAAAAAUCUCUAUACUCAUAUUCAUGUAUAUUCUAAUCAUAAUUUAAAUCAUACAUUCCUUUUCAUUAUCACAUCUAAAUCCACUUUUCUCAUCUUUAAAAUACUAUCAUAUUUCAUUCAAAGUCGACACGCAAAAUCGUUAACCAAACAUUUUAAUAACUUACCAAUGCGUGAAUAAAAUCCAUUUCGAAGAAAUCAUUAAAUCAGAGCAUUUAAAAUACUUAUUUCGUAAACAUGCUUUACUAUCAUAAUUAACUAUGAAAAUAGGUUUCAUAUAUUCCACUCACAGUGACGGUGUUCACGCUCGGUUAUCGUUCACGUCCGUAGACCGGUUCUCGCUCGCGUAUCCUCCUAAAUCAAGGAAACGACAUAAUUAUUUUUCAUAAAUCGGAAUUAGGACUAAAUUUAUACAAUAAACUCGAAACGAACAUCUAUCCAUAAUUUAUAACUCCCAUGUCGUUAAAAUUACUAAAAUGCCCUCGAGUCCGUAAAUCAUUAAAAUACUCUGAAAUCGUAAAUCGCCGAAUUACCCUCGGAAUCGUAAUUACACCCAAUCCUCAAUUCUGGGAAUUACUAAAAUAUCCACAGGCUCAGAAAUUACAAAAUUGCCCUCAUAGUGUGAAAUUACCAAAAUGCCCUUGCCGGUCAACGAUCACCGAAAUUUGGUCAACGCUGGCCGGGAAGCUCAAGUAUGAAAUUUCUGGCCACACUAAGUCCAACGGUGGUGGUGGUGACCUCCCACACGCGGCAAUGGCUCCGGAUCGAGUUCCUAAAUCUGUAAGUCCUUCAACGGCCGAUCAACAGCAAAACGAUGUCCCCGGCGGCACUGGAUGGUCAGAAAUGUCAAAGGGAGUCAUGGGGAACAAAACCGAGGUGGUGACGUGGUCAAAUUCCGAGAGGAUCAACGGCGGUGGUGAUGGGUUUUGGCCGCAGUUUUUCAAGCCUUAAACGCGACAUUCCAGUCGAUUUCUGACGAAGAUGACAACUGAAGUAUGACCAAUGUCUCACAAGCUUUCGAUUGAUACCUUGCUUGGCCGGAGUGGUGGCCGGAAUCGUAAGAUAUGGCUGGGUUACGUUCGAGGGUCGGGUCGGGCUUUCGGGUCUGUAGUUGGGUCGGUUUGGCAGCUUCUCUCUCACUCUCUGUUACACGUUCAUAUGUUUCCUCUGUUUCCAGCUUAUUCUUUUGCUUUUACUAACUUUUUAACCGCCUCAUAGUUAUUCAUUUUUAAUUCACAUAUGUUACAUGGAUAACCUUAGGAGUUUUGAAAAUUCUAAUGUGGAGGUGGUGGUGGUUGUGAAGGUUGUGCAUGACUGUCAUUUCUCCUUUUAAAAUUUAGGUCGUUUCUCCAAAAAAAGUUAUAGGUCUGUGAGUAUGGAUUAAGAUUCGAUCUUUUGAAAUUAUUGGGGUGACAAUUGCUUCUUCAUGCAAACUUUCUUUUAGACCUGGUAAAGUCGAACAGUUCUGUGUAGAGUCGUUUACGGGACUACAAACAUGACAUGAAAUCUUGAAUAGAUUUAACAUUAUUAAUCCAUGUUAACUCCAAUAAUUUAACUUUCUAGCUAAAUAUGAAAAUUUGGCUUCAAGGUUAUGGUCUUCCCUAAAGUUACACAUGCCUCCACCAGACAGAGAUGACUAAGGUUUACUUGAUGACUUAUAAGAAACAACUAUAGACCUAGUGUUGUGCAUUCUUUGUUAUAUGGUCAAGAUAAUCUGAUAAAGCUUAAGGACUUCUGUCUCUAAACUCAACAUUAUAUAUCAUUUCAACCACAUCUCUACUUGAUGACUUAUAAGAAACAACUAUAGACCUAGUGUUGUGCAUUCUUUGUUAUAUGGUCAAGAUAAUCUGAUAAAGCUUCAGGACUUCUGUCUCUAAACUCAACAUUAUAUAUCUUUCAACCACUUCUCUACUUUGGGAUGUUAAUCCCUCGUAGAAAUAUGACACUAACCUCCAUAUUUCAAAACCAUGAUGUGAGCAAGUGUUAAGUAAUGCCUUGUAUCUAUCCUAAUAUUGGUAAAGGGUCUUUCUUAGUUUUAGAGUGGAAGUGGUGAUUUUCCUUUUGAAAAAAUUUGUUAUAUGGGGUGGAAAAAAUUUAUUAAAAAAUUGUGCUUGUAUUUCAUCCGAAGUUUUGAUGGAUCUUGACCUAUGGUUACAAAACCAUGUUUUAGCAUUUUCCUUUAGUAAAAAAGGAAAAACUUAAGUCUGAUUAUCUUCAUGUUAUAAUUUUGAUCGGUGCAAAUGGUACAAACUUCCUCAAAUUCUCUUAAAUGAAAGUAAGGAUACCUUGUUUGAAAUUAAAUCAUGAUGCAUCAUGAGGAAAAACUAUGCAUGAUGAUGCUCCUAUUCUAGUAGAAUACAUGAAAUCUCUAAGUGUCCUAUGAUGGUCAUGAAGGUUUCGUAGGUCUUGUUUAUCUCCCUACUCUUGAAGUUAUCAGCUUCAAUGUCAAUCAUGUCUAUGGGUGGUGAAAAUGAUCUUCUAAUUAAUCUUCACUUUUAGUACAAGACCAAUGUUUCAUAUAAUGCUAAUGUCAUCUGUGUAUAUGUGUGUAAAAUUAAGUUAAGAAAAUGUUACGCAAACAAAUGAAUAAUGUAUGAAACGCUAAAAAAAUUGCAUAAAUAAAAAAAAUUGGAAAUUAUAAAUAAGAAGUAAUAUAAACUUCUAAAAUUUUAAUUAACUGAAUUUAAAAUAAUAUAAUAUGGGGUUAAAUUAGCCACGUAAACAAAUUAAUUGAACAUAACAACACAUUAACAAAAUAUAAAAAAUUUAGGUGGUAUUUUAGAACAAGCUAUUAACAAUAAUAAAGCAUAAAAUAAAAUAAAAAAUGAAAUUAAAGAAAAAUGAAAUUAGAGGAAAAAUAAAAGAAAGAAAUACUUACCUUGAGUGGGUGGAACUCUUUUUUUUUUUUUUUUGACAAUUUUUGAGAAUUACUGAUCAGUUAGGUAAUCAAUUUAAAUUUUAGGCCUCAAUGGUAAUUUCAAAAGUCCAAAGUCCAUGUUCAUUUAAUCUACAAAGUCCAAAUUCAAGGUUGAUAUAGCCACAAUUCAACGACUUGAGUUUCAAUUCAGUUCAAGCACUAUUCUACAAGAAUUUUUGGGGCAAAAUGAAGUUUUCUCACAAGUUUUUUUGUAAUACUGUGAUUUAAGGAGAAAGAAGGGCACUAAUUGGAAUUUUAUGAAAAUAAAAUAAAAUGAUAAAGAUGGAAAUGAAUGGCAAAAAUAAAGAAAAAUUAAUACCCAAUUUAUAAAAACUCCUUGGCAAUGAUGCCAAAAAUUUGACAUGAGUUUCAACACUCCCAAGUAUAAGAACAUCUAGUUAUAAUAUAACCUGAUGAGUUUGGGAUCGAACCACAAGGAAUCUAUAAACCUGGUUGUCAAUUAUUAAAAAAAUUAAUUACAGAAAAAGAAAUUAACAGAGACCAAUCUAGAAAAAUACUAAGGUUAUGGGAUCCACUAUUGGUUUUAAAAUUAUGGUUAUAAUAUUCUCUUGUACUUAUAUUUUGCCUUUCUUUUGCCAAUUAAUUAUUUUGCCAUUCAAUUUUUAAUCAACUAUUUGUUUGGAUAAAUACAGCUAUAUUGGAGUAUCGACUCUAUAUCAAAAUUCCAUAUAGAUCCAAGGAGAUCUAGGUCUAUCAAAUAAUAUAACAUAAAAGUAACCGGUAAAGAAAAAAAUAUAAAUUAUAAACAUAUAACAAAUGAAAUAACUUAAAACUCACUUGAGAGAGUAAUCAAUUCCAUGAUUUGAAUCCUUGAGCUUUACCUUUCACCUUAACUUCGAAAAUUUAGCUACUCCUAUUUAAAAAAACUUUAUGAAGUACAAGAGAAUAGAAAACAAAGGGAUUGAAAAGUGAUUUUUCCCUAAAAUGCUCACCCUAAAGUCCACCACAUAAUUCUCUCUCCUCUCAUUUCUUCUCUUAAAAUCUAGCAAAAAUUCUAUCACACCAAUUUGCAAGAGCUCUCCUCUUUAUAUAAAUAAAUUUUGAGUGAUCAAGUUUGGGUAUUUACAUGAUAUUUUGGUGAGCCUACAAUCACAACCUUUAGAUGAGAUUUAGUAGUACAAUUCAAGGGUCGAAAACUUGCAACUAGAUUUUCUCGAACUUUCUCGCACUUUAAAAUCCUGAUCUAGAAAUGGCUAUAAUUAAAGUCAAAGCAAGACCUUCUCAUUGCUCAUUUAGCCAAGGUUCUUAAUCUACCCAACUUGGUGUGCUAGAUCUAGUACAAAAUCGUGUGCUAAGCUCAAACACGUGGCACAAUCUCAAUCGUUCAACAAUAAUGCCAGACAAUGGGAUAGCAAAUCUCCAUGGCUUUUGAGCUUUUGAAAUCUAAAUUUCACGUCUGUUUUUCCAAUCCAAGCAUCAUGAUGUCAGGGAAUUACUUACAAACAUAAAAAAUAAUACUUAGAAACAAAUAAAAAUAAAUAAUUCACAAAAAAAUUUAGGAAUUUAUCAAUGUAAUGAAAUUAUUAGUGUUAUCAAUGUUAUAAGUGAAAAACAAUAUUUUAACCUUUAUUAAAUGUAUACUUUUUAGUGUUAGUCAUGGUUUACAUGUUACAUAUAUUUAAAAUUUUAAACAUUUAAGGUCCAUAGUUUCAAGCCGAGUUUCAUUAAAAUAAGAUUUAAAAAUUAUAAUUUAUAAAAUAAACUUAUAUGUAUAUAUAUGUAUCUAUAAAAUAUAAAAUUUUAGUUCUACCUAAAACAAUUUGGUCCAAUAUUAGGUUUUCUAUACUUAGUCUGGCUGCUGAAAGAGCAUGCCUUCCCUAGAUAUUCAAUUAUCAAGGCAUUUUCACUUAUCAAGGCAAUAAAUCAUUACCUUUAGAUCUUUCUAUUUUCUGCACAAAAUGACAGUCACUGAAAAUUUACAAUAGCUUGUAACUUUGGUAAGACAUCCAAUUAUUAAGGCUUAUGAUUUUUCAUGCAUUGAAAGAAUAAUACAAUGCAUACAUUCAACUUUGUCGAAAGACGAAAAUAUCUUGUUUAGGAAUAAAUCUAAAUAGAGUUUUUCAUAAGGUAAUUAGACACGUUGCUACCCAAAGGUUCCAAGAUUGCAAAAAAAAAAAAAAAAAAUCAACACAAAGAACGGAGAGAAAUAGCAAGAAUAAUAUUAAACAUAUCUAAGAUUCAUCUAAAAAAAUCCACUUGCAUAAAGCAAUUGCUUAUAGUGAAAAAGCAAUGUCAUUAAGAACAUGUAAAUCAUAAUGCAAGCAGGCUAUUCUAUGAUGAUUUAUCUAAAAAGAUAAUAAACCCAAGAUUUUUAAGAAGAAUGAAAUCAAGAAAGUGUAAUAAAUGAAAAUCAUGAAACAAAAUACCAAAAAAACAUUAAUUUAGAAUAGUACAAUAAAGAGCCUAGUUAGUAAAAACAAUAACUAUUAUAUUCCAUAAACAAAUCAAAGAAUGGCUAAAAAUGUGGAAUUGAAGAUUCAUUAAUGAUCACUAGAGAUAAUGAGCUUCUAACUACCUAUGCUUAAAGAAAUAACAAGUGUUGAAUAAUGGCAAGAAAAGCCUAUUUGAAGAAUGAUUAGUAUAAGAAUAUAGUUAUAAAUUCUAGCUUCCAUAAGGAAUAUGGUGGGUAGUUGAGGUAUACUAGUGAGAUAGUUAGGCCAUACCUAUGUCAUAGGAAGCUGGACUGGCAUUGGAGUUUUUAAUCUAUAUGGCAUAUGAUGGCUAAAUAACUACUGAAGAAGUAGUUUAGGCUUUGUGAUGUAAUUGGAACUACCCAUGAUGAUUAGAUAACUACUUACAACAUAUAGUGGUUGGAUAACUAACCAUGAUUAUAGGUAACUACAGAGGGAAUUUGUUAAGCAUGUAUAUCAUUAAAGGAGUUGCUCCAGGGGAGCCAGGAGGCAAGCGAAUGUGCAACCAAGACACAGAAGGCAGCCAAGAUAGCUGAGGUUUUGGAAACACUUGAGAGAUCCAAGUAAAUAUUUUUUCGGCAAAGGGAGAAAUUGUAAGCUUGGUAACUAUAAGAAUAAAUGUAUUUCUAUUGUCAAAUCCCUGAUGAUUAAUAAACUUGGCAAGAGUGUGUUUGUGCCCAUGGAUGCAGGCCUUACAAAGUCGAACCAUGUAAAUUUCCUAUGUCAUUCUUUUUACACUCUCUUUUUGUUCUUAUUGCAUGAUACUGUGUAAGACUUUUCACAAUGUUUCUUUAUCUAUUCCGGAACUAAGUUGAUUUAGGGUACCUAAAAUGUGAUAGAGAUCAAUCAGGCUAUUCAAUAAUCUAUUCUAACCAAUCAAUUUAGCUUCGAUUUUAACAAACUAUUAUUAGAGCCUAGUUCUUUGGCUCUAACUCGAUUGGACGUAAGAAAUUUGAAAGAGCUUGGGAUUUCCAACCACUUCUUUGUUUAUUCAACUUCAUUUAUUUGUUGUGUUUCAAGUUUGUCAAUGUGUUAAGUAAGUCUAACAUAAAUAAUGGUGGCCUAACAUUAAUUAUGUUAAGCCAGUAUUAAGUUUUUCAAUGACUAGCAUAAUAAUGAUGGGUUGGUAAAGACUUUUGAAGCAUCCUUUUACAAACCUAUGCUUGGAGGGUUGUUCCCAUGUUUCCAUGUGCAUUUUUAGGAUCUUGAGUUUCUAUUUGCCUAUUUAAACUCAACAAACUUGCAAUUUAAAAUAAUUUAGAGAUUAAUGUUAUUUGAAUUUGAAAGAUCAUUCUUUCUUUGGUUCUUUUGGAAACUAGUGAACUUAUUAAGAAUUUACAAUCUCAUGGCAUUCCAAUCUAGAUUUAUGACUCACCUUUUCAUCUACAUCUUGAGUGUGGCGUCAAUAUCCUUCUUUAUACCUCUGGUUCAUGUUUUCUUAAACAUUGCUUUCAACAUCAAGUGAAAGAAAAUAUAGAGGUACAACGUGAUAAUAUCUUUCAUACAAGGUGCCAUACAAAAAAUAAGGUAUGUAAUAUGAUAAUUGAUGGUGGAAGUUGUACUAAUGUAACUAGCACCAGUUUAGUUGAAAAAAUGAAUUUCAAAACUUUAGAACAUCCUAGGCCACAUAAGCUACAAUGGCUGAAUGAUUGUGGAAAAGUUAAAGUAAAACAACUAGUGCUGAUUUCAUUCUCUAUUGGGAGAUAUAAGGAUGAGAUUUUAUUUGAUAUAAUAUCUAUGCAUACUGGACACAUUCUUUUAGGACGACCUUAGCAAUAUGAUAGGCGUGUGACACAUGAUGGUUACUUAAAUAGAUAUUCUUUUUAUAAUGAAUGAAAAGCUCAUCACUCUUGUACCCUUAACAUCAAGAUAAGUGUAUGAGGAUCAAAUGUCAAUACAAAAGAAGAUUGAUAUAUAAAAAAAAAAAAGGUGAGAGUACGAAAGAAAGAGAGAUUGAGAGAAAAAAAAAGUGGAAAAGUAAAAAAAAAAUGAGAAUAUUGUGGAGAGAUCAAAGAAGUAGCAAGGGGAUUUGUUUGCAAGAGAAGGUAAGGUUAAUAGAGCUUUCUAUUCAAAACAUCCUUUAAUUGUACUUUUGCACAAAGAGACUUGUUUAAGUACUAAUAAGCUUAAAUCUUCAUUGCAUACUGCUAUUGUGACUCUUUUGUAGGACUUUGAUUAUUUUUUUCCAAAUGAAGUCCUUAAUGGAUUGCCACCUAUUAGGGAAAUUGAACAUCAAAUAGAUUUUUCCUAGAGCUACCAUACCUAAUAGACCAACAUAUAGAAGUAGAGGAGACAAAUGAGUUUUAAAGGCAGGUUGAAGAACUCUUAGCAAAGAGAUAUGUGAGGGAGAGCAUGAGUCCAUGUGCAAUACCAGUUCUACUAGUGCCCAAGAAGGAUGGAACAUGGAGGAUGUUAGUUUAUUGUAAAGUAUAGACAUCUUAUUCCUAGACUUGAUGAUAUGCUUGAUAAAUUACAUGGUUCUUAUGUGUUUAGUAAAAUUGAUCUUAAAAAUAGAUAUCAUCAGAUUAAGAUAAGAGAAGGAGAUGAGUGGAAAACUUCUUUUAAAACAAAAUACGGUUUACAUGAAUGGUAAGUUAUGAUAUUUGGGCUAUUUAAUGCACCAAACACUUUUAUGAGGUUAACGAACCAUGUUUUGUGUUUCAUUAGUAAAUUUUUGGUUGUUUAUUUUGAUAAUAUUUUGAUCUAUAGUAAAAGCUUGGAUGAACACAUUGAGCAUUUGCAAAGUGUGUUAACUAUUUUAACGAAGGAAAAAUUGUACGCUAAUAUGAAAAAGUAUUCCUUUUGUACAUCAUAUUGUUUUUCUUGGUUAUGUUGUAAGUACUAAAGAAAUUGAGGUUACUGAAGAGAAUAUAAAGGCUAUUAGAGAGUGGUAUACACCUAAAAGCGUAAGUGAGAUAAGAAGUUUUCAUAGUCUGACUAAUUUUUAUAGAGGAUUUGUGAAAGAUUUUAGCACCCUUGCUGCACUAUUAACUGAAAUUAUGAAGAAACACGUGGGAUUUAAGCGGGAUAGUGAACAAGAAAGGGUAUAAGUAUUACUUGCUUAAUCUAAUCAAGGAGAAAUUGGUUCUUGCACCAUUACUUGCUUCACCUAAUUUUGCUAAAACUUUUGCAAAUGAGUGUGAUGCUUUAGGUAUAGGUAUUGGAGCUAUUUUGAUGCAAUAAUUUUGUCUAAUUGCCUACUUUAGUAAGAAAUUGAGUGGAGAAGCCCUAAACUAUCUUAUUUAUAAUAAGGAGAUGUAUGCAUUUGUGAGAGCAUUAGAAACUUGGCAACACUAUCUUCUAUCUAAAGAGUUUGUUUUACACACUGAUCAUGAGUCAUUGAAGCAUUUGAAAGGGUAAGGUAAGCUGCAUAAGAGGCACACCAGAUAGGUUGAAUUUAUUCAACAAUUUCCUUAUGUGAUCAAAUAUAAACAAGGUAAAGAGAAUGUGGUGGCUGAUACAUUAUCUAGAAGGUAUGCACUUAUCUCUACAUUAAAUGCAAAGUUGUUAGGAUUUGAGUACAUUAAAGAAUUAUGUAUUAACGAUCCUGAUUUUACGAAUGCGUUUAAUGCUUGCGAGAAAGUUGCAUUUGGUAAGUUCUAUAGGCAUGAUGGGUUCUUAUUUAAAGAAAAUAAAUUGUGUGCACCUAAUAGUUUUUUGCAUGAAUUGCUUGUGCGUAAAGCUUAUGGGGGAGGUUUAAUGGGACAUUUUGGCAUUGUAAAGACUUUAAAUGUUUUAAAAGAAUACUUCUUUUGCCACAUAUGAAACGUGAUAUUGGAAAAAUAUGUGAGAAGUGUAUCAUUUGUAAACAAGCUAAGUCUAGAGUUUUACCCCAUGGAUUGUAUAACCCUUUACCCAUACUUAGCAAACCUUGGGUUGAUAUUUCUAUGGACUUUGUUUUAGCUUUACCAAGGUCAGAAAAGGGAAAGGAUUCCGUUUUUGUUGUUUUUGAUAUGUUUUCAAGGAUUGCACAUUUCAUUCCAUGUCACAAAACUGAUGACGCAAUAAACAUAGCUAAUUUAUUUUUCAAAGAAAUAGUCAGAUUGCAUGAAAUACCAAGGAGCAUAGUUUCAUAUAGAGAUGCCAAGUUCUUGAGUCACUUUUAAAAAACUUUGAGGGGCAAGUUAUAUGGUUGGAAAACUUUGUUUAUAAUAGAACUGUCUACUCAACUGCUAAAUUUUCAUCAUUUGAGAUUGUAUAUGGUUUUAAUCCAUUAACACUUUUAGAUUUAUUACCUUUACCUAUUGAUGAGUGUGCUAGUAUAAAUGGUAAAAAAAAAGCUGAAUUUGUCAAGGAAUUGCAUGAUAAAACACGACAACACCUAGAAAAGAUGAUUGAACAAUAUGCUACUCAAGCUAACAAAGGACGUAAUUAAGUGAUUUUUUAGCCUGGAGAUUGGGUUUAGGUGCUUGUGAGAAAAGAGAGGUUCUAUAACAAUGCCUACAAAUUGGAUCUUCCUAAUGAGCAUAAUGUGAGUGCUACUUUUAAUGUUUUUGAUAUUUGUCCUUUCGAUGUAAGUAAAGAUUCGAGGACAAAUCAUCUUUAGGAGACAAGGAAUGAUGAGAACCUUUAAAGGAAUACUUUAAAGCUUCAAACGAUCUUUUGCCCAUUCAUGGAGGCCCAAUUACGAGAGGUACAGUCAAAAAGAUGCAUGUUGUUUUAAAUGGAUUAAUUGAGAAAAUGUGGACUGAAAAAACAAUUCAAGAUGGAAGACAUGAUGAAUUGGGCUUAGAGGGAAGACAAGGCAUUGUGGGCAUUAUUCACGUUGUUGGGUAGCCAAAUACAUAAUUUUGAUCAAAUGCGGAAAACGAUAAAUUCAAAAUGAAACUGAUAUUGAUUGAGUUGAAAUUAAUGUCCAAGUUAUAUACCGUUGGAAAGAUAAUUAAGGCUUGGGAAUUCGAACCACUCCUUUGUUUAUUCAACUUCAUUUAUUUGUUGUGUUUCAAGUUUGUCAAUGUGUUAAGUAAGUCUACCAUAGAUGAUGGUGGCUAGCAUUAAUUAUGGUAGGCUAACAUUAAGUUUUUCAAUGAUUAUCAUUAAUAAUGAUGGGUUGGUUAAGACUUUUGAAGCAUCCAUUGACAAACCUAUGCUUGGAGGGUUGUUCAAAUGUUUCCAUGUGUAUUUUUAGGAUCUUGGAUUUUCCAUUAGCCUAUUUAAACUCAACAACCUUGCUAUGUAAGAUAAUCUAUAGAUGAAUGUUAUUUGAAUUUGAAAUAUUAUUCUUUCUUUGGUUCUUUUGAGAAUUGGUGAACUUAUCAAGAAUUUACGUUCUUAUGGAAUUUCUGACAAGACUUAUCGUUCACCUUCUCAUCCACAUCUUGAGUGUAGCAUCAAUAUCCUUCUCUAUACUUUUGGUUCAUGUUUUCUUAAACAUUGGGUUAAGGUUUUUGUUUGGCUUAAAUCUAUUUAGAACUUUCUUAGGAAGCUGAAACCUCAAAUUAAGUGUGGGUUUUAAAGUUUUAUUGUGGGGUUCGCAUCAUGAAAUAUGACAGAAAGCAAUCAGGCUAUUCGAGAGGCUAUUCUAGCUAAUCAAUUUAGCUUUAAUUCUAACAAACUAUUAUUAAAGCCUAGUUCUUUAGCUCAAAAGAGAUUGGACGAAAGAAAUUUGAGGGGAAAAAUGACUUAAGUCCUUGAAAGGUGAAGAUGGAAGCACUAUUAGUACAUCAACGGUUGAAAAUUGCUCUAAAGAAAUAUCUAAGUGGGAAUAUACUUCUAGAUGAUGAGGAUCUUAAAGAUAAUAUGAGAAAAACACAUAGUACCAUCAAUCUAAGCCUAGGAGAUGAAGUUUUGAGAGAAGUUUCAAGAAAGAAGUCUGCUUCAGGUAACUGGCAAAGCUAGAAAAGAUUUACAUGGCAAAAUCUCAAGAAAAUAGAUUUAUGUAAAGAAAAGCUUUACACACUUUUAAUAGAGAAAGGUUCUUCUAUUAUAGAGCAUAUUUAUAACUUUAACAAGGUUAUUAUAGAUCUUGAGGGUAUUGAUGCAAAAGACCAAGGGUAGGGACAAGGAACUCAUAUUGUUAAGUUCUCUACCAGACUUUUAUGAGCAUUUCACGGAUACCUUGCUGUAUAGAAAAUAAAGUUUAAUCAUGGAAGAUAUUAAGGCUGCUCUCAACUCAAAAAAAAAAUAUAGAAGAAAUCUAAUGAUACUUUAGGUUUAGGAGAAAUCCUGAAAGCAACAAAGGGUAGAUCUAAUAAGAAGGUUUUUAAGAACAAACAGCAGAUCUAAAUAUAAGAAUAAGAGUAAAAAUGUUUCUUUUGCUAGAAAGAAUGACACUUUAAAAGAGAUUGUCUAAAAAAGGAAAGCUAUGAAAGUAAAAUUUAAGGAGAAUCAUAGUAGUGCCACAUCAGUUGCGUUGAAGAACCCCAACUGCUCUACAACCAAGUUCAAUACUUCCGAUGAGAAGAAUUAUGAUUCUGCGGAUAUGCUACUUACAUCAGAUAUGCAAAUGAAUGGUGUCUCAAUUUUAAACUCAGCCUAUUCUUUUCAUAUCAGUCAUAAUGAAAACUUAUUUUUGGAUUAUCAAGUAAUAAUGGUGGAAAGGUGUUAAUGGGAAACAACAUCACUUAUAUGGUUACUGGUAUACAAAAUAUUAUGAUUAAAAUAUUUAAUGAAGUAAUUAGAAAACUUAAAUAGGUUAGACAUGUUUUGAACUUGAAUAGGGAUGUCAUCUCCUUAUGUCUACUUGAAAAUAUAAGAUGUGAAAUUAAGGUUGAAAAUAGAUCUUUGAACAUGAUUAUAUGUUCGUCAUUUGUAAUCAAAGAAGAAAUGAAGAAUGGUAUCUAUUUGUUGAAGGGUACCUUAGUGAUAAGCAGUACAUCUAUGCAUGCUGGGGUAACCUCUUAAUAGAUUAGGCUUUGACACUUAAGGCUUGGUCAUGUUAGUGAGAAAGGUCUAAAGAAGCUGUGUAAGAAGGGCAUCUUAGGUGAUGACAGAAUUGAAUGGCUAAAGUUUUGUGAAUAAUGCAACUUGUGCAAAGCUACUAGGGUCAAGUGUCAUUUUGCUAAACAUAGAACAAAGGAUAUUCUGGAUUACAUCCAUUCACACUUGUGGGGACACUCUCUAAUUAGCUCACAAAGAAGUGCUAGGUACUUUCUCUCAUCGAUGAUUACUCAAGGAAAUUCUGCGUUAUGUACUAAAAUCUAAAGAUCAAUUAUUUAAUACUUUUAACACUUGAAGAGCACUAACAAAUGACAUAAGGGUAUCUAAAGACUUUUCACGUUUGAAGAUUGGCAAUGAAGUAGAAAGUGAACAUUUGGAAAGGUUAGUCAAAGUGGGAAGCAAAAGUGAAGAUUAAUUGUCCACUUGUUUAAACAUUUGACAUCCAACAAGUUUAGGUUAUACUAGGACUUGGCUAGGGUUACCUAUCUUUGAUAAGAUCUAUAACCUUGGUAGAGAACUGUAUGAUUACGGUUAUAAAUUCUAUCUUCAAUAAGGAAUAUGGUGGUAGCUGAGGUGUACUAGUAGGGUAUUUGUGAUACAGCUAUGCCACAUGAAGCUGAUUUGGAAUUGGGGCUUUUAAUCUAUAUGGUACAUGAUGGCUAAAUAACUAACUGCAAAAAUUAUUUAGACUUUGUGACGUAAUUGGAACUGCUCAUGAUUUUUAUAGAUAAUUACCCAUAGCACACAAUAGCUGGAUAACUAACUAUGAUUAUAGGUAACUGCUAUGGUUGUUAUUUAGGUGUUUAUAUCAUUGAGAGAGUUACCCUACGGGAAGCCAGGAUGUGGGCCAAGGUGCAACCAAGACCCAAGAGGUGGACCAAGGUGGUCGAGGUUUUGGGAAACACUUGAGAGAAGUAGUGAAUAGUUUACGGGCAGAGGGAAAUGUUGUAAUUCUCAAUAACAUUUGAGAAUCAGUAUAUUUCCAUUGUAAAAUCCUUGAUGAUUAAUAAACUCAGCAAGAGUGUGUUUGUCCCCAUGGAUGUAGGCCUAAUAAAGCCGAAUCAUGUAAAUCUCCUAAAUUAUUUUCUUUAUUUUCUUUAUUUUCUCUUUUUGUUCUUACUGUUUGUUGUUGUCUGAGAUUGUUUUUUUAUGUUUCUUUAUUUGUUCCGUGACCAAGUUGAUCUGGGUUACUCAAGCUGUGUCAGAGAACAGUCGGUCAUUUGUAAAUUUAUUAUUAAAUUUUGGUAGAAAAGUUUUUAUGAAAAAUGUUAUUUCCCGUCAUAAAGUUAAUUUUUUUUAAAAAAAUAUAUAUUAUGAUUAUAAUUUAUUUGUGAAUUCUUGAUUACAAAUUUAAUUAAUUAAUAAAAAUGAAUAUCGUCAAAAAAACUAAAAGCAAUUAAAAUUAAUUAACCUCCAUUCAAUCCAACAAAUUAAUUUCAAAACAAAUACUUCUAGUAUUCAAUGUCAUCACCGCCAAUACAUAAUAAAACAUCCCAAAUAAAAAAGAAAAAAAAUCCAAAAUAUAAAACAAUACUUAAAUCCCAAUUAAACUCCAAGAAAAGCAAUUCAAAUUCCAACCACCAAGCCAAGUUACCCAACAAAACUUCCAAAAAUUAAUGAAAAUAUUCCAACAGCAAGACUUCUAGCAAGACUCCAGCAAAACUUCCAGCACCAAUACCAUCUUCCAAUAGCACUCUAAUUCCAGCAUCAAACAAGGUAAAAGUCACAGAUGAAACUUGUAUGAGCAAAAUCGUCCACAUUAAUAAAGAGUAGCUGCUGCUCUUUCUGCUGCUGUAAAAGAGCCGCAUUACGGUCUGUCAGCUUAGCAAUAAUGGCAGAAGUAAUUCCAGCAUGUAUUUUCUAUCCAGCAGGGCCAAAUCCUCAUCCUUAAGGGCUAAGAUAUCGAAUGAGAUAAUAAAUAAGUAAAAGGUAAUAUGCUAAGGUCAGUGAGCUGCUCAAAUAAUGAUUUAAUUACAAUUUGCACUAUGGUCAAAAGAGAAGAAGACAUAAAAUAUAAAUGUGUAUUUCUUUAGAGGAAGAAAAAACGAAAUUUGCUAAGGCUAAAUGUGUAUUUUCUGGAUAAAUACAUUUUAUAGAGUUAAUAGCAAGCCUAUAAACUAAUUAUCUAUAAAAUCAAAUUAUUUAGCAGCAACCUCAUAUUUCCAUUAACUUCAGCUAGCACAAUACAGUAUGUACAUCAAUACAACCAAACAGAUGAUAUGUAUCAUAUACACUAAAUGUCCGAUAUAGCAGGCAUAGCCUCAAGUGCUAUUACCUGAUACAAUGCAUGACUUAGCUCUUGCCUUGCUGUAUGAUGUUGCUGUUCCAAAGCAAAAUUAGAUUGCAUUAGACCAUCCCAUUCCUACAAUUAGAAAACAAUGUAAUUGCCAGGAAAUAUAAUAAAGAAUCACAUAUUAAAGUGUAAAAUUCAGUAUCAAUUAAAAUUAUGAAUUUGAAGAAGUGUCACUAAGAAAUUAGCAAUAUUACAGUUAAAAAAAUGAUAAAAGACAUUAAAUUAUGCUUACACGAUUAUCAUUGUUUAUAAAAAAAGUAUUCACUUUUCAAAUGAAAAAAAUUAAAAGAGAACAGAACAGGGGAUCUAAAAAAAAAACAAUCUUAUAAUAGCUCUAUCUUGUAAAGUAUAUACUAGAUAAAUCUAGCAUAAGAAUAAUUGGCAACAAAACUCUAAGACAAAAUAUCUGUGUUAUACAUUCUAAAUUAUUAUGGAAUGAAGAGACCUAAUGAACACAAAAAAAAUAUGAUAUUAUGAAUGAAAAACAUGGGCUAAAAUCUGGAAAACUAUAUGUUUCAUGGAAAGAAAAAGAUCACCAUAAAAAUCAGAGCUUAUUACAUACUGAUUAAAUUGGAAUAUAAUCUAAGCUUGCACUUGGCAGGAAAUUGGUAAUAUGCUAAAACACAAGUUCAUAAAAAAACAUAUGAAGUCAAAAGUCAAAUUCUUUUUAAGUACUAACAAAUUAAAACCUCCUUCCAAACAAACUUAAACAUUUAACACAGCAGGCAUAGGGCAGUAAAAUGCACAAGAUAAUUGAACAUGAAAAUUUCAAGAUAAAGCCAAACCCUAACCAUCGUGACAGCCACGAGCCACGAUGACCUUACCCCUCCAUAACAAAUCAAUCCCAAUCAAUUUCUACACCAAAAUCCCAACAAAUUUUACUAUUUAGAAAACUAAACCCACAAGUUUUAAUACAUACUCGAAGUCAAUUUUUUUUUUUUAAAUUCAGCAACCUUACCUGGAUAUGGAUUGAUUUGUCGAGGGAAAAAAAAUUAAAAAACCAAUUGAUUCUCAUGGUGGUGGUAGAUCUGCUUGUGGAGAUGACGAACUGAUGAAAAGUCUGAGAAACAACGUGAAAUGAGAGAGCAAGCAAGCGUGAUGGCUUGAACGGAGGAAGAAUGGUGGCAUUUUGAAUGGCAAAAUAGUGGUGUUUUUAUGAUCUACUAAGAAUGAAAUUUUAAUUCUAGGGUUUCAAAUGAUAAAAGAGAGAGGCAAAAUGGAGAGUGACUGGGAGAAUGUCUAAGACUUCGACAAAAUUGUGCAUUUUAAGCAAUCUCAUGGUAAAUCGUAGCGUUUUAUCUUUUUGUUUUUAUUUUUUCAAUUUUUAAAAUGGUACUGUUUGAUUUUUAAAAUAAAAUAAUAUAUUAAAAUUUGGUCAAACAUAGUCAAAAUCAUAAUUCCAUCACAAUUUUUUGACGGCGCAAAUUUCUAUCACAAUUAUAUCAUUAAUUCUUGAUAAACAAUAAUUCUAUCACAAAACCAUCACUAAUACAUGAUAGAACCAUAUUCUAUCAUGAGUCCGUCAUGUUUUUAUGAUAUAUACAGAAUCUGUCAUAAGUUGUCUGUCAUCUAUUGUCAGUUUUCUUAUAGCGGUAGUUGAGUGACAAACAAUCCUAAUGGGUUCUUGACUGUUCUUAAGAGUUGCUGCAAGAUUGUUGUAGCAUUUUGCUCUAAUAGCUUAUAUUACAAUCAUUAUUUCGGUUGACCUCCUGCUGUACGGCCAAGGCGGAUGUACGGUACAGCAGAAUUCCAACCACCAAGCCAAGUUACCCAACAAAACUUCCAAAAAUUAAUGUAAGCGACAACUAAGGAUGCAAAAUAAUUAUGCCCAAUGCUGUAGGAGUUGCUACUGCAAUUGGUGUUAAGUUGAACAAAACAGUUAGCCCAUGAAGAGAGUUUGAUCAUUCAACUACCUUAUUCUUAAUAAAUUCUCUUUGCGCAAUUCAUCUAAUUUACCUUAUUACUGCAUUUAUUUUAUUACAUUGUUAAUUUCAUUAGUCUAUCAACUUUAAUUAGAUUUUUCUUUAGAUAGAAGGAAGUUUGCACUAUCGUGAUUGUUGUAGCAUUUCUAGUAACAUCAGUCCAUGUGGAGACGAUCUUGAAUAUUCAUCACUUUAUUACUUGUUGUGUACGCUUGCACAUUGACAUCAAUAGCAAUUUGUAGCAUUUCUAGUAUCAACUUUAAUUAGAUUUUUCUUUAGAUAGAAGGAAGUUUGCACUAUCGUGAUUGUUGUAGCAUUUCUAGUAACAUCAGUCCAUGUGGAGACGAUCUUGAAUAUUCAUCACUUUAUUACUUGUUGUGUACGCUUGCACAUUGACAUCAAUAGCAAUUGAGUAAAAAUUGUUAACAUAUAUGUUUCCAUAAUAUUGAUUUUGAUGAUAACAAACAAAAUUAAGAAUGAUUAAUCUUUUAAGCUCAAAUUAUUUUCUUUUUAAAUAAAUCAUUAUUUUCACAUUAUAAAGGUUUCAUAUUUAAUGGAAAAAUGAUGUUAUGGAAUUAAAGUGUUUUGGACUAAAAUGAAAGUAUUUUAAAACCUUUGAUAUUGUUUUAAAAUUUCAGAUUUGGACCUAUUUGAAGCUAUUUAAAUAUUUUGGGUCAUUCUGUAAUUUCACAUAGUUUGGGUGAAAUCAUAAUUUCAGAAAGUUUUGGGAUUGACAAAGCAUUAAUUAAAAAUUCUGAAAUUGGACCUAUUUGAAAUCUUUCAUAACGUUUUGGGUCAUAAUACAAUUUUAUAAUGUUUUAGGGCCAAACUAUAAUUUUAGAAAAUAGUUCACUGUAGCAGUUACUGUAGCAAGCGGCUAACCGAAUGUGAAAAACCGGUAAGCCGGAUGUUGGGCAGAAUCUAUCCGAAUUGAAAGCGGCUAACCGGAUCCUAACAAACGGUAAUCCGGUUGUUGGGCAGUAAGCUUCUGGAGUAUAAACGGCUAUCCGGAUUUCACAAGCGGCAUACCGGAUGUUCAAAAAUUCAAAAUUGUGGCUGUAACGGUAACAUUAAGUGGCUAACCGGAUGUCCAUAAACGGUAAGCCGGUUAUGAUCAAAAUGUGCAUAACGGCUAGUUUUUUAGCUCAAACUAUAAAAACUCAAAUCCAAUUCAUUUUCAAACUCUCCAACAAGCAUAAACAAAAAACACACGAGAUAUCUUGAGCUGCUGUACGGCCAAGGCGGAUGUACGGUACAGCAGGACAUUGAUAUGUUGAAUUAUUGUAUUUUGAACUUUUCAUGUCUAAAAGUUUUUAUUAGAUUGGAUUGUUGUGUGUUUGCUUAGCUUAACUUAUAAAAACCCAAUUCACCCCCCCUCUUGGGUUGCUUAGUUAGUAUUUCAAAAAUAACCAACAAUAAUCAAUCUUUUUUUUUUUGGAGAAACCCUUUUGCAACAAGUCUGGCUUUGUAUUUGUUGAUGGAUCCAUCUGAAUUCUGCUUCACUCUAUAAACCCAUUUGCUACCCACACGUUUCAAAUUCUGUGUUGGGGGCACCAGACACCAGGUUUGAUUUCUUAUAAAUGCAUUGAAUUCUUCUUGCAUUGCUUGCUUCCAAUUUUGAUCAUUCAAUGCUUCAGCAACACUUGAUAAGGUUUCUAAUGACAGGGUCUUUUGAGUAUUAAAGAUUUUUGGUUUAAAUAUGCCAGCUUUUGCUCUAGUUAUCAUAGGGUGAGUUGGUUUUGGUUGAGUAGUUUGUUGGGUUAUUAUAGGGACUUGGUUUUGUGUUUCAUGGAAUGAUUUGUCAGGUUCAAAUGGCUGGUUUGAUGAAGGUUGAGAUGAGAUGUCUGUUGGGCUAAUGUUAUUGUUAAGAGUUUGAUCAUUAUAAGGAAUUAUUUCGAGUAUGUUUUCUGAUAUUCUUGUAUUAGCUUCUACUGCCUCAUGAUCUUGACUCUCAGAGGGGAAAGAUAUUAUAAUAAACUUUAUAAGAGUAUUGGUGGACUCUGGUGAGUGAACUAAUUUUGGAGUCAUGAAACUGUGAUAAUUUUUUAAAGGAAAAGAAUUUUCAUUACAGUUAACAUGUGCAGCAAUAUAACACUACAAGAAAACUGUCAAUAGAUGACACACUUUGUGACAGAUUCUGAUAAGUCAUAAACGUAUGAUAGAUUUGUGAUAGAUUUUUUGUCUAUUAUGUAUUCAUGACAAACAUGUGAUAGACUAGUGAUAGAAAUAAAUUAUGUCAAGAAUAUAUGAUGACUUUAUGAUAAAAAUUAUUACGUCAAUAUUUCAUGAUAGAAUUUUCAUGUUGACUUGAUUUUGGCACGUUUUUGACCAAAAAUUUGGGUACUAUUUUAAAUAAAAUGUUAUGUGAAUGAAGAAACAUCGUCGUUUCAAGUAAGUUGGAAUGACAACGUUUUUCUUGUAAAUGUUAACUAUUAAAAUUUUAAAAUAUUUUAUUAUAAAAUAAAAUUUAAAAAUAAAAAAACACACCGUUUUGGUGCUCUCUAAACUCUAAUCCCUAAUUUUCUUCUAAGCAUCAAUCGAACACAACGCAAACACAGAGAGAAGUCAAAGGAUACUGACUUAAAACCCUCGGCACUGGCUUCUCUCAAUCUCUUAAUAUUGACUUCCUUUUGCCGUCGUCUUGUCGGAAUCUUGAACGUCGGCAUCUUACCAUUGUCUUCCUCAUGCACUUGCCAUACCUUAUCGAGUAUUGGGGCUAACUAAUCGUACUACACGCGCGGGUUGCUCAUGAGUAUUUUUAGUGCUACCCUUUGUUGAUUUCUUUUAUUUCUAGUUGUUCGAUUGUUGGAGUUUCAUUGUAAUGUCCUACCGCUUUUGCAAAUUUAUGUUACAGUGAUUUGGAGAAUUUAUAUGUUUUAGUGAAAUAUUGGGACUCUGCUACUCUGGGUUGUAGUUCCUUAUUCUUUUUCGUAAUUUAUAUUCUCUCUGUUAGGUUGUGAGUGAUAGCAAAAUGUUCCGGGUUCAUGUGGUAUUUUUGGGGCAUCCUCUACUGGAGGGGUUUCUAAUGACAUUUCCAUUCUUUCUUUUUGUUUUUGGCUUCCAUCUAUGUCUAUCUGAAUACUAUAAAGUUGCGAUUAUGUCCUGGUUUUCAUUUUUGUAAAUUUUUGUUGCAAUGAUGUUGGAAUGUUCGUAGUUUAUGUACAGUAUCCGGACUCUGCUAUUUGGGGUCUCUGUGAUGUGUUUCUUUUUUCCCCUACCUCUCUUUAGUUUAUCUCUUCUAUUAUGAAUGCAUUAGAGCAAUAUUUUUUAUGUUGCAGGGUAAGAGAAAUGAUUAGUUUAUUAGAACUACCCUACUGGAAGGUGUCUAUAAAGAGUUAUAUUUGACCUUUUCUUAGCUAACCAUUUAAAUCCUUCCAAAGCAAUGUGUAUGUUGGUCAUGUCCCUGUUGCAAAGCUUUAUGCAGCUGUGUUAAAGAAAUGGUCUGAGUUCUUAAGGAGUAUUGGGAUUGUAGUACUCGGCUUCUGGUGAGUUUUUUCAGAUUGUUUCUUAGUUUGCACUUGUAUCUUUGAAUACAUGAAAUUUAUAAAGUUGCGGUUAUGUUUUGGUUUUUCAUUUUUGCAAAUUUUUGUUGUAGUGAUUGGCAUGUUCGUAAUUUAUGUGAAUUAUCUAGACUCUGCUAUUUGGGACUUUGUAAUGCGUUUCUUUUUCUUGCCUCUACCUCUCCUUAGUUUAUCUCUUAUAUUAUGAAUGCUUUAGAGCAAUUUUUUUUUUUUUUUUGGUGAUGCAGUGUGUAAGAGAAAUGGAUAGUUUUUUAUGAGUAUCGGAACUACCCUACGAGAGGGUGUCUAUAAAGAGUUAUUUUCGGCCUUUCCAUAUUUUGCAAUUUUUUUUUGUUGUUGAUAAAUAUUCUUAGUUUUUGAGGAGUAUCAACAAUUCAACUACUCAAGGGCACGUCUAAUGAGUUUUCUUAUUCUUCUUUCUAGUUUAUUACUCCGCUUUGUGGUUGUCUAAACAUGUUAAAUCAACUUGUAAUUUAGUUAGUCUAUUGACAUUUUUAAUCUUCUAGUUUAUCACUGCUUUUUCUAACUGUCUGGACAUACAAAAUCAACUUGUAAUUUGGUUAUCAUUUGUGCAAAUUUAUGUUGCAGUGAUAGUGAGAAGUUUCUUGCUUUUGUGGAAUAACUGGGAUUGUUCUAAAUAGAGGGUCUCUAAUUUUGUUUUUUGUUUUGCCAAAUCUUGUUGCAGUGAUGCCAGCGUGUUUCAAAUUUUUAAGGAAUGUGAAGGUUAUUUAUCUUGAAGGAUUUGACUGUUUUUGUCUCUUAUCUCACUUGUCAUUUCUAUCUAUGUUACACAAGCACAUAAAGUUCAGAUAGUAUAUUAGUCUUCCUUUUUUUUUUUCUUACCCCAAUUUUUUAUGCUGUAGUUGUGGAAAUGUUCCUCUGUUUUUAAGGGAAUCUUGGAACACGUUGAGCUUUUUAGUUCUUAUUUGUUAUUUCUUGCUCUUAAAGGUUCAAAUUAUUAUUAUUAUUUUUUCUUUUUGGAAAUCUAUGCCUCAGGGACAACAGUUCUAUGUUAUUGUGGAUUAUUGGACUAUGCUACUAAAUAGAUUUUUAUUCUUUUCUUAAGAACGUAAAAUCAACUAGUAAUUUGGUUAAUAUAUUGAGUUUUUAAAUCUUCUAGUUUAUUACUCCUCUUUCUAGCUGUGUAGACACAUAAAAUCAACUUGUAAUUUGGUUACCAUUUGUGCAAAUUUUGUGUUGCAGUGAUAGUGAGAUGUUUCUUGCUUUUGUGGAAUAACAAGGACUUUGCUGAAAUGGGGGGGGGGUCUUUAACUUUGUUUUUUGUUUUGCCAAAUUUUGUUGCAGUGAUGUCAGCGUGUUUCAAAUUUUAUAGGAAUGUGAAGGCUAUUUAUCUUGAGGGAUUUGAGUGUUUUUCUGUCUCUUUUCUCACUUCUUAUUUCUAUCUAUGUUACACAUGCACAAGAAAUUUAGAUAGUCUUAUCUUUUUUUUCCCCAAUUUUUUGUGCUUUUGUUGUGGAAAUGUUCCUAUGCUUUUAAAGGAAUUUUGGAACACAUUACACUAGUAUUUAUUGAGCUUUUUAGUUCUUAUUUAUUAUUUCCAGCUCCUACUUAUGCCCAUCUAUUCCAAAGGUUUGAAUUAUAUAUAGUUUGUUUUUCUAUUUGGAAAUCUAUGCUGUAGGUUCAACUUUUCUAUGUUUUUUGUGGAUUAUAGGGACUAUGCUACUAAAUAGAUUUUUAUUCUUUUCCUAGUUUAUUACUUUCAUUGGUUGCCCGAAUGCAUGAAGUACAUUUUGUAACUAGGUCUUUCAUUUUUGAAAACUUUAUGUUGCAAUUUGUUGAAAUUAAAGUUGUAGUGUCAAAUUAUAGUAGUUGUUGUUAACGGUUGUAGUGUGCAUGUUCUGCAUUCGAUAACAUUGGGUAUUUUGAUUAAUUUUGAAUAGAUUUGUUUACUGGGUUUGGGUUGGAAUAUUGCUGGGUAUAUGACUGAAAUUACAGUGGUGUUGGAAGAUGGUGGGUAUAUGGCUGGAAUUACAGUGGCUUGAAGUGUUGCUGGGUACGUGGCUAUUGGAGUGUUGCCGCUGGAAGAGGGUAUUGCUGCUGGAAGUCUUGCUGCUAGAAUAUUUCCAUGAAUCUUUGGAAGUUUUGUUGGAAAACUUGGCUUAGUGGCUGGAAUUUGAAUUUUUCUUGAAGUUUAAUUGGAAUUUAACUAUUGUUUUAUAUUUUGGUUUGAUCCUUUUUAAUUUGGGAUGUUUUAUUAUAUAUUGGUGGUGAUGACAUGGAUACUAGAUGUAUUUAUUUUGAAAUUAAUUUCUUGGAUUCAAUGGAUGUUAAUUAAUAUUAAUUGUUUUUAGUUUUUUUGAUGAUAUCCAUUUUUAUUAAUUAAUUUAAUUUGCAAACCAGAAUUCACAAAUAAAUUAUAAUCAUAAUAUAAUUUUUUUUUUAAAAUAUAACUUUAUGAUGGGAGAUACCCAUCAUAAAGUCUGCACAAAACAUUUUCCCAAAAUUGAAUAAUAAAUUUACAAAUGACAAUUUAAUUUCCCACGAAAAAUUUAAAAAAAGGCUCGAAAAUUUAAAUAAGUUUAAAUUUAAAUUUAACUAUUUUUUAUAUUAAAAUAUUGUGUGACAGAUAUAUGACUGUGAAAUAACAUUAUGAAUUCAUGACAGAAAAUAUUCUGUCAUAAAUUAAUGACAGUGACAUAGAUGACGGAUGAAUUGUUUGUCAUGCACCCUUUUAUGACAGUUAUUUCCUGUCGUCUAUAACUUAUUUUCUUGUAGUGUAAAUUCUGCCAUUUGAGCUCAAACAUAGAUACCCUUUGUGCAUUUUACUGAAACCAAGAUGUACACAUUUGGAUGUGUGAAAAUCAAACUAAUGACUGUUAUAAGGUCUCAGAAAAGGAUAACACUCACAACCAAAAAUUUUGAUCAAUGAAUAAUUUGGUUUCUUUGAAUAUAGGACUUCAAAGAGAGUUUUGUCAUUUAGAGUAGGUGUGCUGACUCUAUUUAUGAGAUAUGUAGCAUGACAGAAUACUUCUCACCAGAACUUGAGAGGUAGUUCAGAUUGAGUAAGGAGAGUGAGACCAAUUUCGACAAGAUGUCUGUGUUUUCUUUCAGCCUUUCCAUUCUGAUGAUGUGUGUAAGGACAUGAGUAUCUAAGGCCAAUUCCUUCAUUUUUAAGAUAAGACUCAAAGGCUUUGUAUUCUCCUCCUAUAUCACAUUGGAAGAACUUGAUUUUCAGCUCUAGGCUUUUUCAAUAUGGUUUCUAAAUGAAAUGAAGGCUGACAAUGCUUGUGAUUUAUGUGUUAAUCCAUAAAUCCAAGUGUAAUUAGUUUUGUCAUCAAUGAAAUAUAUAUAGUAUUUGAAGCCUUGGUUUGAAGUGUGAGUGCAGGACCCCAGAGGUCAAUAUGAAUAAUUUUAAGUGCAACUAAUGGUUUUGAAUCACUGUUGUUGAAAGAUAAUUUGUGUUGUUUCCCAAGAUGACAUGCUUUGCAAAAAGAAAGUUUUGAAAAUUUAUUUCCAGUAGAGAUAUUACAAGCUGACAAAGUUUUCUUGAGAGCAACAACAUUAGGAUGCCCUAAUCUCAUAUGCCAUAGAUCACGUGUUUUAUUGACUCUUGAAUUCUCAUUGUUUAUACAAUUGACACAACAACUGACAGACACCAUAGACACAAGUUUAUUUGCUUGAUAGACUGAGAGUGAAACAGAAGAAAACAAAGCUGAUUUGAUUUGACUGUGAUCAUGAGGCAAAUUCAGCAGCUUGUACAAUCCAUCUGUAGCCACACAUUUCAUGAGAACAUUCCCCCUUCUCUGGUCCUAAACAACACAAGAAGUUUCAUUGAAUUCAAUAUAUACAUUGUUGUCAUGUAAAAGCUGAAAUACAAGUGUGCAACCUAAGAGGGGGUGAAUUGGUAUUUUAAAAAAUAUCAUAACAAAACCACACAACAAUCCAAUCUAACGCCUUAAUAAAUUCNNNNNNNNNNNNNNNNNNNNNNNNNNNNNNNNNNNNNNNNNNNNNNNNNNNNNNNNNNNNNNNNNNNNNNNNNNNNNNNNNNNNNNNNNNNNNNNNNNNNNNNNNNNNNNNNNNNNNNNNNNNNNNNNNNNNNNNNNNNNNNNNNNNNNNNNNNNNNNNNNNNNNNNNNNNNNNNNNNNNNNNNNNNNNNNNNNNNNNNNNNNNNNNNNNNNNNNNNNNNNNNNNNNNNNNNNNNNNNNNNNNNNNNNNNNNNNNNNNNNNNNNNNNNNNNNNNNNNNNNNNNNNNNNNNNNNNNNNNNNNNNNNNNNNNNNNNNNNNNNNNNNNNNNNNNNNNNNNNNNNNNNNNNNNNNNNNNNNNNNNNNNNNNNNNNNNNNNNNNNNNNNNNNNNNNNNNNNNNNNNNNNNNNNNNNNNNNNNNNNNNNNNNNNNNNNNNNNNNNNNNNNNNNNNNNNNNNNNNNNNNNNNNNNNNNNNNNNNNNNNNNNNNNNNNNNNNNNNNNNNNNNNNNNNNNNNNNNNNNNNNNNNNNNNNNNNNNNNNNNNNNNNNNNNNNNNNNNNNNNNNNNNNNNNNNNNNNNNNNNNNNNNNNNNNNNNNNNNNNNNNNNNNNNNNNNNNNNNNNNNNNNNNNNNNNNNNNNNNNNNNNNNNNNNNNNNNNNNNNNNNNNNNNNNNNNNNNNNNNNNNNNNNNNNNNNNNNNNNNNNNNNNNNNNNNNNNNNNNNNNNNNNNNNNNNNNNNNNNNNNNNNNNNNNNNNNNNNNNNNNNNNNNNNNNNNNNNNNNNNNNNNNNNNNNNNNNNNNNNNNNNNNNNNNNNNNNNNNNNNNNNNNNNNNNNNNNNNNNNNNNNNNNNNNNNNNNNNNNNNNNNNNNNNNNNNNNNNNNNNNNNNNNNNNNNNNNNNNNNNNNNNNNNNNNNNNNNNNNNNNNNNNNNNNNNNNNNNNNNNNNNNNNNNNNNNNNNNNNNNNNNNNNNNNNNNNNNNNNNNNNNNNNNNNNNNNNNNNNNNNNNNNNNNNNNNNNNNNNNNNNNNNNNNNNNNNNNNNNNNNNNNNNNNNNNNNNNNNNNNNNNNNNNNNNNNNNNNNNNNNNNNNNNNNNNNNNNNNNNNNNNNNNNNNNNNNNNNNNNNNNNNNNNNNNNNNNNNNNNNNNNNNNNNNNNNNNNNNNNNNNNNAGCACAUAAAGUUCAGAUAGUAUAUUAGUCUUCCUUUUUUUUUUUCUUACCCCAAUUUUUUAUGCUGUAGUUGUGGAAAUGUUCCUCUGUUUUUAAGGGAAUCUUGGAACACGUUGAGCUUUUUAGUUCUUAUUUGUUAUUUCUUGCUCUUAAAGGUUCAAAUUAUAAUUUGCUUUUCUAUUUGGAAAUCUAUGCCUCAGGGACAACAUUUCCAUAUUUUUGUGGAUUAUUGGACUAUGCUACUAAAUAGAUUUUUAUUCUUUUCUUAAGAACGUAAAAUCAACUAGUAAUUUGGUUAAUAUAUUGAGUUUUUAAAUCUUCUAGUUUAUUACUCCUCUUUCUAGCUGUGUAGACACAUAAAAUCAACUUGUAAUUUGGUUACCAUUUGUGCAAAUUUUGUGUUGCAGUGAUAGUGAGAUGUUUCUUGCUUUUGUGGAAUAACAAGGACUUUGCUGAAAUGGGGGGGGGGUCUUUAACUUUGUUUUUUGUUUUGCCAAAUUUUGUUGCAGUGAUGUCAGCGUGUUUCAAAUUUUAUAGGAAUGUGAAGGCUAUUUAUCUUGAGGGAUUUGAGUGUUUUUCUGUCUCUUUUCUCACUUCUUAUUUCUAUCUAUGUUACACAUGCACAAGAAAUUUAGAUAGUCUUAUCUUUUUUUUCCCCAAUUUUUUGUGCUUUUGUUGUGGAAAUGUUCCUAUGCUUUUAAAGGAAUUUUGGAACACAUUACACUAGUAUUUAUUGAGCUUUUUAGUUCUUAUUUAUUAUUUCCAGCUCCUACUUAUGCCCAUCUAUUCCAAAGGUUUGAAUUAUAUAUAGUUUGUUUUUCUAUUUGGAAAUCUAUGCUGUAGGUUCAACUUUUCUAUGUUUUUUGUGGAUUAUAGGGACUAUGCUACUAAAUAGAUUUUUAUUCUUUUCCUAGUUUAUUACUUUCAUUGGUUGCCCGAAUGCAUGAAGUACAUUUUGUAACUAGGUCUUUCAUUUUUGAAAACUUUAUGUUGCAAUUUGUUGAAAUUAAAGUUGUAGUGUCAAAUUAUAGUAGUUGUUGUUAACGGUUGUAGUGUGCAUGUUCUGCAUUCGAUAACAUUGGGUAUUUUGAUUAAUUUUGAAUAGAUUUGUUUACUGGGUUUGGGUUGGAAUAUUGCUGGGUAUAUGACUGAAAUUACAGUGGUGUUGGAAGAUGGUGGGUAUAUGGCUGGAAUUACAGUGGCUUGAAGUGUUGCUGGGUACGUGGCUAUUGGAGUGUUGCCGCUGGAAGAGGGUAUUGCUGCUGGAAGUCUUGCUGCUAGAAUAUUUCCAUGAAUCUUUGGAAGUUUUGUUGGAAAACUUGGCUUAGUGGCUGGAAUUUGAAUUUUUCUUGAAGUUUAAUUGGAAUUUAACUAUUGUUUUAUAUUUUGGUUUGAUCCUUUUUAAUUUGGGAUGUUUUAUUAUAUAUUGGUGGUGAUGACAUGGAUACUAGAUGUAUUUAUUUUGAAAUUAAUUUCUUGGAUUCAAUGGAUGUUAAUUAAUAUUAAUUGUUUUUAGUUUUUUUGAUGAUAUCCAUUUUUAUUAAUUAAUUUAAUUUGCAAACCAGAAUUCACAAAUAAAUUAUAAUCAUAAUAUAAUUUUUUUUUUAAAAUAUAACUUUAUGAUGGGAGAUACCCAUCAUAAAGUCUGCACAAAACAUUUUCCCAAAAUUGAAUAAUAAAUUUACAAAUGACAAUUUAAUUUCCCACGAAAAAUUUAAAAAAAGGCUCGAAAAUUUAAAUAAGUUUAAAUUUAAAUUUAACUAUUUUUUAUAUUAAAAUAUUGUGUGACAGAUAUAUGACUGUGAAAUAACAUUAUGAAUUCAUGACAGAAAAUAUUCUGUCAUAAAUUAAUGACAGUGACAUAGAUGACGGAUGAAUUGUUUGUCAUGCACCCUUUUAUGACAGUUAUUUCCUGUCGUCUAUAACUUAUUUUCUUGUAGUGUAAAUUCUGCCAUUUGAGCUCAAACAUAGAUACCCUUUGUGCAUUUUACUGAAACCAAGAUGUACACAUUUGGAUGUGUGAAAAUCAAACUAAUGACUGUUAUAAGGUCUCAGAAAAGGAUAACACUCACAACCAAAAAUUUUGAUCAAUGAAUAAUUUGGUUUCUUUGAAUAUAGGACUUCAAAGAGAGUUUUGUCAUUUAGAGUAGGUGUGCUGACUCUAUUUAUGAGAUAUGUAGCAUGACAGAAUACUUCUCACCAGAACUUGAGAGGUAGUUCAGAUUGAGUAAGGAGAGUGAGACCAAUUUCGACAAGAUGUCUGUGUUUUCUUUCAGCCUUUCCAUUCUGAUGAUGUGUGUAAGGACAUGAGUAUCUAAGGCCAAUUCCUUCAUUUUUAAGAUAAGACUCAAAGGCUUUGUAUUCUCCUCCUAUAUCACAUUGGAAGAACUUGAUUUUCAGCUCUAGGCUUUUUCAAUAUGGUUUCUAAAUGAAAUGAAGGCUGACAAUGCUUGUGAUUUAUGUGUUAAUCCAUAAAUCCAAGUGUAAUUAGUUUUGUCAUCAAUGAAAUAUAUAUAGUAUUUGAAGCCUUGGUUUGAAGUGUGAGUGCAGGACCCCAGAGGUCAAUAUGAAUAAUUUUAAGUGCAACUAAUGGUUUUGAAUCACUGUUGUUGAAAGAUAAUUUGUGUUGUUUCCCAAGAUGACAUGCUUUGCAAAAAGAAAGUUUUGAAAAUUUAUUUCCAGUAGAGAUAUUACAAGCUGACAAAGUUUUCUUGAGAGCAACAACAUUAGGAUGCCCUAAUCUCAUAUGCCAUAGAUCACGUGUUUUAUUGACUCUUGAAUUCUCAUUGUUUAUACAAUUGACACAACAACUGACAGACACCAUAGACACAAGUUUAUUUGCUUGAUAGACUGAGAGUGAAACAGAAGAAAACAAAGCUGAUUUGAUUUGACUGUGAUCAUGAGGCAAAUUCAGCAGCUUGUACAAUCCAUCUGUAGCCACACAUUUCAUGAGAACAUUCCCCCUUCUCUGGUCCUAAACAACACAAGAAGUUUCAUUGAAUUCAAUAUAUACAUUGUUGUCAUGUAAAAGCUGAAAUACAAGUGUGCAACCUAAGAGGGGGUGAAUUGGUAUUUUAAAAAAUAUCAUAACAAAACCACACAACAAUCCAAUCUAACGCCUUAAUAAAUUCGAAAGCAAUAAGUUCAAUAAAAGCACAAUAACAAGUGAGUAAGAGAGAAGAGAAACAAAUACACGAAUUUUUACGUGGUUCGGCAAUCCCUGCCUACGUCCACACCUCCAAGCGAUCCAAGCUUGAGGAUUUCACUAUCUAAGCCUUCCAAGGCUUCAAAUGUUUACAAUUGACUUCAAGGUGUCAAUGAACCUUUACAACAAAGAGAUUAUCUACCAAUCUCUUCACUCAAGUGUCUCACACACUCAAACACUCACAUUUAAGAUGAGGAAUUGAAGAUUACAAUAAAAACUCUCUUAAAGAGUAGAUAUACAAAUUGAAGAACAAAAUAUGAUUCAAGGUUUUAUGAUUUGUGAAAUAAAAGCUCAAUGAACGUUGUGUGCUUUUUGAUUUUGCUUGCAAGAGAGCUUGAAAAUAAAUUGGAUUUGAGUUUAUAUAGUUUGAGCUCAAAAACUAGUCGUUAUGCACAUUUUGGUGAUAACCGGCUUACCGUUUAUGGAAUCCGGUUAAACCAUAAUAGGGGAUGAGGCUGUGAGAAAACAUGAAGUUGAUCAGCAGGAACCACAACGUUGAGUGGCCGAUCAUCACUCGGAGCAAGAAAAGUAAACUUGUUUUCAGUGAAUUUUACCCAAGUGUCAUUACUCCACUCAAAACCUAAGCCAAAUACAGUGUCAUCCCCUAUACCCUUAGACGGUCUACACGAUGGUUCUUGAAUCGGUACAUCAAAAUAUUUAAGGAUUCGGGUAAUGAAGUUGUUAACAUAUAUGUUUUCAUAAUGUUGAUUUUGAUGAUAACAAACAAGAUUAAGAAUGAUUAAUCUUUUAAGCUCAAAUUAUUUUUUAUACAUUUUAAAUAAAUCAUUAUUUUCACAUUAUAAAUGUUUUAUAUUUAAUGGAAAAAUGAUUUUAUGAAAUUAGUUGUUUUUCAAGUUUAUGGUUUAAUUGAAAGAGUUUACUAUCUUUGAUUUUAAUAAAUAUUGUUUUGAAUUUCAGAUUUGGACCUAUUUGAAAAUAUUUAAAUAUUUUGGGUCAUUCUAUAAUUUCACAUAGUUUGGGCGAUAUCAUAAUUUUAGAAAGUUUUGGGAUUAACAAAGUAUUAUUUAGAAAUUCCAAAAUUGGACUUAUUUGAAAAGAUUCAUAACGUUCUGGGCCAUAAUAUAGUUUUAUAAAGUUUUGGGGUCAAACUAUAAUUUUAGAAAAUAUUUCACUGUAACAGUUACUGUAGCAAGCGGCUAACCAGAUAUGAUAAGCGGCAAUCCGAAUUUUGGGCAGUAAGCUUCUGGAGCAUAAAUGGCUAUUCGGAUAUUGUAAGCGGCAUGCCGGAUGUUCUGAAAUUCAAAUUUUUGUUGUAACGGUAACAUAAAAGCGGCUAACCGGAUUCCGAAAGCGGCAAGCCAGUUAUCAUCAGAAAACACAUAAUGCUAGUUUUUGGGCUCAAACUAUAUAAACUCAAAUCCAAUUCAUUUUCAAGCUCUCCAACAAGCAAAAACAAAAAGCACACAACAUAUCUUGAGCUCUCAAUUCGCAAGUCAUUAUUCAUUGAAUCAUUGUUGUUCUUUAAUUUGUACAUCUACUCUUUAAGAGAGUUUUUAUUGUAACUUUCAUUUCUUCAUCUUAAUUGUGAGUGUUUGGGAGCAAGAAAAGUAAACUUGUUUUCAGUGAAUUUUACCCAAGUGUCAUUACUCCACUCAAAACCUAAGCCAAAUACAGUGUCAUCCCCUAUACCCUUAGACGGUCUACACGAUGGUUCUUGAAUCGGUACAUCAAAAUAUUUAAGGAUUCGGGUAAUGAAGUUGUUAACAUAUAUGUUUUCAUAAUGUUGAUUUUGAUGAUAACAAACAAGAUUAAGAAUGAUUAAUCUUUUAAGCUCAAAUUAUUUUUUAUACAUUUUAAAUAAAUCAUUAUUUUCACAUUAUAAAUGUUUUAUAUUUAAUGGAAAAAUGAUUUUAUGAAAUUAGUUGUUUUUCAAGUUUAUGGUUUAAUUGAAAGAGUUUACUAUCUUUGAUUUUAAUAAAUAUUGUUUUGAAUUUCAGAUUUGGACCUAUUUGAAAAUAUUUAAAUAUUUUGGGUCAUUCUAUAAUUUCACAUAGUUUGGGCGAUAUCAUAAUUUUAGAAAGUUUUGGGAUUAACAAAGUAUUAUUUAGAAAUUCCAAAAUUGGACUUAUUUGAAAAGAUUCAUAACGUUCUGGGCCAUAAUAUAGUUUUAUAAAGUUUUGGGGUCAAACUAUAAUUUUAGAAAAUAUUUCACUGUAACAGUUACUGUAGCAAGCGGCUAACCAGAUAUGAUAAGCGGCAAUCCGAAUUUUGGGCAGUAAGCUUCUGGAGCAUAAAUGGCUAUUCGGAUAUUGUAAGCGGCAUGCCGGAUGUUCUGAAAUUCAAAUUUUUGUUGUAACGGUAACAUAAAAGCGGCUAACCGGAUUCCGAAAGCGGCAAGCCAGUUAUCAUCAGAAAACACAUAAUGCUAGUUUUUGGGCUCAAACUAUAUAAACUCAAAUCCAAUUCAUUUUCAAGCUCUCCAACAAGCAAAAACAAAAAGCACACAACAUAUCUUGAGCUCUCAAUUCGCAAGUCAUUAUUCAUUGAAUCAUUGUUGUUCUUUAAUUUGUACAUCUACUCUUUAAGAGAGUUUUUAUUGUAACUUUCAUUUCUUCAUCUUAAUUGUGAGUGUUUGAGUGUGUGAGACACUUGAGUGAAGAGAUUGGGAGAUAAUCUCUUUGUUGUAAAGGUUCAUUGACACCUUGAACUCAAUUGUAAACGUUUGAAGCCUUGGAAGACUUGGAUAGUGAAAUCCUCAAGCUUGGAUCACUUGGAGGCGUGGACGUAGGCGGGGAUUGCCGAACCACAUAAAAAUUCUUGUGUUUGUUUCUCUUCUCUCUUACUUAUUUGUUAUUGUGCUUUUAUUGAACUUAUUGCUUUUGAAUUUAUUAAGGCGUUAGAUUGGAUUGUUGUGUGGCUUUGUUAGGAUAAUUUUUAAAAUACCAAUUCACCCCCCUCUUGGGUUGCACACUUGUAUUUCAUUUGGUAUCAGAGCGAGGUGCUCUUGUUUAGACUUAACCGUCUAGAGCUAAAGAUUAAUGGCAAUCCAAUAUGACUCGACUUUUAGGGAAGGACAGUCCACAAUUAGACCACCGUUCUUUGACGGAAAUAACUACCCGUAUUGGAAAACUAGGAUGAGAAUUUAUUUACAAGCACUAGAUUAUGAAAUUUGGGAAGUUGUUUGUGAUGGUCCAUUUAUGCCUUUGACUAAAAAUGAAGUCGGGGAAGAUAUUCCAAAACCUUCACGGGAAUGGAAUGAAUUGGAAAAGAGAAAAGCUACUCUAAAUUCCAAAGCUAUGAAUGCCUUGUUUUGUGCACUUGAUAAGAAAGAGUUUCAUAGAGUAUAUAGUUGUGAAAGUGCUAAUGAAAUUUGACACAAACUUGAAGUUGUUUAUGAAGGCACGAAUCAAGUGAAAAAGUCUAACAUUAGUAGGUACACUUGACAAUAUGAAUUGUUCCAAAUGGAACAAAAUGAGAGUGUGUAUUCUAUGUAUACUAGAUUUACGGACAUAGUGAACACUCUAGGAGCCCUAAGAAAGACUUUUUCAAAUAGCGAGAAAGUUAAAAAAAUUAUUAGGUCGCUACCUAAGGAAUGGAGACCAAAAAGGACUGCCAUUGAGGAAGCCAAAGAUUUAAAUAUCUUACCUAUUGAUGAUUUAAUUGGUUCUCUUAUUUCUUAUGAGGAAGACUUGGCAGCCGAAAGAGGUAAUGAAGAGAAGAAGAAAAGCAUUGCUCUCAAAGCCUCGAAACAUGAGAACGAUGAGGAAAGCGAGCUGGAUGAGGAGGAGAUGGAUAUGCUGGCUAGGAAGUUCAGAAAUUUUUUUAAGAAAUCUGGUGAGCGAAGAAAAUUUAAAGACUUCAAGAACCGAAAGGAGAAGAAGGAAGUAAUCAAAUGUUAUGAGUGCAAGAGGCAUGGACAUAUAAGAUCGGAAUGCCCUCUUCUCAACAAGCUCAAGAAGAAAUCAAUGGUAGCCACAUGGGAUGAUAACGAUGAGGAAACAAGUGAUGAUGAAGAGCAUCAAGAAAUGACAAAUCUAACUCUCAUGGCAAUUGGAGAUGAAUCAGAUGAUGAACUUGAUGAGGUAAAUGGUCUUCCUACUUAUGAUGAAUUACAUGAUGCUUUUAAAGAAUUGCAGCAAUUGGAGAUGAAUCGGAGAUGAAUCAGAUGAUGAACUUGAUGAGGUAAAUGGUCUUCCUACUUAUGAUGAAUUACAUGAUGCUUUUAAAGAAUUGCAUGAUGAGUGGAUGAAAAUUGGUAAAAGAAUGCAUGUCUUAAAAAGAAAAUGGUAGAGCUCAAAAAUGAAAAUGAAUCUCUAUGUGCAAUGAUUACAUGCCUAGAAUUAGAGAAUAAAACAUUGCAUGAUAGAGUUGCAUUAUCAAAUGAGAAACCUAGCACUUCACAUGAGCAUCUAGAAUCUCACAUAGAUGACUUGAAAAAGGAAAAAUGAAAUGCUUAAGAAGAAGAAUAAUGAGUUAAAUAAGAUUGUUUUAAAAUUUACAAAUGGACAAAAGAUGUUGGAUAACUUGAUUAAUUCACAAAAAUGUGUGUUUGAUAAAGGAGGACUUGGAUAUAAGUCAAAUUUGAAACAAAAGUAUUAUAAGAACUACUUUGUGAAGAGUACAUCUAUUAACAAUAAAGUUGUAUGCCAUUAUUGUAAUCAAAACGGUCACAUGAAGCUUGGUUGUCCUAUUAAAAGAAAAGUAUAUUAUGGAGUAAAAUGUGUUUGGGUUCUAAAAGGAAUAAUUGCUAACACACAAGGACCCAAGAGUAUUUGGGUACCAAGAAGCACAACUUGUAUAUUUUUUUGUAGGUACCAUAAUCAAGAAAUGGUGGAGAGUUUCUUGAUGAAAGCUUGUGAGAAUAAUCAUUUGAUCAUGAUCUAAGAGAAAAUGAUGAGUAAGAUAAUUUAAUUGCUUUGGUAACAAUUCUUGCCAUAUUAUUGUGUGUAAUCGUGAUGCAUGGUUAUAUGUAUAUAUAUAUAUGAUGAUAGCUUGUCAACUCAUCAUGAUGGAUUUGUUUGAUUUUAAUGAUUAUGAAAUGCGUAAGCAUGAUAAAUAAGUGAUAUGCUUGAAUUCUCAAUCUUUGAAUGCUUACAUAUUUCAUGAUUGUAUGAUGUGUAUGCAUGAUAGAUGAGUUAUAUGUUUAAAUUUAUAUUUCAUGCAUUAAAAGGCUUAUUGAAAUGUUUUAAAUCAUUUUGUGAUUUAAUAAGUGGCAAAAAGAUUUCCAAGGAUAAACCGGUAUACCACUUCUAAUCAACCGGAAAGUCAUUUUUCAUUUUGGAGCUCUCUGGACCAAAUCCGGAUAACCGGACAUUUAAAACCGGUAAGCCGAAUUCAUUUUGGUGCUCACUGGAGCACAACCGGUCAGUUGGAUAUUGGCAACCGGUAAACCGAAUUGGGUUUACUUGCUCUCGGGUCAAAAUUCGGAUAAUUGAAUUGGAAAAUCGGCAAACCAUUUGUGAAUGUCUCCUCUCUGGACAAAAAUUGGUCAACCGGUUAUGAAAUCCGGAAAGCCGAAUUCGGUUUGGAACUUACUGGACACAAACCGGUCAUCCGAUUAUGAAAUCCGGUAAGCCGGAUUUGCAAAGCUUCUUUUCUGCCUCAAAACCGGCUAGCCGGUUAUGCUAAACGGUAAGCCGGAUUCGAGCUUUUUAAGGACUAUUCAUCUUCUUUUCUUCAUUCGCCAAUCCGGUUCUCUCUCUCUCUCUAAAAUCCAUCAUUUUUUUUAUCAACACCAUACAUCACCUUAAAUCAUCUCUACGAUCAUUUUAAUUGAUUUAAAAUUACCCAUUUUACUCAAUAUCUUGAAAAUAUUAAUUUGUGCAUUUUGAGUAUUUCAAAUUACCACUUAUAUGCAUUGUUCUCCUUAUGGAUUUUACCAUAGUUUUCUAUUAUAUUAUGCACUUACAUUUUCAUAUGCAUUGUUGCUUUCAUUGUGGAUUGAUGAUGAUUAUUGUUUGAUAUUUGGAUGUUUUAUAUUUGGAAAAUGUGGAACUAAUGUGUUUAUCUUGAGAUUUUGAUGAUUGAUAUGGGGAGCUUUUUACUCUUUUUGAUGAUAAAGAGGGAGAUAUGAGAUGUAAGAGAGAAAUACAUCUACUCUGAGAUUCUUAAGCAUAUGAGAUUUUUUAAGUUAUAUCGAAAUGUCACAUUAGAUCUUUGAUAAGUUUAGUUGUCUUGAUUUCUAAAAUGUGAUUAAUAAUUAUGGAGCUUGGAUAGUUGAUAAUAUGUUCUUAUAACUUUUGCGUGCCAAAUUUGGUAAACAAACCAAAACCUAUUUGCGAAGAACAAUUUUCAAAAAUUUGGCAUGAACUUGGGAUGAUGAAAUUUAUUAAUAUCUCUAGUCAUGUUAUUAAUACUAUUAAAAUGGAUUUCUUGAUGAUUUUGAUGAUUGAUGAUUAUAUGUGUGUUGUUUGAUGAAUUGAUGAAGUUGUUGGUUUAUUAUAAUUGUUUAAGCCUAUAUGGAAGUGUUUUUUUAACCAUAUUGUGUAUUUGAGGAUUUGUUCAUUUUUAAGAGAAGACUCUGCCAAAAUUUUUUCGCACAAAAUGGGUAAUAUCUUCAUUGAAUUAUUUUUUUUUUUAUGAUCUUGUUUGGAUUCCAUCUAUCUAUCUUUUCUUUUUUAUGAUGAAGGGAGAGAUAAAUAUGAUAUGUUUUUAGAUAAAAUCAUUUUGGUUAAAAUUUUAAAUUGGCCAUAUAUUUAGGGGGAGCAUAUAAUAUAAUUUUGGAUAAUAUGCAUUUUGAACUUUUUUGUUGUCCAAAGGGGGAGACAAAGUAAUAUAUCAUUUCGAUGUUGUCAAAAUGAGGAGAAUAAUAUGCACUUUGAGUAUUGUUUUCAUUAUGGUGAUGAUUUGAUGGUUUUGAGAUAUGAUGAUGAUUUGAUUACAUGGGUGUUUUAUAUGAUAAAUUUAUGUUAUGAGUUGUUGACUUGGUAAUUGAUGGAAUAAUGAUUCAUGAUAUUUUGGUGUGAUGAUUUGUGAAUUGAGUUGGCUUGUAUCAUGAUUUAUAAUAAUUUGGGAGUAUUAUUACUAAACUUGUAUUUGAGGUAAUGCUUGUUGUUAGGGGGAGAAUGUGUUGAAAUUUCUACUCGGACAACAUGGGUAACAAAUUCGCUACUCUUAUUAUUUUCCUUUAAGUUUUCUUUUUGAUGAUGAAGUGGGAGAAGAAUACAUGUUUUUAAAUUCAUAAAAAUUUGCUACUCUUUUUCUUUGCCAAUUAAGUUUUCUUUUUGAUGAUGAGGGGGGAGAAAAAUGCAUGUAUUUAAAUUUUUUAAUUUAGUUAAUUGGCAAAUUGUAAGAGAAUAUUAUAUUUAGGGGAAGCAAUUUGUGGAAUCAUUAUUUAAAUACAUGAAAUGUUUGUCAUCAUCAAAAAAGGGGAGAUUGUUAACAUAUAUGUUUUCAUAAUGUUGAUUUUGAUGAUAACAAACAAGAUUAAGAAUGAUUAAUCUUUUAAGCUCAAAUUAUUUUUUAUACAUUUUAAAUAAUCAUUAUUUUCACAUUAUAAAUGUUUUAUAUUUAAUGGAAAAAUGAUUUUAUGAAAUUAGUUGUUUUUCAAGUUUAUGGUUUAAUUGAAAGAGUUUUACUAUCUUUGAUUUUAAUAAAUAUUGUUUUGAAUUUCAUAUUUGGACAUAACUAUCAAGUUUGGGAGAUUUCCUAGGCGAAAAAAUUUCUAGACCAAAAUCGGAUGAUCCUAGGAUGGAGUUUAACAAGGAAACAUCAAAAUCAAUCAUAACUCCUCCAAUGUUGGUGACUACUCGAGUCUUGUUCUCCGCGGAAACUUCCAUAUUCGAGUAAAACACUUUCACCAAGUCGGGAUAAACAUUCUCCUCAAUCAUAAGUGCAUCAAUCCAACCAACAUCUCCCAACAAUUGAAAUAAGUUUCUAUGGCUAAUAUUGAGAGUAUUAAUUCAAUCCGGUAAAACAUAAAACAUAUUGAGUACCUCACGAGUCCUGAAGCUUUGGUGAAACCGUUUGGCUAAAUGUUGGUUGUUUUGAAAGUGUGUGGACUCAAAAUUGGAUUGAUUGGAGGUGCCCCCUGCUUGUCGUGACCGAUUGGUUUGUUGAACUGGUUCUUUGCCUUUUCUUCGAACCGGCCGUGAGCUUGACAUGGUGAUUUUGAUUGAUUUGAAGUUAAAAGGAGCAAUGAGAAGGAAGAUGAUGAGGAUUGAAAGAGAUUUUGAGAAGCAAUUUGGAUAAAAAACGGCUUAAGAGGAAGAAAUUUAGAGAGAGAAGAAUUCGGUUAAACCCUAGAUUUGAUUUCGGAUCUAGUGAUUUUGAGGUUGAAAAUGGAUUUGAAAGAUGAUUUUGGGCACAAUGAUGGAUGGGUAACAAGUUUAAUGGUUCAAUUUGCAUAAAAAAUGAGUAGAAAUUAUGGAUUUUGGAGUGAAAAUGAGAGAGGAAGAAACGACUUUAGAGAGAGAAAGCUUAUCCGGUUUACCGAAAGAGAAAAGGGGAAGAAGAACAGUUUAAAACCGCGAAUCCGGCUAACCGGAUUUCACUAACCGGUUAGCCGAUUAGUGGAAAGAAUGAGUAAAGCCAUAGUCGGCUUACCGGUUAGAAAAACCGGUUGGUCUAAUUGAUUCCAGAAUGUGUCCAGACCGUAACCGGCUUACCGGUUUGAAGAACCGGUUGUCCGAUUUUGAGGCAGAGAAUGAGCUUUGCAAAUCCGGUUUACCAGAUUUCAUAACCGGAUGACCGAUUUUCAUCCAGUAAGCUCCAAAACACAUUCGGCUUUCCAGUUUUUCUAACCGGUUGACCGGUUUUCGUCCAAAAAUUUUGCAAAGCAAAUCCGGCUUACCCGUUUGGUAAAUCCGGUUAUCUAAAAGUUGACCUGAGAGCAACCAAAGCUAAUCCGGCUUACCAGUUAGCUAAAUCCGGUUAUCCAGAUAUUGACCCGAGAGUAAUCAAGAAGAAAAUGGGUUUCCAAUUAACAAGAAGCGGUAUACCGGUUUAGACUUGAAAAUCUUUUUGCCUCUUAUUGAAUUUUGGUAAGCUCUUAUACUUGUAUAAUACACACCAAUUUAUUUUUGGCUUAAAAUUUUAUCAAUUUUAAAUCAUUUUGUGAUUUAAAACUUUUCAAUAAGCCAUUCAAUGCAUGAACCAUAAAUGCAUUCAAUAACAAACAUAUUAAUUUAAUCAACAAAUCAUAAUUCAAGAUGCAACAUUCAUCAUUCCAAGCUCAUGUCUUAUCUUUAUAAAAUGCUCUUCACUAAGAGGUUUUGUAAAGAUAUCCGCAAGUUGAUUUUCAGUAUAAACAAAUUUAAUCACAACAUCUCCUUUUUGAACAUGAUCUCUAAUGAAGUGAUGCCUAAUUUCAAUAUACUUAGUCCUAGAAUGUUGAAUGGGAUUCUUGGAUAGGUUAAUAGCACUAGUAUUGUCACGCAAUAUAGGUAUUUGAUCAAGAUUAAUACCGUAGUCUCUAAGAGUUUGUUUCAUCCACAGAAUUUGUACACAACAACUACCAGCGGCUAUAUAUUCUGCCUCGGUGGUUGAAAGUGCAACCGAGUUUUGUUUCUUACUAAGCCAAGAGACAAGUGAAUGACCUAAGAAGUGACAUGUUCUACUAGUACUUUUUCUAUCAACCUUAUAACCGGUAAAGUCGGCAUCCGAAUAACAAGUUAAGUCAAUAUGAGUUCCCCUGGGAUACCAAAGGCCAAGAUUAAUGGUGCCAAUCAAAUAUCGAAAAAUUCAUUUGACAGCAAGCAUGUAUGAUUCUUUAGGACAAGAUUGAAAUCUAGCACACAAGCAUACACUAAACAUAAUAUCAGGUCUACUAGCAGUCAAGUAGAGUAAGGAUCCGAUCAUACCUCGAUAACUCUUGAUGUCGACUUUCUUACAUUUCUCAUCUUUGUCCAGCUUGAUGGUAGUACUCAUUGGAGUGCUUUUUGCCGUUCCAUUAUAAUAGCCAAAUCUUUUGAGUAGAUCUUUCACGUACUUGGUUUGAUUUAUGAAAAUUCCUUCCUCGUUUUGUUCGAUUUGGAGUCCAAGGAAGUACUUUAACUCUCCCAUCAUACUCAUCUCAAAUUCUUUGCUCAUACAAGAUGAAAAUUCUUUACACAAUAAUUCAUUAGUAGAACCAAAAAUAAUAUCAUCAACAUAAAUUUGAACAAUAAGUAUAUCUUGGUUUUUAUACUUAACAAAUAAAGUUGUGUCCACUUUUCCCAUCGAAAAAGCGUUAUCUAACAAGAAGUUUUUAAGCCUAUCAUACCAUGCUCUAGGUGCUUGUUUUAGUCCAUACAAAGCCUUAGAUAACUUAUACACAUGAUCUGAAAAUUUUUCAUUUUCAAAACUAGGGGGUUGUUUCACAUACACUUCCUCCAUAAUAUAACCAUUCAAGAAAGCACUCUUGACAUCCAUUUGAUAUAAAAUAAAAUCUUUAUGACAUGCAAAAACUAAGAGCAUUCUAAUGGAUUCUAGUCUAUCUACAGGUGUAAAUGUUUCAUCAAAAUCAAUUUCCUCUUUUUGGUUGUAACAUUGAGCCACUAGUCUAGCUUUAUUUCUUACAACCACACCGGAUUUAUCCAUUUGGUUUCUAUAUACCCAUUUAGUACUUAUGAUGGAUUGAUGUUCCGGAUUAGGAACUAAUUCCCAUACAUUGUUUCUCUCAAAUUAAUUCAAUUCCUCUUGCAAUGCCAUAAUCCAAGAUUCAUCAUUUUCUGCAUCCGCAAAUGAUUUUGGUCCAAUUUGAGAAAUAAAUGCAGCAUGCUCACAUGUGUUCUUAAGAGAUGAUCUAGUUGUAACACCUCGUGAGGGAUCUCCUAAAAUUACAUCCUUAGGGUGAGAAAUAUUGUUUUGAAUUUCAUAUUUGGACAUAACUAUCAAGUUUGGGAGAUUUCCUAGGCGAAAAAAUUUCUAGACCAAAAUCGGAUGAUCCUAGGAUGGAGUUUAACAAGGAAACAUCAAAAUCAAUCAUAACUCCUCCAAUGUUGGUGACUACUCGAGUCUUGUUCUCCGCGGAAACUUCCAUAUUCGAGUAAAACACUUUCACCAAGUCGGGAUACAAGUUCUCCUCAAUUAAAAAUGCAUCAAUCCAACCAACAUCUCCCAACAAUUGAAAUAAGUUUCUAUGGCUAAUAUUGAGAGUAUUAAUUCAAUCCGGUAAAACAUAAAACAUAUUGAGUACCUCACGAGUCCUGAAGCUUUGGUGAAACCGUUUGGCUAAAUGUUGGUUGUUUUGAAAGUGUGUGGACUCAAAAUUGGAUUGAUUGGAGGUGCCCCCUGCUUGUCGUGACCGAUUGGUUUGUUGAACUGGUUCUUUGCCUUUUCUUCGAACCGGCCGUGAGCUUGACAUGGUGAUUUUGAUUGAUUUGAAGUUAAAAGGAGCAAUGAGAAGGAAGAUGAUGAGGAUUGAAAGAGAUUUUGAGAAGCAAUUUGGAUCAAAAACCGCUUAAGAGGAAGAAAUUUAGAGAGAGAAGAAUUCGGUUAAACCCUAGAUUUGAUUUUGGAUCUAGUGAUUUUGAGGUUGAAAAUGGAUUUGAAAGAUGAUUUUGGGCACAAUGAUGGAUGGGUAACAAGUUUAAUGGUUCAAUUUGCAUAAAAAAUGAGUAGAAAUUAUGGAUUUUGGAGUGAAAAUGAGAGAGGAAGAAACGACUUUAGAGAGAGAAAGCUUAUCCGGUUUACCGAAAGAGAAAAGGGGAAGAAGAACAGUUUAAAACCGCGAAUCCGGCUAACCGGAUUUCACUAACCGGUUAGCCGAUUAGUGGAAAGAAUGAGUAAAGCCAUAGUCGGCUUACCGGUUAGAAAAACCGGUUGGUCUAAUUGAUUCCAGAAUGUGUCCAGACCGUAACCGGCUUACCGGUUUGAAGAACCGGUUGUCCGAUUUUGAGGCAGAGAAUGAGCUUUGCAAAUCCGGUUUACCAGAUUUCAUAACCGGAUGACCGAUUUUCAUCCAGUAAGCUCCAAAACACAUUCGGCUUUCCAGUUUUUCUAACCGGUUGACCGGUUUUCGUCCAAAAAUUUUGCAAAGCAAAUCCGGCUUACCCGUUUGGUAAAUCCGGUUAUCUAAAAGUUGACCUGAGAGCAACCAAAGCUAAUCCGGCUUACCAGUUAGCUAAAUCCGGUUAUCCAGAUAUUGACCCGAGAGUAAUCAAGAAGAAAAUGGGUUUCCAAUUAACAAGAAGCGGUAUACCGGUUUAGACUUGAAAAUCUUUUUGCCUCUUAUUGAAUUUUGGUAAGCUCUUAUACUUGUAUAAUACACACCAAUUUAUUUUUGGCUUAAAAUUUUAUCAAUUUUAAAUCAUUUUGUGAUUUAAAACUUUUCAAUAAGCCAUUCAAUGCAUGAACCAUAAAUGCAUUCAAUAACAAACAUAUUAAUUUAAUCAACAAAUCAUAAUUCAAGAUGCAACAUUCAUCAUUCCAAGCUCAUGUCUUAUCUUUAUAAAAUGCUCUUCACUAAGAGGUUUUGUAAAGAUAUCCGCAAGUUGAUUUUCAGUAUAAACAAAUUUAAUCACAACAUCUCCUUUUUGAACAUGAUCUCUAAUGAAGUGAUGCCUAAUUUCAAUAUACUUAGUCCUAGAAUGUUGAAUGGGAUUCUUGGAUAGGUUAAUAGCACUAGUAUUGUCACGCAAUAUAGGUAUUUGAUCAAGAUUAAUACCGUAGUCUCUAAGAGUUUGUUUCAUCCACAGAAUUUGUACACAACAACUACCAGCGGCUAUAUAUUCUGCCUCGGUGGUUGAAAGUGCAACCGAGUUUUGUUUCUUACUAAGCCAAGAGACAAGUGAAUGACCUAAGAAGUGACAUGUUCUACUAGUACUUUUUCUAUCAACCUUAUAACCGGUAAAGUCGGCAUCCGAAUAACAAGUUAAGUCAAUAUGAGUUCCCCUGGGAUACCAAAGGCCAAGAUUAAUGGUGCCAAUCAAAUAUCGAAAAAUUCAUUUGACAGCAAGCAUGUAUGAUUCUUUAGGACAAGAUUGAAAUCUAGCACACAAGCAUACACUAAACAUAAUAUCAGGUCUACUAGCAGUCAAGUAGAGUAAGGAUCCGAUCAUACCUCGAUAACUCUUGAUGUCGACUUUCUUACAUUUCUCAUCUUUGUCCAGCUUGAUGGUAGUACUCAUUGGAGUGCUUUUUGCCGUUCCAUUAUAAUAGCCAAAUCUUUUGAGUAGAUCUUUCACGUACUUGGUUUGAUUUAUGAAAAUUCCUUCCUCGUUUUGUUCGAUUUGGAGUCCAAGGAAGUACUUUAACUCUCCCAUCAUACUCAUCUCAAAUUCUUUGCUCAUACAAGAUGAAAAUUCUUUACACAAUAAUUCAUUAGUAGAACCAAAAAUAAUAUCAUCAACAUAAAUUUGAACAAUAAGUAUAUCUUGGUUUUUAUACUUAACAAAUAAAGUUGUGUCCACUUUUCCCAUCGAAAAAGCGUUAUCUAACAAGAAGUUUUUAAGCCUAUCAUACCAUGCUCUAGGUGCUUGUUUUAGUCCAUACAAAGCCUUAGAUAACUUAUACACAUGAUCUGAAAAUUUUUCAUUUUCAAAACUAGGGGGUUGUUUCACAUACACUUCCUCCAUAAUAUAACCAUUCAAGAAAGCACUCUUGACAUCCAUUUGAUAUAAAAUAAAAUCUUUAUGACAUGCAAAAACUAAGAGCAUUCUAAUGGAUUCUAGUCUAUCUACAGGUGUAAAUGUUUCAUCAAAAUCAAUUUCCUCUUUUUGGUUGUAACAUUGAGCCACUAGUCUAGCUUUAUUUCUUACAACCACACCGGAUUUAUCCAUUUGGUUUCUAUAUACCCAUUUAGUACUUAUGAUGGAUUGAUGUUCCGGAUUAGGAACUAAUUCCCAUACAUUGUUUCUCUCAAAUUAAUUCAAUUCCUCUUGCAAUGCCAUAAUCCAAGAUUCAUCAUUUUCUGCAUCCGCAAAUGAUUUUGGUCCAAUUUGAGAAAUAAAUGCAGCAUGCUCACAUGUGUUCUUAAGAGAUGAUCUAGUUGUAACACCUCGUGAGGGAUCUCCUAAAAUUACAUCCUUAGGGUGAGAAGAAACACACCUCCACUCCUUGGGGAGUGUUUGAGAAGUACCUUCAUUUUACUCUGUAUUUGUUUCUUCAUGAUGUUCCUCUUGAAUUCCAUGUGGUGCAUCUUUUUGGUUGUCAUUUGAUGCUUCUUCUUCUUGUUCUUCUUCUACAUUAUCAUCAACAACGACUUUCUCCGUAGAGGAGAGGUUAGACUCAUCAAAUGUAACAUGCAUAGAUUCUUCCACAACCAAAGUUCUUUUAUUAUAAACUCUAUAAGCUUUGCUUGAGUUUGAAUAACCAAGAAAAAUACCAACAUCAGAUUUUGGAUCAAAUUUACCAAGAUUAUCUUUUGUGUUCAAAACAAAACAUUUGCAUCCAAAGACUUUAAAAUAACCAAUGUUGUCAUCAACAACGACUUUCUCCGUAGAGGAGAGGUUAGACUCAUCAAAUGUAACAUGCAUAGAUUCUUCCACAACCAAAGUUCUUUUAUUAUAAACUCUAUAAGCUUUGCUUGAGUUUGAAUAACCAAGAAAAAUACCAACAUCAGAUUUUGGAUCAAAUUUACCAAGAUUGUCUUUUAUGUUCAAAACAAAACAUUUGCAUCCAAAGACUUUAAAAUAGCCAAUGUUGGGUUUUCUAUCUUUCUAAAGCUCAUAAGGAGUUUUAUUAAGAUUAGGUCUAAUCAACACACGAUUCAAAACAUAACAAGUGGUGUUCACGGCUUCGGCCCAAAAAUACUUAGGCAAAGAAUUUUCAUUCAACAUAGUCCUAGCCAUUUCUUGAAUAGACAUAUUCUUUCUCUCUACAACUCCAUUUUGUUGAGGAGUCCUAGGUGAUAAAAAUUGAUGCUCAAUGCCAAAAUCAUUACAAAAGUUCUCAAAUGCAUAAUUUUCAAAUUCUCCACCAUGAUCACUUCUUAUACAAGAAAUACUACAUCCCUUUUCAUUUUGAACCUUUUUGCAGAAAACUUUAAAUGCAUCAAAGGCAUCAUCCUUAUUAGCUAAGAAUAAUACUCAUGUGUAUCUAGAAUAAUCAUCCACAAUUACAAAAGUAUAUUAUUUUCCAUUUAAACUAGCAUAUUUAGAAGGUCCAAACAAGUCUAUGUGAAAUAGUUGAAGGGGUUUUGAAGUAGAAAUGUUUUUCUUGCUUUUGAAAGAAGUUUUGAUUUGUUUUCCAAAUUGGCAAGCUUCACAAAUUCUAUCUUUUUGAAAACUGAUUUUUGGAAGACCUUUAACCAAAUCAUUUUUCACGAUUUUUGAAAUCAAAUCUAUGCUUGCAUGACCUAAUCUUCUAUGCCACAACCAACCAUCAUCAUGCAAUGCGGAGAAACAUUUAUCAUUUGUAGGUGCACAAUCUAUAUUAAUGGUAUAGACAUUAACACAACAUUUCCUACAAACAAAACUUUCUCAUCACAUGUAUUCUCAAUAACACAAAGAUAACUCUAUAUCCUUUAUCACAUAAUUAACUAAUACUAAGCAAGUUGUGUUUUAAGUUUUCAACCAAACACACAUUUUCAAUGAGAGUUGAGGAUACAUUACUAACAUUGCCAAUGCCAAUGAUUUUUCCUUUUGAUUUAUCUCCAAACGAUAUAUCUCCACCAUUUUCGAUCUUGGUAAAACUUGAAAACCAAGAAUAAUUCCCUGUCAUGUGUCUUGAACAAUCAUUGUCCAAGUACCACUUAUUCUUCUUCUUCUUCAAGCCCUGUAGAGAAAAUCUCAAGUUUUAGGUACCCAAAACUUUUUGGGUGCUUGAGAGUUAGCAAUGGUUCUUUUCGGAACCCAAACACAUUUCACACCAUAAUAUGCAUUUCUCUUCACUGGACAUCUAUUUUUCAUAUGACCAUCUUGAUUACAAUAAUGACAUACAAUUUGAUUAUUAAUAAAUGUAUUCUUCACAAAAUAACCCUUGUAAUACUUUUGUUUCAAAUUUGGCUUAUAACCUUUAAUAGAUGAAUUCUUCACAAAAUAACUCUUGUAAUACUUUUGUUUCAAAUUUGGCUUAUAACCAAUGCCUCCUUUGUCAAAUACACAUUUUUGUGAGUUUAGCAAGUUAUCCAACAUCUUUUGCCCAUUUGUGAAUUUUAGCACAAUCUUAUUUAGUUCAUUGCUCUUAUUUCUAAGUAUUUUAUUUUCAUUUUUCAAGUCAUUCACGUGUGACUCUAAGUGCUCAUGUGAAGUGCUAGAAUUCUCAAAUAAUGCAACUCUAUCAUGCAAUGUUUUAUUCUCUAAUUCUAGGCAGCUCUUCAUCAUUGCUUGUUUCCUCAUCACUAUCAUCCAACGUGGCCACCACAACUUUCUUCUUGAAUUUGUUGAGGAGAGGAUAUUCCGGUCGUAUGUGUCCGGGCUUCUUGCAUUCAUAGCAAGUAAUUGGCUCUUUCUUCUCCUUUUUGUUUUUGUGACUUCUAAACUUUCUCUGCUCGUUAUUCUUCUUGUAAAAUUUUCUGAAUCUUCUAGCCAACAUAGCCAACUCCACAUCAUCCAUCUGGCUUUCCUCAUCACUCUCACGUUUUGAGGCUUUGAGAGCAAUGUUUUUCUUCUUUUCCUCAUGCCCUUUUUUUGCUACUAAAUCUUAUUCAUAUAAAAUGAGAGAACCAAUUAAAUCAUCAAUAGGUAAGACAUUUAGAUCUUUGGCUUCCUUAAUGGCAAUCCUUUUUUGUCUCUAUUCCUUAGGUAACGACCUAUUGAUUUUCAUAACUUUCUCGCUAUUAGAAAAAAAUUUUCCUAGGGCUCCUAGAGUGUUCAAUAUGUCCGUAAAUCUAGUAUAAUUAGAAUAUAUACUCUCAUUUUAUUCCAUUUGGAACAAUUCAUAUUGUCGAAUGUACCUAUUAAUUUUUUACUCUUUCACUUGAUUCGUGCCUUCAUAAACAACUUCAAGUUUGUGCCAAAUUUCAUUAGCACUUUCACAACUAGACAAUCUAUGGAACUCUUUCUUAUCUAGUGCACAAAAUAAGGCAUUCAUAGCUUUGGAAUUUAGAGAGGCCUUUCUCUUUUCCAAUUCAUUCCAUUCCCGCGAAGGUUUUGGAAUAUAUUUCCCUACUUCAUUUUUAGUCAAAGGCAUGAAAUGACCAUCAUUAACGAUUUCCCAAAUUUCGUAAUCUAAAGCUUGCAAGUAAAUUAUCAUCCUAGUUUUCUAAUACGGGUAAUUGUUUCCAUCAAAAUAUGUUGGUCUAGUGGUGAAUUGUCCUUCCCUAAAUGUAGAAUCAUUAUGAGUUACCAUUGAUUUUUAGCUCUAGACGGUUAAGUCUAAACAAGAGCACCUUACUUUGAUACUAAAUGAAAUACGAGUGUGCAACCCAAGAGGGGGGUGAAUUGGUAUUUAAAAAAAUAUCCUAACAAAACCACACAACAAUCCAAUCUAACGCCUUAAUAAAUUCGAAAGCAAUAAGUUCAAUAAAAGCACAAUAACAAGUGAGUAAGAGAGAAGAGAAACAAACACACAAAUUUUUACGUGGUUCGGCAAUCCCCGCCUACGUCCAUGCCUCCAAGCGAUCCAAGCUUGAGGAUUUCACUAUCCAAGCCUUCCAAGGCUUCAAAUGUUUACAAUUGACUUCAAGGUGUCAAUGAACCUUUACAACAAAGAGAUUAUCUACCAAUCUCUUCACUCAAGUGUCUCACACACUCAAACACUCACAUUUAAGAUGAGGAAUUGAAGAUUACAAUAAAAACUCUCUUAAAGAGUAGAUAUACAAAUUGAAGAACAAAAGAUGAUUCAAGGUUUUAUGAUUUGCGAAAUGAGAGCUCAAUGAACGUUGCGUGCUUUUUGAUUUUGCUUGUAAGAGAGCUUGAAAAUAAAUUGGAUUUGAGUUUAUAUAGUUUGAGCUCAAAAACUAGCCGUUAUGCACAUUUUUGUGAUAACCGGCUUACAGUUUACGGAAUCCGGUUAGCCGCUUUUAUGUUACCGUUAAGGCAAAAUUUUGAAUUUUAGAACAUCCGGCAUGCCGCUUACGAUAUCCAGAUAACCGUUUAUGCUCCAGAAGCUUACUGCCCAAAAUCUGGAUAGCCGCUUAUCAUAUCCGGUUAGCCGCUUGCUACAGUAACUGCUACAUUGAACUAUUUUCCAAAAUUACAGUUUAAUCCCAAAAUUUUAUAAAACUAUUUAUGGCCCAAAAUGUUAUGAAAGUUUUCAAAUAGGUCCAAUUUUAGAAUUUCUAAAUAAUGCUUCGUCAAUCCUAAAACUUUCUGAAAUUAUGAUAUCACCCAAACUAUGUGAAAUUAUAGAAUGACCUAAAAUAUUUAAAUAUUUUCAAAUAGGUCCAAAUAUGAAAUUUUAAAACAAUAUCAAAGAUUAUAAAAUAUUUUCAUUUUAGUCCAAAACACUUUAAUUCCAUAAAAUCAUUUUCUUAUUAUAAAAGCACAAUUCAUAAAUUUUUGUUUAACUAACACAUGUGGUUUGUUAUCAUCAAAAUCAAUAUUUAUAGGCAUAUAUGAGAUAAUAUUUUCCCGUCUAUCCGUGUAGCUCCGGGGCAUGACGGUACUUAGAUAGUACGUCAUUGCCUGUCCAUUGAGGUCUAGAUAUGAGACAUGAUGAGAUAUAUGAGAUGAUACUUACCAGUAUAUCUGUGUAGCUCCAGGGCAUGAUGGUACUUAGAUAGUAUGUCAUUACCUGUCCGCUGAGGUCCGGAUAUGAGAUAUGAGGCAUAUGAGAUGACAUUUCACUGUCUACCCGUUGUAGCUCCGGGACAUGAUGGUUCCCUGAUUGCCCGUUCGUCGAGGUUCGGGUAUGACGAGAUUAUUCUUGUGAAUACUUGUUUGUUGAUAGUUUUCAGUAUUCAGUAUUCGAUAUUAUAAGUGUUAUGAUUUCAUUGAUUUUAUGCGGAUUUAUGGGAUAUUGUUAUUCUAGUGCAUGAUUUGAAUUAAAUAAGUUUAUGUAAGUUCUUAUGAUAUUUUGAUGAAAUUGAUUUUGGGAAAGAUUUAUAGUUUAUUUAAAGUCUUAUGAAUUUUUUAUGAGAUUGUUUUGAGAAGAAUUAAAUUAUUUUUAAGUAAAUUUAUUUUUUUCAAAAACUACUAUCCACUCACUGAGCUCACUGAAUUUUAUACUCACACUGUUUUUAUUAUAUUCCCCCCCACAGGAGACUUGCAGGAACAUCAGUUGACCCAACAACAAUAGUUAGAUUUGAUUUUAUGGCCACGUGAUGGUGUUAGAAAUCAUAGAUAUUUUGUUGAGAUAUUUUGGAUUGUAUAAUAUAUUACAUAUUUGUGAUUAAGGAUAAUUUAUUGUAUUUUGACAUUAUAAUGUUUGGGUAAUAUUCGAUAUGUUGAUUGAGGAAGUUGAUGUGGAGGUUGGUUGAAUAUUGAGCUAUUUUUGGGAGUGUUAAUUUUAUAAUUUGCAUAAGUGGGAAUGUUUUAAAUUUAUAAGAGAGAUUCUAUCAAAUUUUUGGUAGAAUCCUUAAAUAUUAGAUUUAUUACUGAUUUAAUUAGACGAGUUUAGGUAGACUCGCCUUGGGUUUAGGGCGUGUCAUUUCAUUUGAUGAGUGGCGACACGUGGUUACUAAUACAGCCAAAUAUUGAGAAUUCGAAUACAGACAAAAACGAUUAUUAGAACUAAUACUCCAAAUCAAAUUUAGAGAAUGAAUGUCGAGGAUUCAGAUCUAAAAAGUAUUUUCCCUCCAAUCAGUCAUCUGAUCUCUUACUCUAUAAAUAGUAACCAAAUGAUCAUCUUUUGGCCAAUUUCUAGACUAAGUCAAGAGAAUUCAGAUCUAAAUAAGCUUUCGAAAUCUCCAAAAUUUUGACUUGAGCAUGAGAUGUGUUUUGCAGGCACAAGCUCGAGUCAAAUCAAUCAAUUUCCACAAGGAUUGAGAAUGAGUAAUCAAGGAAUCAUGUAUCGUUUAUAAUUUACUAAAUUUAGAGUUAUUUUUGCAUCUCAUGAUUGAAGAUUUCAGAAUCGUCAAGAAGAAAUCUUCAAUUUAAUUUAUAGCGAAUGAUUAUGUUCCUUUUAUAUAACCUACGUUCUUUUAUAAAUUAGGCAUUUGAGCCUAACAAUUGAAUAAAGAGUGAUUAUUCUUUAAAAGUUUCCAAAUGCUAAUGAAAAGCUUGAAAAUAUUCAAUCAGUGUGGGUUCUGGUUAUUCUCAGGAUUUGUUUGAAAGGGAAGCUUAAGCAAAUUAAGACAGAAGACCAAUUAAUUAAGGUGGCUAAGAGGAGCGACCGGAAUAGCAAACUUUCUCAUUUGGUUGCUAUAUAAUUAAGGGGAAUAAGUCUUAUAUAUCUUUUAGAAAAUCAGCAAUGAAGUUAUAUUCUGAAAAAUUGCUUUAUAUAUUCUACAAGAAUUUAGAUUUUGAAAAUUUAGGGUGCGUUUGGGAUUGAGGUUGGUAGCACUAAAGUGUUUGGUAAACACUAACUGCUAUAACUCGGAAGUUAUGUUGAUAUGAUUUUUCACUUGUAUAAUGGAAAAUCUAUUAUAUCUUUAAUAAUUUUAUCAAAAUCAUUACUUAAAAUUUAUAUUUACUAUAUAUUACUAACUUUUGUUUUAGAGUUACAGCUUUUUUUCCACAGCAGCUGUAGCUUAAAAGUUAUAGCACUUCAAUCCCAAACGCACCCUUAAUGGAUGGCGCCGCUGGCGAAGUAGGAAACUUAUUUUAAUCCGGGCUAAUUAUAAAAAAUCUUAAAAUAAUAAAUGGCAUUCAUUGGUACUAAUAUGAGCUUUUUUAGGGAUUAAUAUGAACAUUAUUAAUCUAUCUAUUUCCAGCGUUGUUCCCAAUUUGGUCAUAUCAGUUAAGAAUAAUAUGCGAGUUGUUGUUUCUCAGAUUAAAUAGGCGGUUUGAAGGUUAGAUCCUUCCAGUGUUCCGGGCCCUAAUGAUUUUCCGCGGCCUUUUCUUUCAAUUAUGAUUCAUGAGUUAAACAAUUUUUCAAGUAGAAUUAGAUCCUUCUGAAUUUAAUUAUUAAUUUUAUUAAUUUGAUUCCAAAAGCUCAAGAGGCUUUGGUAGUGUUAAGGAUAUUAUCCCAUAUCGAUGAAGAAUAAUUAUUAGCUACGCUAAUAAUUUAUAUAAGCUUGAGGAGUUGAGGUAGCCCCAACUUUUGAGUAUGAAUUAGAUUUAUAGGCUUCUAUAAAAAUUUGAAAAAAUUCAAAUUACUUUUGAGCACAUAGAUGAGCUCCAUAAGAAAAGUCGGGCAAAUUUAACUUUGCUAUUGCAAAUUUCUGUUUAAGCUCAUCCUUUAACAUUGCUUCAGUCGGAAUAUUAAACUUAAUGCCUUCACAAGAAUACCAUGAAUUACAUCCAUGUAUAUUCAAAAAAAAAAAAAAAAAAGAGUUGUUGAUAUAUCAUGAUUUGAUCACAUUGUUAUUACAUAGGAUGAAGAUUUUUAAUUUGAAAUUUGUCAGUUCAGCUAUCAAACAUCGUGGUACUGAUUCAUAAUGGUAGACCUAAUGAUAAAUAAGUUAAAUAACAAACUAAUAAUACUAAUAAAUAUGUUUUACAAAAAAAUAACAUUAAGUUAACUUCUUAAUAUUUAAAAUAAGUUUGGUCAAUUUCUUAUAGAGAAUGGUUUCAUAAAUAGUUGGUACUUUCAUUUAUUAUAUUACCAUUCGUCGUUAUUAAUCUGAAAUGAUUGACUUCAAAAAUUUCAAAGUUUUACAAGGUAUAAUAUUAAACCUACAUAAAAAUUUAGAUCAUUCACAUUUUUUCAAAAGUAUUUUGAAUAUUAAAUUAAGUUAUUUAAUACUAGGAAGUUUCCGAUACCUUGCAUCUUAGCUUGCAUCUUAGUUUUACGAGGUAUAAUAUUAAACCUACAUAAAAAGAUAAUUUACAUUUUUUCAAAAGUAUUUUGAAUAUUAAAUUAAGUUAUUUAAUACUGGGAAGUGUCCGAUACCUUGCAUCUUGGCUUGCAACUUGAAAAGUCAAUGUUCCGACUUAAAAUAUUUAACAUAAAUAUGCCUUGAUAUUGAAACAAUAAUUGAAAGCCAUGUGCUUUAUAAGUUAACGAACACGUCUUUAUUAAUUUUUAAGUAAAAAUUAAAUAAUGUCAGAAUAGCAUGAUAACAACGAAUCAUUAUAAUACCAGAUGGAAUUCAUCGACUAUGCUAAACAUCAAGUUAUAUUGAUUGUUUAGUUGUUGUUCAAAUUGAUAUAAGACUUAACUUGCAUACAACUAGGCAUCAAAAAAUUAAAGUAAAUGCUUCUUAGUCUUUUUUUUUUGUUUUUUAAGUUAAUGACGAAACCGAACGCGAAGAUUGAUAAAAGAUAGAGAGAUAAAAGUGUUUGAAUAACUGGAAUAUUAUUAAAUAAAAUAUGAAUAUCAAAAUUAGGAUUUUAAGAGUCUUAUAUAUUAAUCCUAAAUAAUGUAAAUUUAAUAAAAUAGGCAAAUUCAAAUUAUUAUUAUUAUUACAUAAUAAAAUUUUACUAAUUGAAAUAAAAAAGAAAACAAACAAUACUAAAAAAAUAUAUCUAAAAAAAAAAUCUUAAAAGUAAUAGAAAAAGUAGGAAAUAACUCAAACUAGAAAAUGACCAUAAAAAAUAAGGAAUUUCUAGCCAAAUUAUAGCGCUUAUAUUCGUUUCGUUGCAAGCCUGGAAACGAUAUAUUGUAUGCCCCAUAUGGACGCUUGUAACUCAAUUUAUGACCUCGCAAAAGUAUUCUACUCAUCCUAUACUCCGUUCUACAAUAUGCAAGAGAGGUAAGUAAAGUUGAAAUUAAUUGUUUUAUCCUCUACCUCACGGGGGAAUUUGAACUUGGUUUGACUAGGAAAAAAAACCUACUUGAAGAGAAUUCGAACUUGAGUUAUUAGCUAAAUAAAACUACUUGAAAUUUACUAGACUCCUGGUGGCAAAUACCUCUUAGUGACCUCUCUAGCGAUAGCCCUUAACUAUAAAACAAUAACAGUUGUGAAACAUGCAUUACUUUUAAACUUGCAUGUUGAACAAGUAGAGUUUCAAUUUGAAUAUUAAGAUUAAAAUUGCUUUCAGAAUAACUUGUCAACAGGCUAUGAUGAAUACAUCGUCUUUAUACAAUAUGAAACUCUUUAAAAAUGCUUUCAGAAUGACAGAAUAAAUUAUUUGGCGUCUUUUUUUGGUUAUUUCUUGGGUACCUAAAGAGAAAACAGUACGACAUAAAUAAAAUGAGGAGAAAAGUCCGAAGUCUCAUGAUCUGCUUCAUUAUUCAAGGUUUUCUAAAAAUGUGUGAAGUCAGGCAAACGUAACAUGCCUUACCCUUGACGAAAAAGCAAUUCUUAUAUAUAAAAUCUCAAAAACCAAAAGAAAGUUGACCUAGAAAAAUAAAACACUGAUAAAUUUGCUGCAAUAGAAAAUAUCCCAUGUGCCAUAAUUAAUAAUAUAUAAGAUUGAAAAAUAUAAGCAGUACGUCUUGAUUUUAUAAGUAUAAAAUGUGUGAAGUGAAGGGGCAACUUCCAGGACUGCGAUUCUUUUAACAUAUCCUGCCUUAAAAGAAUAGGACCUAAACCACAGCUCAAACACAUCAUCAAUAAGGCAAAAAAUUAAGAAUGGGCAACAAAAGGGAACCCUCAAACCCUGUUGAACACAAGAGCUGAAACAUUGAUUAGAACAGAAUGCAUAACAGUAUAAAUCCAAUCCAUGAAAGAGGAGUGAAAUGCAAAACGGCACAAAACUUCAAGCAGAAAAUUCCAAUCAAUUUUAAGACAUAUAUUGCCACCACUAAUCUUCGGAUUAUCGAAGAGAUUCACCCCCUAAUAAGAGACUAAAACAAAUAUCCUCUUUUUUUUUUCCUUUUUUCUUUUAUUAAAAAGGUAUGAGAGUGAGUAAAUUAACCUCCCCGGCACUAGAAUUCGAGUAGCCAGCGAUAUAAAAUUGUUCAAAAAUCAGUCGAUCAAGCAACCUUGCAGCAGAAAUUAAAACAAUUACCCACACAAAUGUGUGGAUACUCAAUAACUUCAAGGUGAUUUGGAGAAAAUAUAUGUUGUCAAUGCCAUUAAGGGCUUGUUUGCAAUUUUUUCUAGGAGGCUCAAAAGUGAUUUUGAAAAGUUAAAAUAUAAUUUUAGUGUCUAUUAAACUUUUUUAGAAAUCACUUUUGGCAAAAUCAUCACAUCCUACGGCAGAUUUUGAAAAGUAGGGAAAGAGUAGCAUUUUGAGAAUUACUUUUUUGCUUAAUACAAUUCCAUAGAUAUCCUCAUAUAUAUUAUAAAAAUUCAGAGAUAAAAUCAUUAAUUUUAGAGAGAUUAUUAUUAUUACCAAUUAUUUUGAAAUAAUUGAAUAAAAAAUAAAAUUAAUAAUAUAAAAUAUUUAUUUUAGUUACCAAUUAUUAUAUGUGCAUAAUAAAAAAAUAUUGUACACAUGUUUAUAAAUGUUUAAAUAAAUUUUAUUCAACAUUAUACUUAAUUUAGUUAUUUAUAUUUCUAUAGCAGUUUCACAUUAAGAUUUACUCAACACAUACAACUACUUUUAAAACUCGCAGCACUGUUAAAAUUAAAUUUUACUAAACGUUUGACUAAUUUUCGUCACAACUAAUUAUUUCAACAAUAUAGCUAAUUGUAUGUAUUUUAAAAGAUAUAGCAUUACUAAACUGGUCCUAAGGUGGGGUUUGUUUUUUAUCUGAAAUUUGAAUAGAUCUGAAUUGGCCUGAAAUCUUAAUAGACCUGAAUAUUUGAAUCUAAAUAAUUUUUUCUUUUAUCUGAAUCUUUGAAAAUAUGGAUUAAGUUGUUUGUUUUUUCAACUUUAAAAACUAAAAGCAUGUAACUUUUAAAUUUGUAUCCUUAUUAAAUUCAAAUGUUAAAUAAAUAAUAUACAUACAUACAUACUUACAUACAUGUACACACAAACACACACACACACACACACAAAUACCAUAAUAUUUCAUCAUAUAUAAGCAAAAUCAUGUUCAAGUGAAUACAUAAUGAUUUUGGAAUUAUAACAUAUAAUUCUUUUUAUAAAAACGGAUUAUAUAAUUACAUAAAAAGUUUAAGAAUAACACCUUUGAUUACUGAUAAUGGGAGAUCAAGAACUUGAUGAGAGAAACAAAGUGAGGGAUUCCAUGACGGCUGAAAAACAAAUGAAGACGAGAUUAUUAUUAGAUAAAUGUAUAUGGAUGAGCUUUGUGAUAGACAUAAAAAAUAAAUAAUAAAGUAGGGAUAUUUUGUCAUUAGAAAUUAGUUGGCUGAUUUAGAUUUCUUUAUUCGGUAAAAAAGGGGGUUAUUUUAUUAAGUCAAAAUUAUCUGAAAAGUCUCAUAAAGUUAUAAAAAAAAAUUCUCUAAUUAACGUAAUUAAUUAAGUUAAAUCACUUUAGGUCCUUAAGUUAAAAAACAAACACACUCUAAGUCUAUGGGAAAGAAUUUUAGGAUGGUCUUAAAAAGAAAAUUAAUUAUUUUCUUGAAAUUUUGGGAUAAUCUCAAAAUUAACCAUUUUGACGUGUAAGAAACAUCGCGUCUCCCUGACUUUAUGUUCUAAUAUCAAACUUUAAAUAAUUCAAGGAAAGAACACUGGGCUUUCAAUUAAUGUAGCAGUUAUUUGUACGAAAAUUUUCUUCUAAUUUUAUAUUCUAUUGCUUCCCACGUUUAGGUACCCAAAAAAAAUAAUAAAAGAUGCCGAUUUGUAUAAUUGGUAUCCUCUAUAUAUAUCAACUAAAAUAGCAUUGUAAUCGGUCCAUAGAUACAAAGGAAUAACUUGUCUAUUUCAAAUCCCCCAGUCUUCGCCUUCCCGCAUCAUAAUUUCUUUUAAGCCUUAAGACGGGGAUUUAAAAAAAAAAAAAAAAAAAAGCAACUCCAGGCUGUGCCAUACAUGGGGACAUUGGAAAUCAAUGAAGAUACCUACACAUCUCAGGGACCAUCAGCAAUGAUACUAGCCAUUGGCACAGCAACUCCUCCAAACUGUUUCUACCAAGCCGAUUAUCCUGAUUUCUUCUUUCGUAUCACCAAUAGUGAGCACAAGACCGAGUUGAAAGAGAAAUUCAAGCGCAUAUGUAAGCAGGCAUCUAUAAAUAUUCAAUUUAAUUAGAGAGCUCUUUAAUCUGUUAUUUAAUCAAUGCUUUUUUGGAUCAACAGGCGACAGAUCAUCAAUUAAAAAACGGUAUUUAUAUCUUACUGAAGAUAUCCUAAAAGAAAAUCCUAAGAUGUGUUGUUACAAGACCCCGUCUUUGGAUGCUCGUCAUGCUAUGCUGAUUGAUGAAGUACCAAAGCUCGGUAAAGAAGCCGCCCUGAAGGCCAUCAAAGAGUGGGGACAGCCCGUAUCGAAGAUCACUCACCUUAUAUUCAGUGCCUUUUAUGGCGUUGACAUGCCUGGUGCGGAUGUCCGUCUGAUGAAGCUUCUCGGUCUUGAACCGUCCGUUAACAGACUCAUGAUUUAUACCCAAGGAUGUUACAUG